rnacentral:lncRNA from 1 species
AAUCCUGUGUACCCGUUAAUAUCGUCACAGAGAUAUAAGGUCAGGUGGAUAGUGAUCUCUGGAAGAGGUAAACGACGAGCCGAUUUCUCGUGCAUCAGAAGGAUUAGAAAAGGUCUAAGUUUCACUUGAACUAGGUUUCAAGUCUUCAAGCUUCUCUUUGAGUUAAAAAAAUUAUUCAAAUGUUGCACGUGGAUGAUUUGAAUAAUAAUUUAGUGUUGCAAAUGUCGUGAUACUAAAUAUUCCCAAAAGACUUUAAACCGCUUUCAUCUUGUUCAAGUUUGUAUAAAAAGUUCAAUUGUAAGUAAAUAAAGUGGAUUUUUUAAUAAAUAAUUAUUUUAUUGGUCAACUAAAAAUGGCGAGAUGAAGAAAGAGAAAAAAUCUCACAUGGUCCCUGCAACUCUAGUGCUGAUGUGGGAGUUAUCAUCCUCAUCGAGCUUGGCUAAACCAAAAUCGGAAAUCCUUGGAUUGAGGUCUUUAUCAAGAAGAAUGUUGUUGGGUUUUAUGUCUCUAUGAACAAUUUUCAACGUGGAUUCUUCAUGCAGAAAAGCCAAGCCUCUUGCUAUACCAAUACAAAUUCUUUGUCUGGUUUGCCAGUCCAUUUUUAAUUGCCUUUCCUCUGGUCCUGUUCCUGAUAAUACGAUUCAAUUAAGUGUGUGCAUUGAUUUUAAAUACUAAAUUUGUAUAUUAGACAAGAUUUUAAAGAAUGCACAACGCAGGCAUAAAUUUCAAUUACCAUAUAAAGCGCGGGCAAGGCUAUUGUUCUCCAUGUAUUCAUAAACCAGCACUAAAUGGCUUCCCUCAAUGCAACGUCCAUACAAUUUUACGAGAUUUGGAUGCUGUAAACUAGAAAUCAUGCCUAUUUCAUUCACGAAUUCACGGUUCCCUUGAUUUGAUUUGGAAGAUAGCUGCUUGACAGCAAUUACACUACCUUCCAAUAGUAUACCCUGCAAAUGAAGCAUUAUAGUACCACAGACAUGCACGCAUAUAGAAAUGUUAGAAAAAUAUAAGCGCGAAGGUAUAGACAAAGUAUAAGAGAGAAAAGUUGGAAGUUAAUAUUUCUACAUACCUUGUAGAUAGAUCCAAAACCACCUUCCCCAAUUUUAUUUACAGCAUCAAAGUUGUUUGUGGUGGCUUUGAUUUGUCUAAAAGUAAAAAAGCCAGUCCGCAAAUCUAAUCUCCUUAGUUCUAGAAAAGAACAAUUUUUAGAUGUUGAAUUCAUUGUAAGCUAUAUAGUUAAGGAUUUCGUCAUCUCUCUUUUUCUCUAUGCAGUACACUAGAAUAUAUUUUAGUUUUUCUUUGAUCUAUUGCUUGGCCAUGGUCACAUCACCACGAAAAAGUUAUUUAUCCUAAAUUUGAGAGUAACUUCCAUAGUUGUCAUCUGAUGCAUUACUACUGUAAGACUAUCCAUAACAUUAUAUAUGACAAUUCAAUAUUUACAUUCUUGCUUAAAUACUAAGAAAGGUCUAUUUGUUCACCUUCUUCCCUUGAGAUCCUGCCUCCUAUAUAGCCUUUCCACCAUGAAAAAAUAAGAAUAAUGAGAAUGAAAAAAAUUACCAAAGCUGUUACUCCUGUUGGGAUGAAAAUAUUCUUUCCUUCGGAUGGAGACUUAAAAUCUACAUAAUGAAAGAAAUAAAGAAUAAUUUGUUACAUGGUGUUCAGUUUGCUAGCUAGCACCAGAAAAAAAUUACAUAAAGGAAUUGGUAUAGGGAAUUUGAGAACAAUAACAAGUGAAAAAGAACGAUAAUAGAUUAAUUAAUCGAGUACUAAUUUAAGUGCCAUCAACACCUGAGUCAUGUUGCUUAAGUUGCAAAAGAUUAUGUGGUUGUGCAGAUAAGAUGUAUAUUUUCUCAAAUAAAUAGAUAAAAAAAAAAUCUUAAGAGAGAUAGAGGUGUUUUGAGGAUAAAUUUAAUGGUAUUACACAAACAAUCUUACCAGAUUCCACAGAAAUGGCAGAUAUCAAAGGGCCAUAUACUCUUCCGAAAGGGAUGGCUAUUGAUCCUUUCCCAAAAUAGUAAAAUCAGAUAUCCAGAGUUUUAUUCUUAACUAUCGCAUUAAAUUGUUUUUUCACAGCUUUAUCAACUCCUUUCGCAUCCUUCUUAAUAUCAAAAUCUUUCAAUUUCAGUUCAUCCUAUAUUACGUUGAAUAAGUUUGAGUCAAAUUGCAACAGUAAAUGGCACUAAAAAGAACUGUUUAUUUAUUACUUGACCUGGAUAUAAACGUCAAACAUCCGUCUCCCAAGACUCUGGAAAGAGUUAUUAUCUCUAAAAAUUAUCUCUGCAAAGUGAAGUGUCACAGUGUAGUUUCCAUUUACUAAGCAACGCCCGUAAUAAGUGAGAGAUAAAGGAGAUAGACGAGCAUCUGCAUAGAGUUCAGAGUCCUUCAUUUUUAGCACAGAUACAUUGUAGGCUUUAUAGUGAUUCUUGAACCAAGGAAAAUGUCCUGUACUACUAGUUCCCCAGUUCUCUUUUGAGUGAACAAAUUGUACUGAACCUCCUGUUUGUACAUCAUCUUCAAUUUUUUUGUUGCCAAUAGUAACUUCCCCUCCACCACAGUUUACAUAAAAGGAAUACCAAUCUAUGAAAAACCAAAGCAUAUUAAGUUUUCUAGAACAUCUCCAAAAGACUCUUCAAACAUAAAAUUUCUCUAUUUUAAAGAAUCAAGCCUUAAAGUUAUGCUUCAAGAGACUAUUUAAUUUAACAUUUUAAUUUAGAGAGAGUUUGACUCUCCAAAUUUAGAGAGUCAAACACGCUCUUUAUAAUUUAAUGCAUUUAAAAUAUUUCAAUUUUCAGUGAAAAAUAAUAUAAUAAUUUAGAGGAAAGCUAGUGAAAAUAAAAGACAAGAAAAAAACAAUAAAUAUUUUUCUGAAGUAGUAAAAUUAAUUAUUAUAUAUAAAGAACUUGUUGAAGUACUUAAAAAUUUUUACUCCCUAAAUUUAAAUGUUCUUUGUCGCGGAAGCUCGUUCGAAGAUCUUAGAAAUGGUGAAUUUCGGGCUCAGUUUUUAGUUAUAUUUCUCUACCAAACAACCAAUUUACACUACUCCAACCCACAAUCAGUAUAUUUAUCUCGAUUGCUCCUCAAUCUCACCCACAAAGAAUAAGGUAACAGUGAUGAUUUAUAGGCCACAAAGGCAUGAGAAAAACAACGAAAAAGGCAAGAGAAUGGACCAAAAUACACAAGAUGAAGGCACUGAUUUUCUCUCUAUAUGGCAACUGGCCUUUCCAGGAAGAAGCAACCACAUUUUUCCUCAUUUUCAUAAACAAAUCAUACACUAACGGCAAGGGGAAAAAGCAACAUAUAUAUAGGGUUAGGUUAGGUUUUAGUUGGACCAAUAAGGGUUAAAUGGGCCAAAAUUCAAAGCUAUCUAAGAGGCAAUAUAUAUGUGCUGUGAGUAGCUCUAAUUUCUUAAGCUACUUCCUACAGUCCAUAUUGUUUUUAGGUCGCGCUUUUAGACUUAAUUGUUGGUAACAAUUUCACUCAUUGACCAAUACCUAUGAAACUCAAUCUAACAUUUAAUAAUCAUAGCCAAAGAUUUAUUGGGUAUCAAAACUCAACAAAUCUUCACCUUUAUACCCAAUCAACUUACAAGUAAUCAAAAUACAAAGUUAGUACUUACACAAUCAAAGUAGCUAAUAAAAUUAGGAUCACAGACUUUACCUCGUGUUUUGGACCCGAAACACAUACCAUACCAACUUUACGUACUCACCAGGGCUAUAGUCUUAAAGAAAUACCCACAGAUCUUUUCAAACCCAUGUUCGCACAGAACAAAAGAUUAACACCAAGCUAAUCAACAAACGGUUAACAUAUAUACAACAAAUGCAUAAAUGACCACAUGAAAAGAUCUUACCACACUUAUCCUAUCCCAUUUUUGUUCCCCUCUCAUUGCCCACCAUGUUUACUAAACUGAUCACUCAAUUCAUGUCUAACUCAUAAAUCAAAAUAGGUCCUAAAUUCAUAGGAUAAUCCUAUAUCACCAUAUUUCCAACCUACGUGGAUAAAUGAUUCUCCACCUAACAUAAGUGAUAGAAGUAUAUCUCUUACACUCCACAUGAUCAUGAUUUUCUCAGUUAAAGAGUUCCAACAUUUAAUCACAUUUUCACUCGUGAUCAAAAUGUCACAUCUCACAUUCCUGGUACAAACCACCAAUGUACCCCUAGUCAUCUAUACUCCACCUCACCAAUAGACACACAACACAAUUAUUGCUAUUACAUCCUAAUCCACUAUGUAUGCAAACAAUUAUACCAAAUAAUCACAUUGCUCUCAAAUUCAUACAAUGACACAUAGAAAUAUCAUAUAACUAUGCAACAUAAUUAAGCAAUCAUACAUGCAGAAAGGAGUACACACAUUUGCACAUGCAAUAACUAGGUUUACUCUCAAUAAACCUCACUAUGAUUAUCACUCGACCUUAUAGCCAUAUUCACCUCACCUCUCAUCUUACCCUUCUGCUUAUCCCCUUUUUUGGGACAACCUCUCACAAAGUGUUUAGACUUACCAAAGCUGUAACAUUAGUUACCACUAGACUUAUCCCAACCUUUAACCUUUUUUUUUUUUUUUUAACCACCGUCAACACUCGAGUCACCACUUAAAUCACAACUAUCUUGAUUUCUUCCCAAAUUUAUAUUUUUAAACUUCAUUCUACUCUUCAUUAUAUAUAACUUACAACUCCUCUUAUCCUCCUUUUCAGCCUUAAUCUCCAUUUUCUUAUUGUUAAGAGAAUCUAUGGCAAUAUCGGGUGUUAAGAUGUCACUACUAUAUUUAAUUGCAUUCUUAACCUCUCUAUAUGAAUCAUGUAUUGAAUUAAGCAAAAUAAUGGCAUGAUACGUUUCAUACACCUCCUAUCACAGUUAAAAUUAUAUUGAACCAGCUUGUUAAAAACAUCUAAAAAUAUAUUGAACGAGCUUGGCAAGGAUUCAUUUUAAAAUUGAAAAAUCUAUUGAGCAGACGCAAUUUAUUAGGAGUAGACUUAAGCAAAUAUAAACCCUCCAACUUUUUUCAAAGUUUUUUUAGUAGAAUCAAGUUUUUCAUUUUUUCUCAAAAUAGUGUCUGAUAGGUGUAAAAUAAUUAAAGUGUAAGUAAAUUUAUCCUAUUCUUCUUUUCGUGCUUCCGUCAAAUUUGCUGGAAAUUUGCUAUUUAUGACUUUUGAAACUUUUUGUUGAACUAAAAUCUUUUCAUUUUUUGUUACCUAAUAGAAAAUUCCCCUUUCUUAUUGAGAAUUUCAACUUCAAAAUGUGAUGACAUUUUGAAAAACAGAACAACUAAAGUGCACAAAUAUGUCACACAAAGUAAUCAUAAGGACGCAAUAUAUAUCAUUAUAGAUUCCCAGGGUUUCGUGAGACUUGAGAUCUCAGUAUCAAGGAAAUGUUCAAAUGGGUUAAUACUAGGUGUUCUAACAGAAUAACCAAUGUAACACGAAGGUAUAUCAACAAAAAUUUAGUUUUUCACACAAUCCAGUCUCACACAGUGACUAAAUGGCAACUAGAGCACAAGGAUAAUUAUCAACUUACUGUCCAAUUCAACACUUCAAAUAUGGUAAGUAAUGCCUAAAUUUCUAGCACAAUCAAUGGUUACCUACAUGGUAACGCCAAUCCUGAAGUAGAAAUUUAAAUUGGGAUAAGCCAAUAAAUCAGAGUGAACCAAUCUCAGUCCAUAAAUAAUGAGAGAUGCGAACUUACACUUUUGGGCCACCACUACUUGCCAUAAAGUUUCCAUCAAUCGCAGAAAUCAAUCAACCAUGAUCGAAUCCCGAACACACGAAGGAUAAAUUUAUCCAAAUUCCACUGUAUAAAUUUAAACAGAAAACUAAUAACAUCAAAAUGUCAGGAUCAAAUUACCUGAAAAGACCUCUAUCUAAAACCUUCGCAUGCGCCCUCAAGCGCCACCAACAGCCUUUGUGCAUGGGAUUCACGCACCGGCCACUCUGGUGCGCCUUCACGUGCACGUCACACUAGUAGUCUCCAUUUCACCAAAAUCAUUUUUGUUUGAUCAGAAAUCAUGAAAACAUCCUCGAUUUUUGUGUAAUUUUCUAGACAAUUUUGCAAUCUAUUUUUUGCUUCGUUGAAAGCCAAUUUUCUGUCAAUUUUUCGAGCCAAAUCUAUUACUUGAAGCUUUGAUACCAAUUGUCAUGGAAGCUUUCUCCAAGAUCUUCGAAACGGUGAUUUUCAAGCUCAGUUUUACGUUACUUUUCACUACAGAUCAAUCCACACAGUCCAACCUACAACCAAUAUAUUCACUCGGUUCCUCCUCAAUCUCACUCACAAAUGACAAGAUAAUGGUGAUGAUUUGUAGGCCACUAAGGCACGGGAAAAUUGACGGAAAAAAGCAAGAGAAUGGACCAAAAUACACAAGAUGAAGGCACCGAUUUUCUCUCUCUAUGGGAGCCGAUUUUACAUGAAGAAGCAGCCAUGUUUUUCCUCUUUUUCAUACACAAAUCAUAUACUAAUGGCUACAGUAAAAAGUAACAUAUAUAUAGGGUUAUGUUAGGCUUUAGUUGUCCCAAUAAAGGGUUAAAUAGGUCAAGAUUCAAAGCUAUUCAGUAGAUAAUAUAUAUAGAUCGUGAGUAGCAUUAAUUUUUAAGCUACUUCCAAUUGUCCAUGUUGUUUUCGGAUCAAGCCUUUGGACUUGAUUGUUGAUAAUAAUUCACUCAUUGACCAAUGCCUAUGAAAUUGAAUCCGAUGUUUACAUCGCAGCCCUAAAUUCAUUGAGUAUCAAAAUCCAACACUCUAAAUUGUAGAAUAUGCUCUUGAGUGUAAAACAGAUAAAAGUGCUAUAACUAUAUACGAUAUAUUACAUUACUACUGUAUUCUUUUUGUUUUUAGUUUUCAACUUGAGCACAAAAAAUGAUAUUGCAAACUUGUUGGUAUACUACGCUUGGAUGAUGAGAUUCGUGUAAACAAUCAAGGCUGAGCUUGUAAAAUGAAGUACUUACCCUUUCAACAAGGAGUGAGGCACUUCCCCUGUUCUCUAUAUGAAGUCAUAUGGCAAGGGAGCAGAAUGAAUAAUAUGAUAUACAAAGUUAUGUUUAGAUUACAAUAAUCUUAUCUACAUAAGAAGCAACUUAAAAACUGUUUUCUCCACUAAAGCUUCUGAACAAGUUUCUGACGCAGAAAGAAAGGGAAAAAACAAAUUGAAGUUAUGAAAAACAUACAGAAAGACAGCAUACGAAGAAAAAUUGGGGCUUACAUAUUGUUCCUGCAAAUUGAUGGAUCAGAGUCUCAUUGAAGUUAUUGUAAGAAUGAUUUACGUGGCUGCAAAUGCAUUUAAUAUCUCUUUAAGAACUUAUUUCAAUCCUCUAAAAUUAAUGAAAGAAAAGAAUCCAUAAAUUACAUAGUGAUAGAUGUCCACCAGUAUGUAGUAACUAAAGUAAAAAUGAGAUUGUUUUCGAACUUAUGAGACUAGUCCUGUAUCUUAAGGUGAGCUUGAACAACAAUUGUAUGUCUGGAUAUAAAGAUGUCAAUAGAGGUCCUGAGAGAAAUGGGAAAAUUCCAUUUCUGUAUAAAUUUGAGGACAUCGUCAUUUAUGAUGGACAAUGCUACUAUUAAAUCACAUAGAUAAUCUUAUAGACGCUAAAUAAUAAGAAAUAUAGAAGUGAACUUACAGCUCUUCACUUAUGCUUUGGAUCCACUUUGGAAUUUGCCCACUGAUAAGAGUGUAAAAUACCAUAUUUUCCCCUCUUAACUAUUGCAUUCAUGUGAUUAUAUUCUGCCAAAAUGCAUUCAUUACUCUUAUAUUUUGGUUUAGGUUGCAUUUUGGUGAAAAAGAUGAAAUUCGGAAGAUACAAGUGAAAAAUGAACAGAGUAGAAGAGAACGAAAGUUCGAGGACUAAAGUGCAAAUGAUCCAAACUUGUGUCCAAGAUUAUGAUGAAGAUUCGAAAGUUUUAGAGGUCAAGUGGAUGAGAAAAGAAGUCAAAGGGAUGAAAUAACAUCAAAGUUUGAUCAAUACAUCAAUUUCCAAUCGAAAACUAACACACCAGUUUUUAGUCUCAUGUUGGGACCCAUUUUUGACAUGGAAGAUGAUAGAAUUGGGAGAUGACUUCUGAAUAAAAAUUGUGGCCCUUUGAGUUAGCUAUCCAAUGCAACUUGAAUCACCUCAAUUGGAUAUCGGAAAAGAAAGGUAUGAUUAAAACACUGAAAGCUGUCUGGCGGAACCUUGCGGCCGCAUGCCUUUCUACUAUGCGGUCGCAUACACCUAUACCGAGAAUUCAAGAGGCUGAAAGUGCAUAACCAUGCGACCGUAAUGACAAUAACCAUGCGGUCGCAUAGUGUUUUUUUGGCGGCCGAAUCUCAGUUUCCUUAUACGAUUGAAUCUCUUAUGGUAACCUAAUUUUCACGGGAUAUAAAUGCCCAAAACCAUCCAGAACGAAGGGAGACGCCACCAGACCUAUUUCUUUCAUCUUGGUGCUCAAGAAACUCCAUGGAAAACUAAGGAACUCGGUGAAGCAACGAAGGAACUCAUUGGAUUUGGAGAUUUCACGUCAUAAUUUCAUGUGAUUCGAACUCUCUUUGCUUAAUAAUUUCUAGAUUUGAAUCUUCUCGUUAUGAAUUAGUAUUGAAAUUUGUUUAACUUUUAAUAAAUUUCUCAUGGAUUCAGUCAUGUUUUUUCCAUUGUUAAAUUAAACUAUUUGUUGAGUUUCAAUUUAAAUUACUUAUUGUUGAGAUUAUUUUAACUUUUAUCAAAUCCUUCAUAGAUCUAGCCAUGCUCUUUCUAUCGAAUGAUUGAAAUAAUUGUUGAAUUUUAAUCUUAAUAUCACUUUAUUGGCGGAUUGAUUACUGCCUUAUGCCUGACGUAUAUGGUCGAUUUUUGAUCUUGUUCCAAUAAAAAUGUGCGAAUGUGUUAUAGAAAAUCUAGAUUCUAGAAAUAUAAUUGGAAUAAAAUUGGACUUCACUGUUAAAUCUUCCAAUUAGAGAGUUUGGAAGAAAACCUCUAAUUGAGUAAAAAUACAUGAAUUAUUGAUGCUGAUUGAUCCAAUCCAAUGGGGGAACUCCGACGCUUCACUAAUUCGCAUAUUGAUAAUUAAUUUUUAUUCCAAGUGACAAAUCAUUCCCACAUUUAAUUACGAAAACCCUAGUUUGUUUGAUCUUUUGAGAAAUUUUCCAUCUCCCUGUGGAUACGACACCCCAAAGUUGUACUACAAUAACCGCAUUAUUCUUUGGGCGUAAUCACCCACUGAGAAAGUUACUAGUCAGAAACCUAAUCACAAACAUAAAAUCCAAAUGAAAUCAAAAUUAUACAUUUAGAUGACAGGACAGAACAUCAUGAAAGAACAAAAGUAUGGCCUAGUAGAGUAUAUGAAUGACACUUGAACACUAAGGAUUGAAUAUGAACUGGACAUCCUUAUGUUUGGUUACAGUGGUCCUUAUUACUUGUUUUGGAAAUAAAAAGUAGGAUUUAGGAUAUGAACAUGAACAAAGUCUUCCAUUAUCACGCUUCAAUGACAGGUGAAUAACAGAGCAAAGCUUUUGUACAAAUCAAUUGAAUAAUAUCAUACUAAUUCACUUACAAGUUCGUUAGACUUGGUAGGCGAUCAAAAUCUGGAACCUCUCCUUUUAAGUUGUUAAAGCUCAGAUCUCUGUGAAUACACCACACGAACAUCUUACGACCAAACGCAUAUUUUCUCAGCUUAACAAUAUGGCAGUGCAUAGUUAUCUUAACAUAGAAAAGUAAACCUAAAUUUUGUAUGAUAUCCAGAAAGAAAGAAAAAAGAUCGGCACAAAAGCAAUGGAAGCAUAGGAAAACAAACAAAAAUUACAGGAUUUUCUAAUGUAGAUUGGGAAAAACUAAUGUGGCAAGCUCUUGGAUGGUACGAAACUUCACAAUCUGAAAAUGCACAUGGUACGUCCUCCAUAUUUUUCCAUAGCCAGGUCUCCACCACAAGUACAUAUUUUAUUACAAGCAGUAGGUUUUUGUGGCAUGGAGUACAACAAAUUCGUGUUUUUGGUCACUAUCUUCAACAAGUAACAAUAUAAGUGUCAAAUAUACUCAAUGAUAAUCAAUAAUACUCGAUGUCCUUCAAUGUGAGAUGUUCUCUUAGUGUAUAAAAUUAAAAUCACAAAUAAAUAUGGUAGCUAUCAAUUAUAAUUAUUCAUUAAUGGUAACUUAUUAAAUAUGGUAGUCCUUAUUUUUCACUAACAUCCCCUCUCAAAUCUCAAAUUGAUGCUUAUUAAUUUGCAAUCAUAAGUUGACGGUGGCGACAUUGCUCGUGCGCACGAAAAAGAUAUCCAAAUCAAAGUAAUCAUCUACGGAACAUUGUGACAACGAGAGAGCAAGAACAAUAAAUAGUACAGAAACAUCCAAAAACUACCUCAAGAAUAUUCCAAAACCACUCUAGAGAGUUCACAGCCCAAGAAGAAUUUCAAAAAGAAAUUCUUGAAGUGUACCGAUCACACAAUGAGAUCGGGAGAACUCAGUCAAACACAUAAUUAGUAUUCCAUCAAAAUCUCUAAUGGCCAAUAUACCAGCCAAAAAUCUAGUAAUAUAUCACUGACCAGGACGCUAUAGUUGGAAGAAAUAUCAGAAAACAGCCUGCACACAAAAAAAAAAAAAAACAAAGAUGAUCUGAGAACCCAAAAUUCUUGCUCGUCACCCAAGCAACCAAAGCUCCACCCAUGUCUCUCUCAUCCCAAUGACCAAUCAAUAUGAUUGCCAAGCUCCUUAUUGGAAGCAAAUCAAGCCACAUCCAUGUCGCCCACAAAGAGAAACCACAAUUUAUAGUCCAAUUGCUCACAACCCGUAACUACCUAGCCCAUUUUUAAUCAAGUUAUACACUCAUGUCCAAAAGCCAAGCCUACUUUCAACAAAUCCCUAACCUAUUCACAAAGCCUAGAAUAAAAUACUACUUAUUCAAAAUUGUUGAGGCCCAUAAUCAUCCAUUAAAGUCUUCAAAACCUAACCCGUUCAUCAAAUAAUAACGACGCCCAAACCAAUAAAGCAGCAGGCCCACCUACAAAUCCAUGACUCAGUGUCUUUUUUUAUCCCAUUCGCUUAAGAAUCUUCAGAUCUCUGCCAAAAAUCCAUUAAUUUUACUCUCACUAGUAACACUUCCUCUCUUUAAUCUGACGGUCUUGGAUUGAACUGAUACACAUUUUAUGCGCAAAUUAACAUAGUCGCAUUCACAGAAGUGUGAUUGUGUGUGAGAUGGCGUGUAAAGGAUUGUAGAAAAGUAAUGGGGUCUAGGAUAAAAAUCAAAUUCCAAUAAGAAUUCUCUCUACUUCUCAUGAUAAAGAUAUGUUGGCUGGUACUCCACCUCAGAAUUCCCAAUCAUUGACGAGCCUCUACACCUCAGAAUUGCUAGCAUUCAACGAGCAAUAUGGUGAUCCAUGGUCGACUAAUAGCUCUCUCUCAUCUUCAGCAAUUUCUCUGCGUUGAGAGAUCCGGCCCCUGGGUCGUCUAGUGGACUACUGGACUCGAAAAUGGUGACUGAAAUUUCCAUUUUUUCUAGAAUCGGUUGUUCCUGAAAUCCCACUGCCUAUGACAGAUUGGAGGCGAUGCUUUACAUGUCAGCAACGGCAGCAAGUAUGCUUGGUUCUGUUCAGUUCAUAGCAAUUUACAAGAUCGAACACAAGGAAUAUGGAUAGGGUCCACAGCAGCGGGGGCAAACUUGUCCUAACCUUUCUCUUCCAAUUAACUUUUCUCUCUGUAUCGCUUGAAACUCUUCGCAGAUUAAUUGCUUCACUGCUUUGGUGAAGUACUUAACUUAGUUUGGUGGUGAGCACACAAUUCAUCUUUUACCUCACUGUGAACGCCUGAGUAUCAAUAGGAGCGACAAAACCUAUUUCUUCUGUGCUAAACAAUUGAACUAAAUAUUUCUUAGGGUUAAGUGCUCUCUCUCAGUCUUCAGGUCACUAUUGCUUUGGCUGUUCUACCUCCGCCCACUGUUGAGACGGUUGUCGAUGAUGCAAUUAGAGAGAAAGAAUAGAGAAAUCACUUGAGGAUGAAUUGAGUUCUAAUCCAUAUGAUAUUCGAAUAUACUCAAUCAUAAUCAAUAAGCCCCUCAAUAUAAGAGGUUCUCUCGUUAUAUUGAAAUAUAAAAAAACUAAAUAUUCUAGCUAUCAUUUACAAUUAUCCAUUAAUGGUAACUUAUUAAAUACGGUAGCUUCCCUUAAAUAUGAGCUUUCCUUAUAUUCCACUGAUAGAAAUUUCCAAUGCCUCCCAAAUAAAUGGUUAUUUCUAGAAUGAAAGAAGAGGAAAUAAGAACUGUGGUUGUGUUAAAAGUUUACACAAUUCUUUAACUUUAAAUCUCAUGAAAAAUUAGCUCAUAUAAAUGUGAAAAGAAAACAACUAAAAUGCUAGAGGGAGUCCAGGACUGCGAGCUGCUAGGUAUAUUCUUUUUAAGUAACUCAUAGAGUUGGCAUUUAGUCACGAGAAUAUUGAAACAAUUAUGAUGUGGAGUGUAAUUGUAAAAAGAAGAAAAGAGGUACUACUACUAGAAUCAGUACUUAGAUAGCCUUCAAUGAUCCAAUGCCUGUAAGGUAAUUAGGAAUGCUUCCAGUUAUGUUACAGCUACUUAACGUCCUGCUAGCACGCAACAUAUGUAUAAAAUAAUAUGGUUCUAAAGGAAAUUAUCACAAUCUUCUAAGUUCUUUAUUGAUUUAGUGACAUUUACUCACAAAUACGUAAGGUUUCUCAUGUCUUUUAGCAGUGGGAACUCUGAAGCACCUCCAUUCAAGUUACUAAUAAUUCUGUAGAGAUAUCACAUUACAUCAGUUGUCAUCUUUACCAUCAAUGUAUAGUAAAUGAACAUAAUAUUGUUAUUGAAGUAUUGACAAACUGAAAUCUGACUGAAUAGGUUUCAACUCACAGUUCCUUUAAAUUUUUUAAGAUGGAAAUACUAGGAGGUAUGGGUCCUUCAAAACCAUUGCCUUUUAUCUCUCUGUUGAUAAUAAAUUAAUAAUGUCACGUAAACAAAAGUCGCAACUGUAAAUACUGCAGUUUGGAAAAUGCUCAUUCAGGAAAGGACUUACAAGCUCGUAAGGUUUGUCCAGCUCCGAAAAUUAGGUAAUUUUCCAGUGAAGUUGUUACUGAUUAGCCAACUGCAUUGGCCCCGAAAGACAUGUUAUCAUUAAAAUAGCAGAAAACUUUUUGCACUUUUCUAGAUUAAAAAACUUUAUACUUUGAGAAAUGUGUGGUGAAAUACUUACAGAAUUGUCAACAUUUUUAGAUUAUUUAAUUCAAUCGGCAACUCACUAGUGAGAUUGUUAUCAUAUAGAUAGCUACAGUGACCAAAGAGACAAGUUAAACUUACAUAAAUGGGUAAAUUACAGCCACUGUCUCUAACCUUUUGUUGGAGUAAUUUUCAAAAGAAUGCCAUUUAGACAUUGGUAAAUUAAAUCAAGGAAAUACAAUUCAAAAAGUACUUGAUCAAGAUGGGACAAGAACGAGAGAUGUAGGAAUGGACAAAAACUUGAGCCAGUUUGCAAAGUAAACUAGUGUAGGUGGGCAACAUGGAAGUGCUCCUGUGCUUCCUAGUUGGCGCAGGUGUGCUGCCAUGUUGCCCACCUACACUAGUUUGCUUGGUUGGCGUAGAUACGCUACCUGUGCUGGGUAGUCUUGAGAUUAACCCAGUAGCUUUUAGAACUUACUUCUUAGAGAACGUAAGGAGCAAAAAUGAAUAGGAAAGUUUCUGUGUAUUGAAGAUAAAAGUCACGCUAAUUGUACGUCAUGUGGUUCUUAAAUAUGAAUGGAAAAGACAGCACUAAUUACAGUUGUUUACAGCUGCACACUAACUGAAAAUUUCAACUAAUCUGACUAAUUCUUCAGCUCACUUCCACGUCAGCUUCUUCUGGUAAUCUCAAUAGCCCCCUUCAAGGUGGAGUGUAUAUGUUGCACAUAUUCAUAUUGCGCAGUAGAGAAUGAAAUAGAGAUGCUCCCACUGGUUUUGUCAUAAUAUCUGCUAGUUGAUUACCUGAAGAGACAUGCAUGGUGUGUAAAAUUCCAGCCUUAAUCUUGUCCCUUACUAAGUGACAAUCUAGUUCGAUAUGUUUUAUUAUCUCAUGAAAUAUAGGGUUGACAGCAAUGUGUAAUGCAGCUUGAUUAUCACAAUAUAACAAUGCAGACUUCUCAUGUUUGAUUCCCAAGUCAGCUAGUAGGUAUAAAAGCCAUUGAACUGUUAAAUGUGGCAUUAAUUUGUAAUCUUAGGAAAUAAAUAAGGUUACAUGCACUUGAAGAAAAUGUAUCAGGAAAAUACAUGAUGCACUUGAAGAAAAUGUAUCAGGAAAAUACAUGAUGCAAAUUCAUGAAUUAUUAGGUGUCCAUUUAUAUUCCCAUGUCUCUAGAGUUAUCCAUGUGGUCCUAUAAAUAGAGGUCAUUUUUGUAGUCUCAUUGUAAGAAAAAAAAGAAGAAAACAUUAUUGAGUGUGCUGUAGCAACUCAAAAACUAUCAAUAAAAAUUCAAGUUUUUCUUCAACACUUCGUUUCCGCACUAACAAAUUUGGUAUCAGAGCCAUAACUUGUGAUUGCAUUUUUUCAUGGCUUUCAUACAAACAGUUUCGUUGUUUACAUAUUCUUCCAGUCAAGUCCCAAUCUUCGAAGGCGAGCAUUAUGAAUACUGGAGCAUCCAAAUGCAAACUUUCUUCAUCUCCUUAGAUCUUUGGGAUGUCAUUGACGAUGAGGAAUACGAAGAACCAUCCGAAGACAAUGAAGAUUACGAAAAAUUGCAAAAAGAAUUUAAAAGAAAAGAUGCAAUGGCUCUCCGCUAUAUUCAACAAGGAGUCGGAAAAUCAAUUUUCCCUCGUAUCUUUGGUGUUAAAAAAGCCAAAGAUGCUUGGGAAAUAUUGAUGCAAGAAUUUCAAGGAGCGGAGAAAACGAUCGCCUUGAAACUUCAAUCCUUAUGGAGAGACUUUGAUAAUCUCCAAAUGGAAGAACGAGAAUCGGUUCGUGUUUUUUCUUCACGAGUAGCCGAGACAGUAAAUCAAAUCAAAAGCUGUGGUGACACAAUUACAGAUAAAAGAGUCGUGGAGAAAAUGUUAAGAUGCCUUCCUCCAAAGUUUGACCAUGUUGCAGCCGCAAUUGAAGAAUUGAAAGACUUGUCCAAAAUGACCAUUUAUGAGUUAACCGGGUCAUUUCUUGCCCAUGAGCAAAGGAUCAAUCGUUCGAGUAACCAAUCCACUACCGAACAAGCUUUCCAAAUCAAAGCAAACAUCAAAAGGAGGAUCGAACAACUAUGGAGAACACAACAGAGGCUCAAAUCAAACAAAACAAAAAGAUAGCCAUUGGAAGAAGGGUGACAAACAAAGCAAAUGGAAAGGCAAGCAAACACAAAUUUCUGGUGGUAACAAUCCAACUUGCAUAAUUUGCAAAAAAAUGAAUCAUGAAUCAAAGGAGUGCUACUUUAGAUGCAAAAGGUGCAAGAUCCCCAAUCAUUCUCAAAGGGAUUGUUGGUUUCAAAAUAAAGAGAUGACAGAAAGAAAAAGUGCAGCAAACUUUUCUCAAGAGAAUGAAAAGGAAAUUCUGUUUUAUUCUCAAAAUUAUGAAAAUGGAGCUCAAAGCCCUUGGUAUUUGGAUAGCGGUUGUAGCAAUCACAUGACGGGGAAUCGCGACAUCUUUGUGGACCUUAAUCCAAAUAUUACUUCACAAGUAAUUCUUGGCGAUGGAACAUGUAGAGAUGCGGUAGGAAAAGGCACCAUUGCUGUCCAAAUUAAAGAAGUUUUUGACAAAAAGAAAAAUAUUUGUGUGGCAAAUAUUGAAAUGAAGAACAAGAUAUUUCCUCUUAUGAUGCCACUAAAUGAGAAUUGUGCACUCAAGGCAAGAGACGAAGAUUUGGCGUAUUUGUGGCAUUUACGAUAUGGUCAUCUUCAUGAAAGAGGCCUUCGUUUACUCCAAAUGAAAAACAUGGUGACGGGACUUCCUAACAUCCAACACAUAGACAAAAUGUGCGAAGGAUGCAUCUAUGGGAAAUUGCACAAGUUGUCGUUUCCAAAAACUUCAUGGAGAACGAAAGCACUACUUGAGCUUGUGCACUCGGAUAUUUGUGGGCCAAUGCAAACUUCCACUUUUGGAAACAAGAGAUAUUUUAUUCUCUUUGUUGAUGACUUCACAAGAAUGAUAUGGGUUUUCUUCCUCAGUCAAAAAUCUGAGGCAUAUUCCACAUUUCUUCAAUUCAAAGCUCAAGCAGAAAGGCAAAGUGGUUUUUUGAUAAAAACUUUAAGGACCGAUCGUAGAGGUGAAUAUCUCUAUAAUUCUUUCAUGGAAUAUUGCAGAAAAAAUGGCAUCAAAAGACAAUUAACUGUGAGUCGAACUCCGCAACAAAACGGCGUGGCCGAAAGAAAAAAUCGUACAAUUGUUGAAAUGGCAAGAAGCAUGCUAAAGGGCAAAGGACUUCCAAAUCUGUAUUGGGCAGAAGCUGUAAAUACGGCAGUAUACAUUCUCAAUCGGUCUCCAACAAAGGCUGUACGGAAUAAAACUCCAUACGAAGCUUGGAACAAAAAGAAGCCAAUGGUUGAUCACUUCAAAAUAUUUGGCAGCAUUGCUUAUGCUCUUAUCCCUUCUCAAAAUCGGGAGAAAUUUGACGAGAAAGGACAAAAACUUGUCUUUGUUGGAUAUAGUGAUGAAUCUAAAGGAUAUCGGUUAUUAGAUCCAACUACAAACAAAAUUACAGUUUCACGAGACGUUGUUUUUUAUGAAGCUGCAUCUUGGGAUUGGAAAGGGAAAGAAGUUGUGGACCAGACACCAUACCAUUUUGUUGAUCCAUUAACAUUUCAAGCAGGUCCGUCACAAGUUGGAAAUUUAGAGCAUAAUCCAAACCCUACUCCAAGAAGUGAGGAAGAAUCUGAUCCAGAAAGCCCUCCAAGAAAGACACGUUCACUACAAGACAUAUAUGAGUCAUGUGAACUUGGGUUGUUCUCUAGUGAACCACAAUCAUUUGAAGAAGCCUCAAAAGAAGUAUGUUGGACAAAAGCCAUGAAUGAAGAAAUGUCCACAAUCGAGAAAAACAAAACUUGGAAGCUUGUUGCCUUGCCAGAAGGGAAGAAAAUCAUUGGACUCAAGUGGGUCUAUAAAAUAAAAUACAAUGAAGAUGGGUCGAUCCAAAAGCACAAAGCACGUCUUGUUGCAAAAGGGUAUUCUCAACAGCCCGAAAUUGAUUACACUGAAACAUAUGCUCCGGUUGCAAUAAUGGAGACGAUUCGUACUGUUUUGGCACUGGCAGCUCAAUUGGAGGUAUGUGUUUAUCAACUUGAUGUAAAAUCGGCAUUCUUAAAUGGUGAAAUUCAAGAAGAAGUUUAUGUCGAGCAACCUGAAGGAUUUGAAAUCAAAGGACAAGAAGGAAAAGUCUAUCGUUUAUACAAGGCACUUUAUGGUUUAAAGCAAGCGCCGCGAGCAUGGAAUAGCAAAAUCAAUAGCUAUUUCAUCCAAAAUGGAUUCAAUCGAAGCACGAGUAAAUCAUCUCUAUAUGUCAAUAGUCUUGGAAGAGACUUUCUUGUAGUAUGUCUUUAUGUGGAUGAUCUUCUAUACUUUGGUACAAGUAAAAGCAUGGUGGAAGAAUUCAAGAAAAAGAUGAUGAGAGACUUUGAGAUGAGUGACUUGGGUCAAAUGAAAUACUUUCUUGGCAUCCAAGUCAAACAAAGCCCGGGAAGAAUUUUUUUAUCUCAAGAGAAGUAUAUUGAUGAUCUUCUAGAAAAAUUCAGCAUGAACCAAUGCAAGCUAGUCUCUACUCCAAUGGGGCCGAAUGAAAAAUUCCAAGUCAAUGAUGAUGCUGAAAAAGUAGAUGCUACACUCUACCGAAAGUUAAUUGGUUCACUCAUCUACCUCAACACAAGGCCGGAUAUCACUCAAUCAGUGAGUUUACUUUCCAGGUUCAUGAAUGAACCAAGCAAGAAUCACUUUACGGCUGCAAAAAGAAUUUUGAGAUACCUUAAAGGUACAAAAAAUCAAGGCAUUGAGUUCAAAAAGGAAAAUAACUUCAACCUUGUUGGCUACACUGACAGUGAUUGGGCAGGCUCACUUGUUGACCGCAAAAGUACAUCGGGCUACAUCUUUUGUCUUGGAACAAAUAUUAUUUCAUGGAGUUCGAGAAAGCAAAGGUCUAUAGCACUAUCUUCUGCAGAAGCGGAAUACAUUGCAGCUGCGGAUGCCGUUUGUGAAGUAGUUUGGCUUAGAAGAAUUCUAAACGACUUGAUGUUUGAACAACAAGAGCCAACAACAAUACAUUGCGACAAUAUGUCAGCAAUUGCUAUGACAAAAAAUCCAAUUUUUCAUGCCAGAUCGAAGCAUAUUGAACUACGUCAUCACUUCAUUCGAGAUUUGGUAAGUCGAGAAGAAAUUUGCAUGGAAUUUAUCAACACAAAUGAUCAGCCAGCAGACAUUUUAACAAAGGCAGUCACAUUUGACAAGUUCGACAAGAUCAAGGAAAAACUCAAGAUUACAAAUUAAGAGGGGGUGUUAAAUGUGGCAUUAAUUUGUAAUCUUAGGAAAUAAAUAAGGUUACAUGCACUUGAAGAAAAUGUAUCAGGAAAAUACAUGAUGCACUUGAAGAAAAUGUAUCAGGAAAAUACAUGAUGCAAAUUCAUGAAUUAUUAGGUGUCCAUUUAUAUUCCCAUGUCUCUAGAGUUAUCCAUGUGGUCCUAUAAAUAGAGGUCAUUUUUGUAGUCUCAUUGUAAGAAAAAAAGAAGAAGAAAACAUUAUUGAGUGUGCUGUAGCAACUCAAAAACUAUCAAUAAAAAUUCAAGUUUUUCUUCAACACUUCGUUUCCGCACUAACAUGAACUUCGCAUGUAGCAAAUGCCAUAGCACGGUAUUCAGCUUCUGCUGAAGAUUUGGAAACUGUUCUUUGCUUCUUAGACUUCUAGGAUAUUAAAGCAUUUCCUGAAAAAGAACAAUAUCUAGUUAUAGACCUCCUUAAAUCAGGGCAACUUGCCAAUCUGAAUAUGAAAAGAUCUUCAAUCGUAAGUCAUUUUCUUUAGGGAAGAAAAUCCUCUGUCCUGGCAUGCUCUUGAUAUAUCUCAAUACCCUAUAAGCUGCAUUCAAAUGAGGUUCCCUUGGUUGGUUUAUAAACUGACUUAACACUUGAACCACAUAACUCAAAUCAGGCCUAGUAAUGGUUAAGUAUAAUAAUCGUCCCACCAGCCUCCUGUAGAUUGAUGCAUCAUUCAAUAAUUCUCCACUCUCUUUGUCCAGUUUAAUGUUCAGCUCCGUUGGUGUGUUUGCUGGUUUAGCACUACUGAAGCCAGCAUCUUCUAAAAUGUCUAUGGCAAAUAUUUUUUGACACAAAGAAAUUCCUUUCUUAGACCGAGUCACCUCCAGUCCUAGGAUAUAUUUCAAUACUCCUAAAUCCUUUAUCUUGAAUUUCAUAUCAAGAGAAGCCUUCAAAUCAUUCAUGCCUUGCAAAUCAUUUCCUGUCAAGACAAUGUCAUCCACAUAUACUAGAAGAGCAACAAAAGAGCCAUUUCUAUUUCUGGUAAAGAAUGGAAAAUCUGAGAACUUAGUGAACCAUUGCCUUAAGGCUUUUUUUAAGCCGUAUAAAGACUUGUUGAGCCAGCAUACCAUAUUGUGCCCUUUGCCGAAUUUUCAUGUAUAUUUUCUCAUUUAAAUCACUGUGUAAAAAAACAUUGUUGACAUCCAAUUGUAAGAUAUUCCAAACCAUAGCAGCAGCUAUAGCCAAUAAAACUCUCACAGAUGUAAGCUUCGCCAUAAGAGAAAAAGUUUCGAGAUAAUCAAAACCUUCCUUUUGAGUAUAGCCUUUAGCCACUAAUCUGGCUUUAUACCUUUCCAGGGACCCAUCAGCUUUCAAUUUUACUUUGAAUACCCAUUUACAGUCAAUAGGAAUUUUUCCAUGAGGUAAACUAGUGAUCGUCCAUUUGUGUUUAUCCUCAAGUGCCUUAAUUUCCUUAGUUAUUGCUUCACACCAGUUAGGGUCCUUGACAGCUUGAUCAAAAGACCGAGGCUCAGUCAUAUUUGUGAUAGUAAAAACAUAUGCUCGAUGGGAAGAUGAGAGCCUAUCAUAAGCAAGAUAAUUUUGGAUAUCACAGCUGGAGCUUAAGCUUGAAAGGACUUUACUUAUGGACUGAUCAGAUCUGGUAAGAGAGUUUUGAGCCAAAUGACAAUGAUAUUGCUGAAGAUAAGAAGGGGUUUUUUAAUUCUUGUGGAUCUUCUCAGAGGAGGAUUUAUGUUCUAUGUAGUUGUAUGAUUUUUUGGUGGAUAGAGAUGGCAAUUUAAACCAUUAAAAUUGAAAAUUGCGGUUAACUGAACUGAAUGAGGCGAAAAAACCGAACCGAUGGUGUAAUAGGACGGAUGUGGUAUUUGAUCUUAAUGAAUUGGUUCGUGGCAGUGCAGGUAUGGUAUUUAUGCAGUGGAACUGAUUACCCACUUAAAAAAUCAUUCUUUUAUUAGGGAUGACAAGGUUUAGUGAGGAGGAAGUUGACGAAGAUGUACAUUUUUUUAUUUAAAUCUUAGUUAAAUCCAUUCUGGAUUAGGUAGUAUCGUUGUAUUCUCUACUUACAUUUCUUAUUCACUAUAUAGGAAUCAAUUUUGAGUGCUGACCUAUACUAAUAAAAGUUGUGGGAAAGAAUGAAGAUUGAAUAUGAUUUAAGGUUGAAGCUUUUGAAUUAUUGAGCAUGAAUCAAAUAACUACAAUGCACAAGAAUUAAGAAUGAAUGAAAAGUUUAGUAUUGUUAUAUUCAUAAUAUUGUUUGUUAAAUUUUUAUUUUGCAAUUAGAAUUUGGGAUAAUGUUUGCAUUUUUGUUUGGAAUAUUGUGUUUUUAUUUUCAUUGGCUCUCUUUUCAUAAAUUGUUUUAUAUCAAUUUGACGGAUGAACCUAUAUAAAAUAAUUUAUUUUCGAGGUUAUUAAUCUAACUGAACCGAUUUACAUGGUUAUGGUACGGUUAUGGUAAGGCAAAAAAUUUGACGGUUCAGUGAUGGUUUUGGCUGAACCAAAUCAAAACCUAACCGUUGCCGUCCUUACUGGUAGAAGGAUAGUGGUAUUUUGGAGAUCUGGUGAUUGGUGAUCUGGUAAAGUACAUGGUGAAAUAGUUUCAGCUAUAGAAGACACAUGGGAAGGAAAUAUGGGAAAUGAAGACUCUGGAAUUGGAUUGGGUAAAACAAAUGGACAUCCCUACUGGUCGAAGGAUAGUGGUAUUUUGGAAAUCUGGUGAUUGGUGAUCUGGUAAAGUACAUGGUGAAACAUUUUCAGCUAUAGGAGACACAUGGGAAGGAAAUAUGGGAAAGGAAGACUCUGGAAUUGGAUUGGGUAAAACAAAUGGAUUAUUAUGAUUUAAAGGAAAUUGUUUGUAUGGAAAGAUGUUUUCAUAGAAUAUGACAUUUCUUGAAAUGAAUAUAGCCUUUGAUAGAAUAUGGAUAGCCAAGAAAGAUACAUUUAGUUGCUCUAGAAUCAAAUUUUGAUCGAUUUUUAGUGAGCGUGUAAGCAAAAUAUAAGCAAUUAAAAAUCCUGAAAUGAGUAUAGUCUAGUUUUUGGGAGAAAAGAACUUCAAAGGGAGAUUUUCCAUGAAGUAAGGGAGUGGGAAGUUUGUUAAAAAGGUUGAAUUCCAACCUUAAGGCCCCCACCGCCCCACCCCUGGAGUAUCGUGAGGGAGGUAAAUCGUUGAAUAUGCCUCAGUAGGCCAGGGAACAAGAGCUUGCUGUACACUGGUGCCUACAAAGAGUCCAAUUCCAUAUCUCAGGAAUUGAAGCCUCACACUGCAGCUGCCAGCAAGGCUAAGACUACCUCACUCCUGUCCUUUGCACCACUGGGAUAUGCCAUGGGGGCAAGGGAGUGGAAAGUCUGUUGAUUAUGUAAGUGGCAGUUUGUAUACAUUCAUCCCAGAAACUAAGGGGUAAAUUAGAUUGAAAACAAAUGACUCUAGCAACAUUUAAUAGAUGUUGGUGCUUUCUUUCGACUACUCUAUUUUGUUAAGGUGACUCAACACAAGUCUUUUGAUGUAUAACACCCUUAGACGUAAAAAAAUCUCUAAGGUGAAAUUUUGGACCAUUAUACGAAUGAAUGCACUUUAUCUUGAGAUUAAAUUGUGUCUCAAUUAAAGUGAAGAAAGUUGGAACGACAGAUUGCGUUUGAUUUUUAGAAUUUAGUAAUCAAGUCCAUGUACAUCGAGUAAAGUCAUCGACAAGAGUUAGAAAGUAUUUUGAACCAUCAAUAGCAGUAGUAGAUAAAGGACCCCAUAGAUCAGCAUGUAUUAGAUCAAAUGGGGUUGAACUAUUUAUUUCACUGGAAACAUAGGGUAAUCUGUGUAAUUUAGCAGUAGGGCAAACAUCACACUGAUGUAUAGUAUUUACAUUCAAAUCUAAAAUGGUAGAUUGCAACAUUGUAGGCGCUGCAAAGAUGGAUGCCCUAACCUAAGAUGCCACAAAUUAGAAACUGUGGAUGUUAUAGAAUUGGCAAAGUGUUUGUGUUGUGUAGGAGUGAUGUUCAGCAUAUAGAACAGGCCGUUUCUCUCUUUAGCCAGACCAAUCAUCUUCUAUAAACGUAGGUCCUGUAUAAAGCACACACCAGACAAUAAGAUGAGAUUACAUCUAACUAUUUUAAGCAACUGAUUGAAAUUAGAUUGAAUGCAAAAGACGGCACGCAUAGAACAUUCUUCAAAAUGAUAAGAGUCUGAAAGUCUAAUUGAUCCAACAUGUGUAACCUCUGUUAAAGUACCAUUUGGAAGCUUAACAAACCGAGAUGCUGAAGCUGUGAUUUCAGUGAGUGAAUGGACUGAACACACCAUGUGAUCUGUAGCACCGGUGUCUAAAAUCCAUUUAUAAUUCAUAUUCAAAGUUUCAGGACUUUCAAAUGACUUAGAUAUUGACUUACACGAAAAACAUUGACUAAAUACUGAUGCAUUGUGGAGGCAAAUAACUUGAUAUACCUGCCAGAUUUGCUAAGGCAUGCUUCUGGGAACCAGAGAUGCUUGCAUUCUGAAGGUUAAUAGUACGGGUACUUGUGAAUGGCAAAGACGUUUCAUCGAUAGGUUAAAUCAAAGCCAGCAGCUAUUCAUAUUGAUCUUUAGUGAAGGGGAAUUUUGAAAGAUCAGUGGUGAUAUUAGGAACAAAUUCUACUUGAUUUGUAACUCCAUGGACCACAGGAUUCUUGUUCUUGAACUUAUAUCUUGGUGGAUAUCCGUGUACUUUGUAGCAUUUGUCAAUUUUGUGGCCAAGAAGACCAUGGUGGCUGCACUGACGACACUCCUUUUUAUUGUUCGGUCCAGUGUAGUUGUUUAUUCCCUCGUUAGUAUAUUGAUUCCUAUUGAAAUUUUUAGCAACCAUAGCUACGGAAUCUAGAUUAUGUGUGAUUCUAGCAGUUAUUUCUCUUUGCUUUUCCUCUUGUGCAACUAGAGAGAAAACUUUGUUAAUUGCUGGUAAUGGAUCAAUCAAUAGUAUUUGACCUCGAGUCUGAGAGUAACUCUCAUUCAGCCCCAUCAGAAAUUACAUGAUAUAAUCCUCCUGCUGAAACUUCAUCAAGGAGGCUGGAACACGUCUAUAACGUCCAAGUUCAUCCCAAAAACGUCUUCAGUUUGGUGAAUUAGGCACUUACUGAACACUGAUUUUGUGUUAAAGAGGCGAUCCCCUUCCUCAGUUGAAAGAUACGAGGUCCAUUUGUUUUUGAAAACCUCUUUAAGUUAUGGCAAAAAAAACUUCACUUCCUUCUCACAAUCCUCAACAUGGUGUAAUAGCUUACAACUCCAAAGCCAGAAGAGACAAAAAAUGAACCAUUGGAGAUACAAGACCUAGACAAAAAUGAGAUCAAGAUGAUUACAUAUGCGAGGGUCACAUUUAACAUGCAAUGUCUCAUAAUUCUCUUUUUGAUCAGUACCACAAGAAGAAAAUCGCCAAGGAAAUAUGGGAAGCAUUGGAAGCCAAAUGCAUGUUGGAGGAUAUUACAAGUAAGAAAUUAAUUGUAUCUAAUUCUUUCAAUAUCGAAUGGUGGACAACGUGAAGAUAAUUGAGCAAUUUCAUAAAACCACUCAUAUACAUAACCAAUUUCUUCAAUACCACAUCAAUAUGGAUGUGUCCAUUGACAAACUACCUGCAUCUUGGAAAGAUUAUAAUAGAAGUCUAAAACACCAUAAAUAAGAUAUCCCUAUUGAAGUAUUGGGUCGUAAUCUCUGAAUGGAGAAAGAGUUCAAAAUGAUUAAUUUUUUAGGAGCAUAGUGUCCAAUCUUCUAAAGUUCAUGUGGUUCAGGAUAAGGAAGGAUCGAUGAAAAGAAGAUGAUGCAAAUUAACAAAACAACAAAAACAACAUGAAGAGGAAGCACGAUUCAAAAGACGAGGGUUCCAAGAAACAGAGUAGGUCUUGUUACAAUUGUAGCAAAAUGUGAAAGUGUCGCCAUUUGAAGAAGCAAGAUGACAUGGAUAACUUUGUAAUUUGAAUUUGUUUUAAGUAUGCUUUCAAGUUUGUUUUGAGAUUUUUGAAUAUGUAUUGCCAAAGAGUGGUAUUUUUUGGAAAAAUAUUUUUGUUUGUGUGCGUGUUUAUAAUUAAAUAAAUUAUUGUUAUAGGUUGAUUUAUUAUUUGAUUUCAUAUUUGCUUACGAGAUGCUUGAAGAUUACUUUGAUAUAAAUACGUUAGAAUAAGUAACUUGCUAUUAUAUUGAGCUAGUAUCAUACGUAUUUUCUAAUUUAUUAUUAUUAUUUUUUUUAAUGACAGGGGAACCCGUAGUCGCAAAGCACGCCAGCCUGGUAAACCACACUAGACAAGCCCUGUGCGAUAGUCUCGAUCGAGAAAGUAUUAGUAGAGAGAAUCGAACUCGUGACUAAAGACCACCGCACUCACUUACUCCACUACUCUGCCACCCAAUGAGGGGCAUGUAUUUUCUAAUUAUUAUCAUGAAUGUUUGCUAUAGUUAAUAAGGAAAUUUAAAGAUAUUUUUUGUCAAGUUACUUGUAAUAAUAUAUAUAUAUAUACAAAUUUUGAAAUAAGCUUCUAUACUUUUAAACAUGAAAUUAGUUUUGUGCUUAACUAGUAUACCAUAUAAUCUUCAUAUGAUAUAACAUCGAAUUGUUUAACAUAAGUGUCAGUAUAUAUCUUCCCCAAAGGCUUCGGUUUUGGAAAAGGAACUAGCAAAAUAAAUCCAUUGGUUUGGGACCUAGUUGAUCUUCAACGAAAUGUAAAACUCGAGUCCAAUAAAGUAAAGGAAAUUAAAUGGAUUGAUUAAUUCAAAGGUGUUGCAAAUCUCUAUUCUUCCAUUAAAAGAAUAAAAUAUUGAUUUGUCAAUUAAGUGAUUAAAUGUCCUUAUUAUAAUUGACAAAGUAGAUAUGACUUAACUAAAUGAUCUUGGUUUAAGUAAUUGAUUAUACAAGAUCAAUGGAUUGAAUUAGUCUAUGACUAUGGCAUGUUAAAAUUUACAUAAGGCCUUGACUCGUUAAAUGUCACGGGAUUGAGACGGGAAAUACAACUAAUCACCAAUGAUGAAAAGUCGAUCUAACACUUGAAACAUCAAGUUCUUAGGUUCAAAGAGUAAAGUAUUUCAAAUAGGUGAUCAUAGGAAAUAUUCAUUUUUUCCCAUGUAAGUGUGCUUAGUACACUUAACAAUAAGGGAAAAGAUCAGUUAUUGAGCUUUUAAUAGAUUUAAAAAAAGGUUGAACUCCAACCUUGAGGACCCCUACCGUCCCGUCCAUGGAGCAUCGUGAGGGAGGAAAAUCGCAGGAUAUGCCCUAGCAGGCCAGAGAACAAGAGAUUAUCCAUAUACUGGUGCCUACAAAAAGUCUAAUUUCAUAUCUCAGGAAUCGAACCCUCACACUGCGGCUGCCAGCAAGGCUGAGACUACCUCACUUCUGUACUUUGCACUACUGGAUUAUGCCCCCGAAGGGCACUUUUAAUAGAUUUAUAUAGAAUACUCUAGUUACGUUAGUAUUAUUGAUAAGUGUCAGAAUUUGGGUGUGAUCCAAUUUUUUUUUUUUCAAAGAUAAUUGUGAGUUCUAAUUAAAGUGCACAUUAAGAAUAAUCCUUUUUGGAAUGCUAUUAUGCAAUUCUAUUCAAGUUUACUUGACGAAUUCUAGUUGAAGUUUUACUUAGAAGUCCAAUUGGGAGUUUAAAUUUGUAUUGGACUUAAAUGGGAUAUUGGGAUGAAGAAAAUCAAGUUUUUGAAGUAAAGGACUGGAGAAUGGGCAUCACAAUGCCAAGAAGUUUUUGGUUCGGCGUCGAGGUGCACAUUGUCUGUUUCUCCCUAAGCGAUUUUUUCCUACUCUACUCCAUUUUGGACUCUCUCUUUUUUGCAUUCAACUUCAACUACAACUCUACUAUUAGGGUGUGGACAUUCACUACUAGUUAAAUAUAUAGUUGGCUCUUCAUUAUGACUUAGAAGAAGUUAUAAACAUCGUAAACACAAAUUUUUGUAUUCUUUCUCCAUAUUUCCAUUCUUUGCAAAUUAUCUUGUUUUUGCGUUAUAUUAAUCAAUUAUUUCAUAUUAUGGCUAUAAUAUCUUAUUUUUCUCCAACAAUUUGGUAUAAAAUUAAUCCGAAUUAUUUUCAUUUCACAAUAAACGGGUAUCAGAGUGUUUGGUGUUUAAAUUCUUGGGAAUAUUGAGGUUUUGAUCAAGUUAAUAGCUCAACUUGAUCUUUCAUCAUGGAAACAAUGAAGUAUGAUAUUCUGCUAUUAAAUCGCAAUACAAGAUUAUCUUUAUGACAAAUAAAGAUGGGAGCAGUAAUCGAUCAGAUGGAUUCGGAUGACGAAAGUUAUUAGAAUUUGACAAGAUGCCUACAACUUGAACUCCAGAGGAGAAACAUCAGAUGGACCGAAAGAUCCUAUCUUAUAUACAACUUCAUCUUUCAAAUAUUAUUCUUUGGGAUGUUUUGAAGGAGAAGUUAGCUACUGCAUUAUUGUUAAAAUCAGAACAAUUAUGCAUGACGAAAAGUCCUAUUAGCAAAUUGCAUUUGAAGCAACAUAUAUAUUCUCAUCAUAUGACAGAAGGUAUAUUUAUUGAGGAUCACCUAGCUAUUUUUAAGGAAAUUAUCGCUAAUUUGGAGACCUUGGAAGUCAAAUAUAAUGAAGAAAAUUUGUGAUUGAUUUUAUUGUGUUCAUUGUCCACUUCAUACAUGUCUUUUAGAGACACAAUUUUAUAUAAUUGUGAUAUUCUGACCAUCAAAGAACUCUAUGAUGUUCUAUAUUCAGAGGAGAAGAUGAAGUAUCUUGUUGCAUUUGAGAGUCUUUGAGAUGGCUUCAUUGUUGAUGGUGGUCAUUCAAAGGAUAAGUCAAAAAUCUAACUUCAAAUUUUAUAAUUAUUACAAAAAAGGGGGGCACUAGAUAAAUGAUUGUUACAAGUUGUAGAAUAAAUCAAAAUUGACUGCAAAUAAACAAUCAGAAAUUUUAGGAAAAACAAGUAUUGCAAAAAAAAUCCUAACAAUGAUGGAGAGCUUUUACUUAUGUCCAACUAUAACUCCAAAUUUGACAAGGCUUGGAUUUUUUAUGCUGCUUGCACUUUUUAUAUGACUCCUAAUCGAGAUUUAUUCUCAACAUAUGAAGAAGUUUUAAAAGGUAUUGUAAUGAUAGGUAAUAAUACACAUUGUCAAAUAGCUUGUAUUUGUCGAAUUAAAAUAAAGAUGUUUGAUGGGAAGGUUAGAACACUUAAUGCAGUGAGGUGCGUUCCAGAUUCGAAGAAAAAUCUUAUCUCUUCAAGUACUUUUGAUUCAAAAGAGUACAAUUAUAUUGUUAAAGGUGGAGUCCUGAAAGUUAGUAAAUCAGCAUGUGUUUUGUUAAAGGGAUAUAGAAAAUUCCAUUUAUAUAUCUUGCAGUGUUAUAAAGAAUUUUUGAGCAAUCAGCAUAUUUUAAGAACUCAAGUGGAUUUGGAGUUGGAUUCUAUAUUGUUGGAGCCUAAUUUUAGGGAUUUUUAUUUUUAUUUAUUUAUUUUUUUUUUUGUAAAAAAGAAUACAUCUCAGUAAAUUUAGAAGUUAUAGGUAAAUCCGGCUUACCACCAUCAUCGAUGGUGUCAUUGUAUUUAGUUGCUUGUAAUAAACCUAUUUUUGGCCAUAAUAUUUCACAUAGAUACAAUUAUGCUGAUUUAGUUGAUAGUUUGAAUGUGAUUAAAGGUGUUGAUUCUAGCCAAGAUCCUUCUUUUAAUGUAUUCAGUUGUAAUUCUAUUAUAGGGCUUGUUUCAACUUUGUUUGGUGGUCAUUAGAUCACUUUUUCCUUUAAUUGAGGUAGUAGAGGUGGAGAAUGUUUCGGUUGAAUUUUUUUAUGGAUAAGUUCGUUUGUGUCCUUUAGUGAAGAUUUCAAGUUUUUUUUCCAUGUAGUGGAAUUUGUCUUCAAGUGGAGAAUUUUUUCUUUUGAAGUUUUAUUCAUUUUAGUGGAAUUCGUGUCAAGGUAGAGAUUGUUAGAAUUUGGUUGUGACCUGAAUUCUUUGUUGAAGAUAAUUGAAAGUUAUAAUUAAAGUGCACAUUAGGAAAAAUUCUAUUUGGACUGUUAUUGUGGAAUUCUAUUCAAGUUUACUUGGCGAGUUCUAGUUGAAGUUCUACUUGGUAGCCCAUUAGGAAUUGAAAUUUGUGUUAAACUUGAAUAGAAUAUUGUGAUGAAGAAAAUCAAGUUUUUGAGGUAAAGGACCUGAGAGUGGAAACCACAGCACCACGACGCUACCUACUCUGUUUCGUCCAGUGUGAUUUUUCUUUCUCUACUCCAUUUUGCAUUCUACUUCAACCACAACUCUACUAUUAGGUUUUGGACGUGCCCCUAUUUAUUCUUUAUAUAUAGUUAGCUUUUCAUUAUGAUUUAGAAGAAGUUAGAAACAUUGUAAACACAAAUCUUUGUAUUAUUUUUUCAUAUUAUAAUAAAAUUUCCAUUCUCUACAAAUUAUUUUGUUCUUGUGAUUAAUUACUUCAUAUUAUGGCUACAAUCUCUUAUUUUCCCCAACAGUUUGGUAUUGGAUUAAUCCGGUAUCAUCUUCGUUUGAUAACAAUAAGUCUAUCUCCAUGAGCGUCGAUGAUGGUUUAUCUCCAAAGUGUCUCGACUCGCUACUUAAGACAUUCUUGAAAAUUAAGGAUAUGGGACACGUGGAGUAUUCACAUGUUGAUUUAUAUGAACACGGGAGGAUAUGAAACUUGUAUAUGAAGUUUUUCGCUUAGCCAUAUAGGGUUUUUGGUUCAAAGCUUGUCUACCAUAUCGCUUUGGUUAAUAUUGUUAGAGUUGGUGACUCAAAUUGGAAAGGAAAUCUUGAAGAUGCGUGAUUGAUUUGGAGAAUCAAAUAGUAUUUGAAAAAUAAAGAAACAAAGUUUUUGUCUCGUUUUUUUUUUCUUUUUCACGUUUAACCUAGAAUUCUUACCUUUUUAUGACUCUUUUAGUGCUACACUCUUGUGGUAUAAAUAUGAGUCUCAUCUUUUAGUAUUGUUGAAACAUCAUUACUGUCCAGUUGUAAUUCUCUUCAUAUUAAUAAAAUUCGUCGUUCCUAUGCUUAAUUCAUCUUUUACUUUAAUCUUGUUCGUGGUAUUUUGCAAUCUUGUAUUAUACUUCAAAUUGGUGUCCAUUAAAUCUCAAUUCUUGCGUUUCAUUUCCACCCGGUCCCAACAAGUGAUAUCAGAGCGAGGUUGUUGGUGGAUUUCUGGCCUGAAACUAAUCAAAAAUUGGUCUGAAAAUUACCAGAAAAUCAGAAAAUGAAUCUGUCCAGUUUUUUUCGAUUUUCUACUGGAUCUAUUUGUGCAUUUUUCGAUAAAACUACUUACCUUUUGGAGAAACGAACACCACCAGUGGACUCAGCAAGCAGAGACGGUCCAGAAAGGGUCACAGGUCGUCGGCGCGUUUCUGGUUAGUCGCCGGCGGUGGGAACUUUGACGAGAGAAUGGUGGGGCGUGCGGUGAUUUUCGACGAUGGUGUCUUCAGGCAGUUUUCUCCGAACGACGAGACAGACCUUGUGGUGGUGUCCAAUUUCAGUUUUGGGCAAAAUUGUGGUUCUGGACUGUUUUGCCCCUUGUACGUUCCGAAGUUUUCAGUUUUGGAUGUUGCAAGUUGCAGGCUCUUUGUGAUUUGGUUGAGAUUUUUCAAGAACGAAUUCGUUGAAGUAUGAAAUUCUGCUAUUGGAUCACAAUACAAGAUUUUCGCUGUGGUAAGUAAAGGUGAGAGCUGUGUUGACGCAGAUGGAUCUUGAUGAUGCUUUGCUGGGUUUUGAUAGGAUGUCAGCAAACUUGUCUAUGGAGGAGAAACAACGAAAGGAUCGAAAGGUUUUAGCGCAAGUCCAACUUCAUUUAUCCAACAAUUUGCUGCAAGAUGUUUUGAAGGAGAAGACAGCGGCUGCUUUGUGGCUCAAGCUGGAGCAGUUGUGCAUGACAAAGAGUUUGACGAGCAAACUGACUCUAAAGCAAAGAUUGUAUUCUCAUCGUAUGGUGGAAGGAGGGUCACUAUAGGACCACCUUGCUGUGUUCAAGGAGAUCGUUGCAGAUUUGGAGACGUUGGUGGUAAAAUAUGAUGAAGAGGAUCUAGCCUUUGUCCUAUUGUGUUCGCUACCCAAUUCUUUUUCGUCUUUUCGUGAUACUAUAUUGUAUCAUCGUGACACAUUGUCCAUUGAGGAGGUAUACGACGCCCUAUUCUCAAAAGAGAAGAUGGAGUUAUUGGUUGGAGAUCCUACAUCUAGGAGUGGGAAUGCUCUGGUUACUCAUGUUGAUCGACGGAAGGGUAGAUCGAAGGUGAGGUACAACAAUGUGUAAUGUUAUUACUGCAAGAGGAAAGGACACAUCAAGAAAGAUUGCGACAAGUUGCAGGGUAAAGGUGAUUUACAUGUAAAUCAUGUGGGACAAUCAGGUAAUUCAAACGAGACUAAUAUUGCUGAAAAUUUUUGUGAUGAUGGAGAUGUGAUGUUGGCUGUAUCUAACAGGGAAUCUAAACCUGAGGAGUGGAUUUUGGAUUCUGCUUGUUCGUAUCAUAUAUGUCCCAAUAGGGCUUUGUUUCAAACAUAUGAGACGGUGAAGCAAGGUGGGGUUGUCAUGGAAAACAACCAAUCUUGCUAGGUUGCAGGAAUCGGUCGGGUCAGAUUGAGGCUACAGGAUGGAACAGUGAGGACACUUGAUCAGGUUCGUCAUGUUCCAGACUUGACAAAGAAUCUCAUAUCACUGAGUACCUGGGAUGAAAAAAGGUACAAAUUUUCUGGUGGAGGUAGAGUCUUGAAGGUUUGAAGGGGUGUCUGGGUUGUACUGGAGGGACGGAGGAAAUCCCAGUGUACAUCUUGCAGGGGAGCACAGAACCAGUUCAGAGACAUUUGGACAAGUUCAGUACCGUGGUGGACAUUCAAUUUGGUACAGUACCUCUCGGGUUUGGCUCUGAGUUAGUUAAGAACUUUGCUCAAGGGAAUAUUGGUGAUUCUGCUUUGCCACCAAUUUUAGCGGGUACACUGUGUUCUUGUAAUGCCAAUGGACUCAUGGAGCGUAGGUAUAGUUUUGGAGAUGUCUAUAGUGCUUUAGAAAUCAUUGAAGGUGACAAUAUUGGCAAGGGACCUUCUGAUUGUGCAUUUGGUGUGGUUUCUGCUACAGGGUGUGCUUCGACCCUGUCCAGUGAUUGUUAAUUCCAAGAGGAAUUUUGAGAACCCAAGUUUUGGGUUCGGGUGUCGCUUGUGGAAGCUGGGCGGGGUAAUGUGUUAUCGUGGAGAGUUUUGGUUACUGUGUUGAAGAGAUUGGUUAUUCUGAUGCAAAUGGAUUAUUUCUCAAGGUGGAGAAAUUUUGGAGUUUCGUUCGUUGCACCGAAAUUUGAGUCAAGGUGGAGAUUGUUAGAGUUGGUGAUUCAAAUUGGAAAGGAAAUCUUGAAGAUGCGUGAUGGAUUUGGAGAAUCAAAUAGUAUCCGAAAAAUAAGGAAACAAAGUCCUUGUCUCGUUUUUUUCCCGUUGAACCUAUAAUUCUUACCUUUUUAGGACUCUUUUAGAGCUAGACUCUUGUGGUAUAAAUAUGAGCCUCCUCUUUCAGUAUUGUUGAAGCAUCAUUGCUGUCCAAUUGUAAUUCUCUCCAUAUUAAUAAAAUUCAUCGUUCCUCUGCUUAAUUCAUCUUUUACUUUAAUCUUGUUCGUGGUAUUUUGCGAUCCUGUAUUAUACUUCAAAUUGGUGUCCAUUAAAUCUCAAUUCUUGCGUUUCGUUUCCACCCGGUCCCAACAAAUAUUUGCAACAACUUCACUACGUGAAGGUUGAAGUCCAAAAGCACCUUCGUCUAUGCAUAAAGUUUGUGAUGUCUAUAUGGUAGAUUGUAAAACUAUCACUCAUUUUGGAAAUUGUAGAGAAUUGUUGGAAUAAUUUCCAAAAAAAUGUCGUUUAGACAUUGGUAGUUUAAAUCAAGGAAAUACUUCAAGAAGCGUUGGAUCAAGAUAGGACAAGAACAAGAGAUGACCAAACGGACCAAAACUUGCACUAGUUUGCAACAUAAAUUGGCGCAAGUACGCCCAAGGCUAGUGCACCUACGCUAGUUGAGUAAUUGAAGCACAGGUACUCUGCCUUGUUGAUGCAAGUGACCUGUUGGCUAGUGCACCCGCGCUGCCAAGCGACAACAAUGGUGUCUUUUCGUUCCUAACUGAUGUUUGAUAGUUAGAAUUCAAUUUUUUUUCAGUUUGUAUUGAUGUAGUUCAAACUCUAAUAAUUAUCUUGAAGUGUUGUAACUCUUGGGAAGAUGUGUAAAAUAAUUUUAAUUCGUUUUUACUCUACCAUUUUCUACACUUUCUUGCAUCCAAAAUACCAACUUUAGUGCAUUCUUAUCUUCUUGAGUAUUGUUUGUAUUUAUCAUACUGCAGAUAUAAAGUGGAAAUUUUGAGUGGACUUUCCAUUGUUCGUGUUGUCUUCGUGAGAAAUCCCAAACAACACUAAAGGGCUUCAUUAUAUCCUAUAGACGUAUUUGCAUUCCAUGUGCAUCAUAGAUUGGUGGAAACAAAUAUCAUCUUAAGGAAAGAGAUAUUUGUUAUAUGCCUUGAAGCCGGUAUUGUUUUAAGUUCGAGUUUUUGCGAUAUUCCAACAUCUAGUUUCGUCUAAUUGUCAUCUCUAAACUGAUCUCACCUACACCUUCGAACCUCGUUUCAGUAAUCUACCUAUAUAUAUUCAUCUAAUUCAAUCCGUCAAUUUGUUAAAAUUUGGAUGAUCGAAAAGGUCUUACAGAUGUUUUAAAUUGACCAGCUUCCCUAGUUCUGCUGGAAUGGUCCCGUUUAACCUGUUACUCCCCAAGCCCCUGAAAGUUGAAUAGAUUUUCAAAAUUACAAUUAGAAUUUCGGGAAAAUAUAUCCACUAUCAAACAAAACAUUCAUGGUGUUUGCUUGUUUAUGUAGGAGUGACCAUAUGUAGAGAGAGAGAUCUAUGGGUCAGUUGAUAUGUAGAGGGGGAGAUAGCUAGAUAGGAACUCACAAAUACGUAGUAAUGUUUCCCAGGAAUUUCGGUAUGGGUCCAAAUAGGCGGUUCACCAAAAGACUUCUAUAUCACACGUACUUUUUCGAUAUAACAAAGGAUGUAGACAUUACAUCAUUGCCAAAACUCAAUUAAAAGCUACAGGCAAGGCUCACAUGGACUCCAAUUUGGUUGCUUCCCAUUCCAUGGGUAUUGUACCAUUAAGGUAGUUGCCACUAAGAUCUCUGUAGCCAAUAGAUUCAGAGUGAGAUCAAUGUGGCCAAUAAAUUGUCUCAACCUUUCGAAGCAAAAAGCUGAGUAGAUUUAAUAAAUUGAAAAUAAACUUGGAACAUCUUGCUACAUUGUCUUGAGGUAUGGUAACUUUGCCUGUGAGGGCGGAAGGACACCUGCCAAAUACUGUCCAUUUAGAAAUCUGUUUGUAAAGAAAAGCGACAAUCUUUAGCAUACUCUGAAUUGAAAAGUUUUCAUCUAAAUUUUACAAGUGCGACAAUUAAAAUUUCUUGAGAAGUGAAAGAAACAAAGCCAAAAAAAAAAAAAUAAUAAUAAAAUAAAUAAAUAAAUCAUUCCGAAGGGAUUUUGAAGGAAACAAUACAAUAUAUUAAGCCCAUGUUUGGUGGGGGAUUAUUUUUAGCAAAUUUUGAUAAAAGUUGAUGAAAUGUAUAGUUGAAAAGUUUUGGGUCUAUAAAAUAUGAGGCUAAAAUUAAUUGUUGAUGUUUAUUUAGAUUAAGAUCUAUAUUUUAGUCCUAGGAAAUAGGGGCUAAAUGUAUAGAGUGUUUCAAGUAAAACAACUUGUUAGAGUGGCUUCUAGAACACACUACAAACGUUAUACGAUUUCAUUUUCAACUCUAACUUAACAAUCAAGAAUGUAACUUGAAAACAUGGUGAAAUAAAGUUGUAUGCUUGACUGAAUGGAAAAAAAGAACUAUAUUUAUUUUUUAUUUUUUUAUGGUUAUAAUACUAACACAGCUUAUUGCAGAAACUUCUAUACAUAUGUUAAGUGCAAAUCGUGGUGAAAGAUGAUGAAGAUAGAGAGUCUAGCAAUAUAAAAUGAAUAAUGCUAUUUAGCACCACUGGUGUUAUAAUACCAGUUUUGGUGACACAAAGUGUCAUUAAAUGAGUCACUACCUUUCAUUUAGCCCAUUGCAUGGCGACAGUUAUACUGGUCUUCGAUGACAUUAUUCAUAUGAAAUAAGUCAUAAAGGUCAAGUUUGAUUACUAGGCACCAUAAGUUCUAUUGAGGUCUAAGCAUGAAAAAAGUACAAUAAUUCCCACUUAAAAUACCAUUUUAAGAAUCGACAAACAGAUUUCCAACCAUUAUAUGGUAUUCCAUGCCUCAAAAUCAAAUACUGAAAACCCCAUAUUUAGCUGCUUGAAGGAUCAAUAGAAGCAGAAUAUAUUUUCUGUGAUUCCUGAUUCCUUGCAACGUAAUAGCACAAAUGGCUAUUUCGAAAUCAGUUUCAAACUAAUGAUAAAGAUGAUAAGUUUUCAGCAAGAAAACCUACAUUAAUUUUACGUGGCACACACCACCAGGGAAAUUACAAUGGCAGAUGAUGGAAUUGCUGUACCAUUGAAUAUCUUCUCGUUUUGGUGUAUUCCAGUUUGAGUUAUUAUCACAAGGAUUCAGGUUGAAGUCCCAGUCCUUUUUGCCCAACUGAUCAGCUAUUUCACGAAGAGCAUUCUCUGCAAAAAUCAGAACUCUAUUCUAAAAUAUAAAUGUGAUCGGAUUCAUGUUGAUCAAAGUGAACUUUUAAGGAGUUUAAUGGAAGGCUAAAAAGUGUAGUCCCUAAUGAGCUAAACACGUGAAUGGAAAAGAAAUAAAUGGUUUACAUGUGCAAUGACUAGCGAUCGUGGCAUAACACAUUGGAAAAAAUAGAGAUAUACAAAACUACUACAGCCAAUUAUCUUUGAUCAUCUAGUUGUUUUGCCUCUUAUAUUAGAUGUAAUAAAAUAAAUAGACCAGAGUGGUUCGUGGUCUCAAAAUGAAAGUUAUUAUUAUCAUUUUUACUUUAAAAUAGCACAGAAGGUGUUUUAAGGCCACUAUGUUUGCAUCUUCGUAAUCAAAUUAGUCUUGUGGGUAGUCCGUGUUUGUAUUAAAUCUAUUCCCAUUUUCAGGUAUUUCCAUUUUUUGCCAAUUUCUUGGGUAAAAUCUCCCACCUAUCUUAAAGAUAAAGAAAGCUUUCUUGGAUACUUCUUGCACUAAAAAUGAAGGACGAUCCAAUUUAUUAACUAUGAAGCACUAAUAUUUCUUCGAAGCAUAAAACAACUAAAAAAUUAGUAAAAAUGAAUGAAAACCGCUUCAGGCUACUUGUUUUCAAUAAUCUCUGGUACAUAACUGAUAAAUUUACUAAAGAAGAAGUAUUUCAUCAUCAUCUACUAACUUUAUCCUUAUUGCAUAUCUAACUAUAUAAUUGUUGUGCUUGUUAAUAUAUUCAAAAUGUGUUGGAUAAUUGCCUCAGAAGUCAAAAGUUGGAGUACUUCUAUUGCAAAUAAUAAAAGGUAAUAAUUGUAUGGAAGACUUCUAGUUAAAGUUGAGAGAAAAAUCCUCGCAGAAUUUGAUUUCCAAUUUUACAUCCGCUUUUGAAGUCUUGCAUAUAAAGGAGUCCUUGUUUGAGUUGAAAUUGAACUCUUUUACUUAAUUAUCGAUCCUACAAAUAGUGGAUGUAUUUAUUAUUUCAUGGGUGUGGCCUGAGAGUUGAUCCGAGAGAUAAAUAUUGUGAGCCUAAUAUCUUGAGAGUUUUCAUAUAAAGAGUAGAAAAGUGGGUAUGGUAAAGCUCAAGAUUAUUUUUCUUUGUAAUACUUAAGAAUUGGGUUGGUGAGUAAAAUUUUAUAUGGUUGUAACAAUUUUCAUAUAGUGAAAGGCUUUGAAGGUCUGCUAGUGAUACAAAUAGAUUAGUAAAUGACAUAUCUAUUCAAUUAAAUGGAUAUCGACAUUUUACCUAGAUAUUUAUUGUGGUGCGGCAAAAAAAUAUCAUGUCAAUUUUAUCAAUGCUAUGCCCGCAAUAACAUGACCCUGAUCAUUUAUUUUACUUUCUUUCAUCAAAAGACAUUUAUUUCGGGACAUCAUAAAUAUUUUCUAUUUCCUCCCUGGCAAAAGAUAAACAUAAGUGCAUUAACUUUCUAGGUCCUUAAUGGAAACUUGGGAAUUAGACCUUCAACAUGGGCCACCUAAUCUGAAUAUUCAAAUAAAUAUUUCUUUCAUUAUCAUGUCUAUGCACCUCACAGUACAAUUGACUCCUCCGUAUUCCAUUUCAUCAGCAUUAAUCACUUGUUUAAUGCAUGUUCAUCUUCUUUUUCUGAACGAGUGAACCUAAAUCAGAUAAAGAUAACUGCAUGAGCACAGGGCUAACCUGUAGAAUUUUCUAUCAGGCUGUCUUUUAGUAACCUGAAAAUGAAAUCAGAGACUUAGCAAAGACUUGCUAGGUUAGUCCAUCGCGAAGUCUUUUUCAUCUGUAUUUACAUUAAGAUAAAAAGAGAAUUUUAUAAAUGCAUGUUCAAAUAUUACAAAGCUAGACUAUUAUGAAUCAAUUAUUGUUUCUUGAAUAAAUAUUUCUUUUCCAAUUGUAGAGAUAUUUACAAUAUCAACACUAUUUUCCUAGAUUUCGUUGCCUUAUUAGAGUUUUGAUCAAAACAUUGACCAACUAGAUAAUAUUGUGCAUGUCCAUUGACUCAAUUUGAAGUGUUUUGAUUGUAAGCUCUCUCCCAGUCGCCAAUAAAAUCCAUACUUUCUUAAAUUAUGUUUAUUGGCGCCAAUAUUUUUUUUGCAAGCGAUUGCGGCACAGCACGUUGGAAAAAGUAGAGAUAAACCAAAACUACUAUAGCCAAUUAUCUUUGAUCAUCUAGUUGUUUCGCCUCUUAUAUUAGAUGUAAUAAAAUAAAUAGACCCGAGUGGUUCGCGGUCUCAGAAUGGAAGUGUGUGUGUGUGUGUUUUUUUCCUUCACUUUAAAAUAGCACAGAAGGUAUUUUAUGGCCACUAUGUUUGCAUCCUCAUAAUCUAAGUGAUCUCGUGGGUAGUCUGUAUUGGCAUUAAAUCUAUUCCCAUGUUCUGGUGUUUCCAGUUUUUGCCAAUUUCUUGGGUAAAAUCUCCCAACUAUCUUAAAGAUAAAGAAAGUUUUCUUGGAUGCUUCUUGCACGAAAAAUGGACAGUCCAAUUUAUUAAACUAUGAAGCACUAAUAUUUCUUCAAAGCAUAAAACAACUAAAAAAUUAGUAAAAAUGAAUGAAAACCUGCUUUGGGCUUCUUGUUUUCAGUAAUCUCCGAUACAUAACUGAUAAAUCUACUAAAGUAGCAUAUCAUCAAAUUUCUUCCUCUGCUAACCUUAUCCUUAUUGAAUAUCUAAUUAUAUAAUUGUUGUAUUUGUUAAUGUAUUCAAAAUAAAAUUUCCACAGUGAACAUCUCACUACGUCAAUGACAUGGUUUGCUAGUGAUACAAAUAAAUUUUCAUGUCAAUUUUAACAAUUUAUAGGCCUCAAAUCCCUAUUAGAAUUUCUUUCAGUUGUGCUGGAGCAUCUUGAGUUUAAACCUAUUAGGUUCCCAAACACCUGAGGUCAAGUUCCUCUCCUCUGCAAGAUAUUUAUAGACAAAAUGAAGUAUUCUAUUUAAUAUUUUAUUUUACUUUUAACAAGAAAGAACGGUAAAACUGUUUUAGAACGUGCGCAUAAGCUAUAAUUAGGACUAAUAAAGAUUUGUUAAGUAAGCCCGACGUCAAGAGGUAUUUUAAAUUCAACCUUAGUAAUUUGAUGCUCUACAUCAAUGUCUGAAUGAUAUAAUGUAACCAUAUGUUAAGAAUUAUGUCAACCAUUAUAUUACUGUAGCAUGAUUCAUAGGGAAAUGGGUUAGGAGAAUCUUUUCUCGCUAGCAAUUGUCGUAUCUUUAUAGUUGACAACAUAUUACUCGGUAUUUCUCAAUGUACAUGCCCUUGAAUAAAUGGACUGAAAGUACUAAGAAAGAGAAAUAAAUUCUAAUUCAUAAUUCAUUGAAGGUUGUCUGAGAAGGAAACUCGAGCAGAUGUAGAGGAUAAGCCAGUUUCUGGCGCAUCAGACAAAUGAAUGAGGAUUGAGUUUUACUUGAAUUAAGUUUCAAGUAUUAGAACUUCUCUCUGACUAAUUGAAGAUUCACUAACGAGUUGAGCUGACUCCCUCCGCCCCAUUAACUAGUUGAGUUGGCUACGGAUGAACUGUAGGAGCGAGUCGAUCAAUCACAUGAGUCGGAUCGCGAGACUAGAUGAUUUGGAUUUCCAUCUUAAAAUGUCAACCUUGUUAGAAGGAAUAAUCCAAACCCUUAUAGGUUGGUUUAUAUAUCUUUAUUCGAUGUGUGAUUUUAUCACUUAACAUGCCGAGUAAGAUGGUCGAACCAAUCUUGAAAUUCAUGUGCUCAUUUUUUUUAGUCUUAAUAGGAUCGAAUCGCUCAUUUGAGCUUAAUAGACUCUAAUAUCAUGUAAAGAUUUGAAAUUCCAUCUUAAAAGGUCAACAUUGUUAAUAGAGGUAGUUCAAACUCUUAUAAAUUGUAUUAUAUUCUUAUCUUUAUUCUAUGUGAAAUUUUAUCCCUUAACAUCUAAGCUUGCAAAAUAGCAAAUUGCUUAGUAAAUGAUGGACCCGAUCAAUUAAAUAGAUAUCAACAUCUUACCUUUGUUUAUGGGCAUUGAGUUGGAAUGCUUUGAACUUUAGCUUGAGAAUAGACUACUCAAUUGAAGUGUUGUAAUCAGUAUUAAUAUUCCGUCGACUUUGAAUACAAUUUACAAUUUAUAACAUUCACAGAAGGUAAUAUGUAACCUUUUUUAUAAUUUUACGUAAAGAAGAAAGUUUUGUCGAUAAAAUAAAUUUAUUUCCUCCAAAUCUUCAUUACCAGUUUGAAAAAUAUAUAUAUACUAGUCUUACGCCCCUGCAAUGCAUGGGCUUUGUAAUUUUGAAGAUAAUGUUAGUGUAUCGAAUGUUAAGGGUUAACGGGAAAAUGUAUAUUAUAAAAUUUCCAUAUACACGUUCAUAGAAAAUACUAAAUAGAGUUCACAAAGAACAUAAUUAUCAGUCUAUAAGUAAAUUUGGGGUCCAUACAAUUAGAUAGAAAUCAGGAUUCUAGUGAAACUAACAUUCAUUUUUAUUUCAGUUACUUGAAACAGCUAACAUGUAAUCAAAUCAAUGUACCAUAAUUUUGUUGUGAAAUCAAAAGUCAUUGCCUCGUGUUCAUGCUCAGGUCAUCACUCGCCUAAUCACUUUGACAAUUACUUUUGUGGUGGGACAUGGUAAAUGGUGGUGCCAGUAACUAAGCUUACCUGUUACAAAGGAAAUUGUAGAAAACCAUUUUAGGACCAAUGUAUUACAAAAGAAGCUAGUAAAACAAAAGAACUCUUACGAAAAAGCAACACAUGAAACAUAAAAAAAAACAAACGUUUUGAGAGGAAUGCUAAAGACAACAUUUAUACAAUUCAAAUUCUACUGAAAAAUUAAAACGAGCUCAACAUGUGGAAGCUUUUGACAAUCCAACAGUUGCAAUUAUAUAAUUUCUUACAACCUUGUACAUAGAUCAGAAGGGGCCAUAAUUACAUAGUUGAAUUAGUUGAAGUUUCAAAAAUAAAGAACCAUAAAACAUAGAAUGCUCUUUGAUGUGAACAAAUUUCAGAGGAGGCAAUCCCGAAGUCAAAUGCUUAAUGGAACCAAAACAAUAGAUGAAUACAUCCUGAAAAUUAUAAUACGUGAAUCUAAUAAACGAUUAUUUUCAGCCAUGAGAUAUUAAGCUUUAUUUUCAUACUUGCUUAUUAAUUUGAGCUUAUAAGUUGCGACAUGUAGCAUUCCAAUAGUCCUAACUUCCUUAAUAUCGAUAUGUAAAUAGAAAUAUGCCAUUGAGACAAUUAACACAUAACAAUAAUGUCAUAAGGAUUUGUUCACUAUCCCCAGUCCUGAUCAAUUAUCAAUUGUUUGCGGCAAAACAUUUGAGCAAUGAGAAACCUGUCCAUGACAUUCUAAAUUAUUAGAAUAAAAACAUGGUUGCAGGCUUUACCUCUUCAUUAGCUUGACUUUCCGUCACCGAGGUUCAUGAAAAAGGAAAUUGUUAAUUGAACAAAGAGAAAGGAACCUAUUACACAGAGUUGCACAGGCUCAUUUCAUAUAAUAAGGGUUAAACCUGUGAAUACACGCCUCUCGACAACUUUCACGAUACUCUCGAUGGAUGUUUUGUCUUAAAGCCUAUAGAAAAUUAUUAUUAAGAGAUAAUGAGAAAUGGAAAGAAGAAUUGGAAGAAAUUCAAACCUUUCCAUUAUAUCGUGUAUCUAAUUUACCUGGAACUCAGAUAUCUUGUUUUUGAACUUCUUCAAAACCCUACAUUAAAAUAUAAUCACUUCCUUCACAUGUUCUCACAUAAUGCAUGUCUUCAAAUUAAGUCCUGAGAGAUAUUUAAAUCAAGAAAAGAGACUGACAACCCCAUUAAGUGACUUCCUUGACCACCUUACUGACAAAAUUGAACCAAAUUUCUCAAAAAUUCUAAAGAAAACCGAUAAAGGAAAGGCCAAAAGGGCAAAAAAAAGAAAAAAAAAAAAAGAAAAAAAAAUGCAACCUUAACACAAAAAAAAUUUAAAAAAUAAUCGAAAGAAUAGCCAUUGGGUGAAUAUACAGAUCUCCAUAAAAAAGAAAAAAAGGGUAUUAGAAAAAUUCUCUUUCAUUGAAAUUCCAAUAGCAUUGCAACAUAAGAUUUUUACAAAAGGAAAUUUAAAAGUCAUACCUGAUUGUCUUUCGAAGAUAUAAGAAAAUGAUUAUAUCAGAUUCUAAGUCUGAAAAGGAUAAUUACAUUAAAAAAAUUUCCAUCCAAAAAAAGGAAAAGAGGGGAGAAAAUUGAGUUUUGAAGGGAAAAUGAGAGAGGAAAAAAAAAUCUAUUUCUAAAUAAUGCAGCAGCUUGUAAGCAAAUGAGUGAGUUUCAUAUUCAUCAUAAACAGUUAUAGAAUGUUUAUUCUCUUUGGCUAAGAAUUACUGGCUAGAACUAUGCAGCGAAUGCAUGGAUUUGAGAUACCAUAGAACCAAAUCCUUAGACGAAAAUUGAUUCAAAAAUCUAUCCUUUGUAUGUGGCGUAAUGAAAUAGCAAUUACCUCAUUGACAGAUGAAUUUGGACAAUUGAUGAAAAUUCUGGCAGAAAAAUAGAAAUCCAAUCUCCUACAUAAUAUGAAAAAACUUGAAAAUUUCUAAAUAAUUUCCCAUUCUUUCUUAACUUCUUAUCUUUUCUUCAUAAUCAGACGGUUUGGUGUCAAAAUCCUUCCCAUUUCUAACACAAUGCAAACCCAUUUAAAAUAAAAAAAAUAAAAAAUAAAAAAUAAACCAUCAAUUUUCACUUUUGGCUUUUGGCACAAAUGAUUGCAUAUGUAUUUAAAGAUAAAAUAAGGUCAAAAAAAAAAAAAUCAAUCAACACUAAAUUAAUCAACAAAAUAACUGAAAUUUAAUUAAUUUAUUACCAAAAAAACAUUAAUGGCAAUUUGAUUCAAUUCUUUCCUUCUGAAUUUGCUACUUUUGCUUCUCGAUAGAGUCAUCAGUCCUUUGUUGUUAGGGAUCACAGAGGAGAAUGUGAAUAGUUUAAUCACUUUCAUCGCUUUCUCCUCUCCCUAUUCAUAAUUACUAACUAAAAAAUGAAAUAAUAUUACCUAUUUACUAGUACAAUAUUCUUGUUAUGGUUUAUUUGUACAAGUUGAGACGAACGCCGAACAAGUUAAACAACCAACAAAAAGCAAUAAAAUGAAAUAGAGAAAUCAAAUAAAAUACAAACAGAUAACAAAAAGCGAGAAUGAGUUAUUUGAAAACAAAAAAGAAAAAAAAGGCAAAUAUGAAAUCGACAUACCUUAUUUUGAUACUCUUCAAUUUGUACGUGAAUCUUUUCUUUCCUUGCAAAGAACUUCGAACAUAGAUGAAAAAGAACGAAAACUUCAGAGUAGAUAUGAAGAUAAUUCAACAAAAAAUACACAGAAAAAUAAUAAAGGAAGAUACUCGAGGUCCUCGAAGUCCAAUUUUUGUCGAAAUUUUCUGGUAUUUUGGGAACGGUUUGUUAAAUUUUCUGAAAAGAGAAAACAAAAAAUUUGAAGAUUGACAACAAAAAAUAGAAACUAACAUACCUGAAGUAAUCAAACUCGAAUUUCUUUCAAGAUUCUAUGGUAUUUUGGAAAGCUCUCAUUUCCCUAGUGAUCUUAUUGCCUGCAUCAGACAAUAAGAUAUAUCAUAACACAGAGAAAGCACUUUAUUAAUUAAACACCAUGUAUGGUCUUUUUCAGUUCUUUCGUUAGGUCAAAGAAUACCUCUGUCUAUUCACUCUUUAUCCCCUUUUGGCCCAAUAAAUGCAUUCCUUCAAUUUCUCUAAUAACAUCAACUCUCUUAAAAUGAACGUGUUGUAAAAUAAUAGUACUUAAUAACUGAUAAACAUCACGAAUUAACUCCAUUCUAUGUUACAAAAUUAAUAUUUCUUACACCUUGUAACUAAUUGCUUUGACAAAAGAAUUUAAUAUACAUUUAAUUAUAAGAGAAAACUAUCUAAUACAUACAUUAUGUGCAGUUAUAGAGGUUAUAAGAUAGAUCUAAAUUUCGAUCCAUGUAUUCUAAUGAAACAUUAAGUAAAAGCUUUUGUCCUACUUUAACCAUUUUAGUUACAACUCUUAGUAUUAGCUACAAAAAUGAUUCUACCUAAAUAUGAAAACCUUGCCACUUCAACCAUGCAACAUCAUCUUUGGCUAAGUUUUAAAGAACGGCCAUGUAAAAGAAUGUUAAUGAAUCCAAAUGUACCUAAAUAUGAGAACUUAGCCACAGUAUACCAAACACCAUGUACCAUAAUAUCACUAAAUUAAAAUUAAACCCGAAAUGAAAUAAAAUAAGAAAACAAGCAUAAAUGGCAAAGAAAGCAAAUAAUGACCAUUUGUGUAGAAUUGAGCAACAAAUUCUACUGUCGUAAGGAAAUCAUCUACACUCGAAAAAAUAGUAUUAUUCAUCUACAUAUAUAUAGAUAUCUUCAACAAAACCAGUGAAAAAUAUCCUAGGGAAUGCAAAAGUUAUUAACGAAUAUUUUAGGCGUUGGGAUUAUCCUAAGAUCCAUGAAUUCCACAUGUAUGAGGAGUACAAAUAACAAAUUAUUUUUUAGGAAGAAAAACGAAGGGAAGAAAGCUGACAACAACUUAUCAAGUAAGGAAAUAUCAAAAGGAACGUUUGGUUUUUCUCCGUAUGCUAAUGGCUUAAUGCCCAUUAUUUGCAUCACCGUAUGCCUUGGGUUUCUUGCUAGGAUAAUGCCAUUUGUACAAUGACUUUUGACAACAUUGUUGACGAUGUUGUAUAUGUCAUAAAAGUGUUAGUAGGAAAUAUAAAUUGUUUUUUAAAUUAUCCAAUGACAACGUGACCCAUUGCAUGUUGUCAACAAUAUUGUAAAAAUGAUUGUACACCAAGCAUGAUUGCGCUUGCUAUCGCUUGAUUGCAGAUGAUGCAAAUGACAAUGAGAAAGUUUUUCCAAUUUAUCCCCUUCACUUGAAUUUUCUGGGGAAGCAAAUAUUAUUAGCUAAUACAUGCAUGUACAAUAAUUAAACAUGCAAUAAUUAUACCAUUGCAGUCACACCAGCUCAAUCCCAGAGUAGUACUAAAAGAAAGUAACAAAAGAAACACCAAAGUCUCGAUACUCUUAGUAAGUCAAAUUGUAGCAUGCACGUCAAAUGUUAUUAAAAACAAAGUUUAAUGUAUACAGGUCCAAAAUAUGAAGUAAAAUGAGGCCAAAUGAACUUCUGGGUAGCUACUUACUAACUGUACAUGCAAAACCAAAGAAGCUUCUCCCUACCCACCAAAAGAAUACAAAAAGAACGAAAAACGAAAAAGAAAGAAAUUACCAUUUAUUUAGAAGUAGACUUGGCAGAGACACAGAGUUUCAUUAUCAACAUGCCAGCCACUUGAACAGAGUAACACACAUCAACUUUUAAGUUCUAUCGUGUUAUGAGAGAGCAAAUGUCAUGACAAUGAGAUUCAGGAUUAAUAAAAAUUGCAAUCUCAUCCUAAUGAGAUCAAUGAAUAAAAUCCAUCCAUUUAAUAAUUUCUGACAUUGUUUAGCUAUCAAUAAGAUAUUCUUAUGUUAAAAAUUUCACUUCCAUUAUUGAAUUUUUAUUUCUUAUAAUCACAGCAGCACAAAUUUCGGUGAUAUUUGUCCUAAAUUCUUUACAUGAAUCAACAAUGCCGAAAUCUUGUAAAGCUAGCCUCUGUGACCUGAUGUAUAGAUUUUCUAGACCACUUUACCUCCUAACGUUGACUAUUCUGGUGAGACUCAUGCCAAUUGUAAAAAUGAGGUAUUAAGACUUGAGUUUAACAAGGAUGUGAUUCUGUCAAUCUUUUCUCUUUUCUCUUUUCUUUUUUUUUUCUUUUUACAAUUUCAAGUUUUGAUAUCAUACUUGAUUUUGGUACACUAUUUUCAGCACGAGGAAAUGUCCACCAUGCUUGUAGUGUUUUAUUGACAAAGCUUUCUUCUGCAUAUGUAAAAACUUUGACAUAACACUAUCCAUUUGUGAGGAUUAUAAUAUUUGAAAUUGACUCCACCAAGCAAUAUUUCCUGAAAUCAAAGCAAUAAGUCGUGUGUUAAUAAUUUGUUCAUAUAAGAAUUGAAGAGUUUUUGAACGGAUGCAUUUCGCAAUUAAAGAAGCUUUAAGCAUCUUCAUAUUCUGGUAAGAAUAUUUACUACUCGGGUAACAAUCAAUAACUAUCUUCUUUGCACGACUUGCAUGAUAGUUGCAACUGACAUUUUCAAUAGGUAACAAGCAGUAGAUUCAUAUAUAAUAUUGGCACUCUGAACUCAAUAUUCGAUUUGAAUGAUUGACUCAGUGCAUGUAUUUAGGGCUGUGCUGUGAUGAGAAAUUGUAAUAUCUUGAAUGAUCGACAAUGUGUUUUUUCUACAUCAGUAUGUUCAAUAUAUCUAUGUCGCAUACUCCAAGUGACCAAUUGGAGUCUUCAUUGUUUAGACACGGAAGUUGAUUUCUGGUAUUGAACAAAGAAUAGCUUUUCCUUUGUCAGAUAACUGUUAUAGUGAUAUUUGAACUACUAAAAUAACUUCAUCAAGUGCAGAAUGGUCACAUUUAAUCUGGUGAAGAAGUUCAACAACUUUCUUUUCCCUGGAGAUCGGAUUUUCACUGAUGGACUUUUGCUCAUUUAAGAACUUAAUUAGGUUGUGCCAGGUAAAGUGAAGUUGGCAUUAAAUUUAAGUACAGGAAAUGCUUGAUUGGAGGAAGCGAUAUGGAAGCAUCGAAGGAAAACAAGUCCAAGAAAUUUAAGUCUCAUAAAUGCAACUUUUUCUUACAUGGGAGCAAAGAACAUAACAUUGGAGGUUAUAUGAAAAAAUGGAAUAUGCAUUUUUAAUAUGGGGUUCUGAAUGCUACGAAGUGUUGCUGACAAUUCAGUACCAGUGGAUAACUAAUAGAUAAGGACUAAGUGCAUGAUUGAGCCCCAUUUUUGGCUAAUAAUGGAUUUUGAAAUAGUAGAUUGAUGGAGAAUGUGUAGUUAAAAAAUAAAGAAAAGUUUUGAGUUGUGUAAUAUUAUUUUAUUGAAAAAUACGUGGUUGAAAAAAAAAAGAGCAAAAAAUAUAUUUUAAAAAUAGUGGAAAUCAAACAAGGACUAAAAUGAUUUCGAUUAAAGAAAAUUGAUAAUUUUUCGAGAUUUCACUUCAAAGAUAAUACCUUAAAGGUUUGUUGUCCUUGAAUGAAAGAAAAAAUAUAUUAAAAAUAUAUUCACGUAGUUUUCCUUAUUAUAUAACUUAAAUGACAUGAAUAUAGAGGAAAACUUUAGACUAAAAGAAGAAAACUGUGAAAGAAGUGUGUUUGUCCAUGUGGUAAAAAAUGGAAGAUUGCUACACUAAAUACAAUUAAAAUUUUUUUAGAAAUAACUGAAACUAUAGCCAUUUGCUUAUGUUACCUUGCAUCAAGACUCGAUUAAGGAUGUGAAUAUAAUGUGGAAUCUUGAGCUCUUUGAAUUUAUAAUUGUUGCUUCAACCUUUAUAUUUGACACUCCCUAUGGCAUUAAGUAAUUUGAAGUUAUCCUAAAAAAUAUAGAGGAGAAUUGUUGAAAGCAUAUAUUGAUAUGGCACAUAACAUAAACACCAAUGCAAGUAGUGAAGGCAAACUAAAAAUAUAUAACUUUCACACCCUCUUGUUUGCUACCUUGAUCAAAAUUUGGGUGACAUCCUCAUAGAAGGUGACAUACUCUUUGGUCAAAUUUUGAACAGGAAAUCCAAUUUUUUCAUCCUCUUUUAUCUGGAACAGUUCGAGCAUAGCGGUUUAACCAUAAAAUAUACACGAAAACUCAAACACUAUCAACAGAAAAACUACUGACUUACAGAAUUAGUUCAAAUAUUGAAAAACACAUAAAAAGUAGUCACAUUAAUCCAUUUUUUUUAUGUCUUGAUUUAUAUAGGAUCUCCAUUGUAAUUCUUACAGGCCUAAAUGUAUCCAACAUCACUCUUCAUGGUGUACGGCACCAUGUCAUCGAUCAACUGAUGCUCAUGUCUUGGGGAAACAUAUAUGUUUUAGAAAACAAUGUGAAUGGGCACGUUAAUGUUCUAUACAUCAAAGAUAUAAAAGCAACCUUAGUGAAUGUUCUUCAGAUUAUUCCUUCCACUUCUCUUCAUGUACCUCCUAAAAUAUAUCUGUGAACCUGAAAUAGUGAAAUAUUAAUGUAAAUGUUAGUAUACAGACAUACUUCAUUUUAUUAAUAUUAUAACAAUUGACCAAGGUUUUCCUAAAGAAAUCACAGCCAUCAUACUUCUUAAGAGUUGUACUCUUUGUGCUCAAGUAAAGACGCCGUUUUUUGCAAUGUCAUUGCCAUUGAUGAUUCUGCAAAUGCUUGAAUAGACUGAAAAAUUUUCACAAAAAUUCCAGAUGAUGAGGCAAAAGAAUAUAAAAGUGCCAUUAGAAAAAUUUCAAUAUACAAGCGAGUUGUGUAAAGACAAACUUGAUGAACAUUAUACAUGGCCAGGGCAACACCAGAUCCUUUAAAGUCAUAGACAUCCAGUACUUCCAUGGGUCUCUCCCCAUUUUGUGGCUCUGGGACUGAACAGAGAAUGAGCAGAAGAAACAUGUAAAGAAUGGUUUGUCCAAAGAUAUGCUAAAUUUUCUUCCAAUAACUACAAAAAAGUGAACUGAACAAAUACCAUUCUAAGGUUUUCAGAUCCUUUUAUGAUUAAAUCAAUGGAAAAAUAUUGAUUGCCAAAGGCAUUUCUGCGAAUACAAAUAGGUUUCUUCCAGCCUACAGAAAAAAGGAUCAAAGUAAAUAAUUGGUGGUUUCAUAUAUUGUAAAUAUAUACCAAGGGGAAGAAGCAGGAGUACAAGGAACAAUUUUGGGAAUGUUGUUGAACAAGAUUGGCAAACUUAACUUCUAUAAGAACUUUCAAAUAAAAAUACAAAAAUUAAGAAAUGACCAAUGGUGGGAGAAUAAACCUUGAGGACAAAAUUCAGGUUUAAACAUGGGAGCCCAUGGUAGUACAGUAUUCAUCAAAAUCUGUCAAUCACAAACGUCAAAUUAAGCGCUCAUGUGUAUCAAUUGUAGCAAGUGAAAAGCAAUGAUAACCUUUUUCGGAAUUUGCAUUUGGGUAUUUAAUAAAUUAUCCGACUUGAAACAUUUUGUUCUCCUUCUUAAAGUUAAAUAUAAUCAAAGAGCCAAAUAUGGGAAGAACAAAUUUUAAGUCUUUUCAGUUCAGUUUCUUACAAAAAAUGAGGAAAAAAACACAGAUUGAACAAAAAAUCUCAUAUUCAAUAUGACGGCUGCAGAAAUAAAAAACUUAUACACAACACGAAGAAAUUGAACAAAAAAUACAAAAAAAAAAUAAUAAUAAUAAUAAUAACAACAACAUGAAAAUGAUAGACUUUAGGUAUUUUGGGUUCGACCUCUCAGAAGAAGGAAAAGGGGGAACAAAAAAAUGCAAAUUGGACAAGAAAUCUCAUAUUCAACACCACAGCUACAUAAAUUGAAAAAUAUAUACACAACAUCCUAAACCUAACCACCCCUUGAAACAUGACUUUACGUAUUUGGGUUUGAACUCUUCAAAGAUCAAACUAAAAAUAAAAAAUAAAAAAAAUUGAAAACUAAGCAUAUAUUGAACAAUACAACUCGACAAAUUAGAAGCAAUAUACAUAAGAGAAAGAAAUCGUAGCAGUGAAGAUUAUACUUACAGGUAUAUGUCUCAGUUGCUUCAGGUUUUCCUGAAUUUCUUGCUACAAUGGUGCCUAUCGCGAGAGAGAGAGAGAGAGAGAGAGAGAGAGAGAGAGAGAGAGAGAGGGAGAGAGAGAGAGAGAAAAAAUAGAGAGAGAGAGAGAGAGAGAGAGAACAAUUAGGGUUAAGAGGCGGAGAAAAUGGGUAACCAAAUGCCGAGUCUUGCAUUUUGUCCUUUCUUUUCCCAAACGGCGUUGUCUAGGCCCAACUAAGUUAAUGAUCAGUAAAAAUCGGAUUGGUGCGUGCACGGAGGACAUGACGGAGAUUUACUACAUGUUGCGUCUUUUUUUUUUUCACUUAUAUUUUUGUGUUCAUUUUUAAACUCAUUAUGGGAUAUUAAACGAAAUCGAAAUAUUACAUUCUUAAUAUCAUGUUGAAGUACUCGCGACAUAGUAUUGCACGUCGUUAACGGUGCGUGAAACAGCUAAUCGUAGCAAAUGUUACUGGACGUCAAAAUAGGCAUUUUCAAACUAUUUUUCGAAAUUUUCGAUAAUAAGCUAACUCUAAAAAUUCAUCGACCAUUAUACGAUAGUCGAAUCGAUAAAUGUUUUACAUUCUCUCGAAACUCAUUUCGAAAAAUAUAUCAUAGACACAUCGAAUGAUGUAAGUUAAUAUCAAAAAUAGUUAAACGGACAUUAAACGUAUGUGUUAAAAAAUGCGUAUAAAUCAUUUUUCUUCAAGAAAUCAAUUAUUUUAUUACUAUUUAUUAUUUUUUCGCAACAAUUCUCUCAAUAAAUCAUUUUGUUCAAGAAAAAUUAUGUGGUAUGACGUAAAUUUUUUUUUUCAUGCACGGAGUGAAUAUUUUUUUUUUACAUUUUAUUUACAAUAAGUUUUUUUAUUAAUAUAAUUUUAAAAAUUUAAAUAUAUAGGAUAUGAUUGAUAGUUAAUAACGUGAGAAUUAAAAGAAAGAGCAUGGUGUAUUAGAUUCAAAGUAAAGGAGAAAUAUUGCAGUAGACGUGAUAUUGCACUCAAAUGGCAUGUGAGAAAAUUUCUACAGUGUUUUUGAAUAAAAAUUUUUCUGUUGCCAAACCAGUUCCCAAACUGGUUAAGUUAUUUAAAAGUAAAAGAAGAGAUUACACUAUCUAAAAGAUAAAAAAUUACUUAUAAGUAAAAAAAUCACUUGAAGUUAUUUAAAAUAAAAAAAACUUAUAAUUGUAAAAGCUACUGAUAGGUAAAAAAAAUAUUAAUCCCUCAUUCUCUUAUAAUUGCAAAAGCUACUUAUAAAAAAAAUGUGAACUUAAAAUUUUUUAAGUAUAAAUAUUUAUAUAUAUUUAUUUUUUAAAAUUAAAUAUUAAUAAAAAGAUUAAACUAUUUAGAAUGUAAAAAGUUACUUAUAAGUAAACAAAUCACUUCAAGUUAUUUAAAAGUAAUAAAAAAAUUAUAAUUGUAAAGGUUACGUAUAGGUAAAAAAUAUUAAUUUCAACAUUUCUAAGUAAAUAUUUAGAUAUAUUUAAUUUUUUUAAUUAAAUAUUAAUAAAAAAUGUACUACAAAUAAAAGUAAAAAAAAAAAAAAAAAAGUGCAUAUUGGUGCUUGAACUCCCCGCACGCAUUGCUAAAUUUUUUUUUUUAAACUUAUGUUUUUGUGUUCAUUUUUAGGCUCAUUACGGGAUAUCAAACGAAGUCAAAAUAUUAUAUUCUUAAUAUCAUUUUGAAGUACUCGCGGCAUAGUAUUGUACGUCGUUAACGGUGCGUGAAACGGCUAAUCGUAGCAAAUGUUACGGGACGUCAAAAUAAACAUUUUCAAACUAUAUUUCAAAAUUUUCGAUAAUAAACUAACUUUAAAAAUUCAUUGACGAUUGGACGAUAGUCAAAUCGAUAAAUGUUUUACAUUCUCUUGAAAUUCAUUUCAAAAACUAUAUCAUAGAUACAUCAAAUGAUCUAAAUGAAUAUCGAAAAUAGUUAAACGGACAUUAAACGUAUGUGUUAAAAUAUGUGUAUAAGUCGUUUUUCUUAAAAAAAAAAAAAAAAAUUAUUUUAUUACUAUUUAUUAUUUUUUGGCUACAAUUUUCUCAAUACAUCAUUUUGCUCAAGAAAAAUUAUGUGGUAUGACGUAAAUUUUUUUCUCCAUGCACGGAGUGAAUAUGUUUUUUUAUAUUUUAUUUACAAUAAUUUUGUUGAUUAAUAUAAUUUUAAAAAUUUAAAUAUAUAAGAUAUGGUUGAUAGUUAAUAGCGUGAGAAUUAGGAGAAAGAGCAUGGUGUGUCAAAUUCAAAGUAAUGGAGAAAUAUUGCAGUGGACAAUGGCGUUUGACAAAAUUCCUACUAUAUAUUUGAAUAGAAUUUUUUCUGACAAAAUUCCUAUAGUAUUUUUUAAUAGAAUUUUUCCUGUUGCCAAACUAGUUCUCAAACCGAUUAAGUGUGAAAACGAGUGAACAAAAAAUGAACAGUAAACCCUCAUUCUUUCUUUUAUGGUAGUGUAUGUAUACACACACAUGCAUGCAUGUGUCCAAGGGUGUACCGAAUGUAAUUAUGGUUGAUAAUUGUUGGGCUGUAAUGCCAUCACAUCUGUAAGUGGGGCGAUGAUAGUAUCAUGGGCUUGGCCCAUUUUGGGUAUUUGAUCCAUUACAUGGUAUUUUAAAUGUGGAGGCCCAAUACCCAUACCCAAUAUAUGGAAAAUCACAUUUUGGAAGAGCAAUUUUAGUUGCCAAUUAAUGCUGAAGUCACUAAUUGCCCUCGACCAUUGAUCAUCAUCCAAAAUCAAUGGUGAUGGUGUAAAGUAUAAAUGGGGUCUUACGUUGUUGCCCUAAUUCACUUGUACUUUGAUAUUUUUUGGUGUUUUCUGGAAUUCUCACUAAGUUAGGUUUGUUUCUUUUGUCUUCUUUCGAUCAUCUUUAACCUCUAUUUGGAAAGUUUCUUGUGGUUUUCUGAGUGAAAUUUGAGUUUCUGUGGUUGAUAGUGAGAGAAAAGUGUAGUUUCAAGUUCAAUGCCUUCUGGUCCAUAAAAGAAGUGUCUUCUAAUCCACUAACAGUUUAGGUUUGAGGUUUCUGGUUUGUAAACAAGGGUAUCCGAGAUACCUUAGGUUGUGUCUUGAGUUGUAAUCUUUGAUAUAAAAAUUUUGUAUAGUUUGGUUCGAUUUUUGUUCUAAUAGUAACUCGAUCGAUUGGUAAGUUAGAUUGAAUAAUAUUAGAUAAUCCCUCCUUAUCUUAAAAGAGAGAAUAUAAGGCUUACAGUUCAUUUUUGUCCCAUAGAUUUUCACAUGAAACUGGUUUGAAAUUAGGCUGACAACAGUAAAUUAUACCAUUCAAUGGCACUGUAGCAUUUUUUUCACACGUCAUUUCACUACAAUUAUUAAAAAAAGGAAUUGAGGGCAAAUAUAGAAAAAAAUUAUUAUAAAUUUUUUAAAUUAAAUUAAAAAUAAAAAUUAUUUAAUUUAAAUUUAACAAAUAACGUUCUAUCAUAAAAGAAUGGAUAAAUAUUAUGAUCAAUGAAAUAAAUAUUAUUUCAGUUCAAUUCCUAGUAUAAAAAUAUGGCUUGUAUCUGCCCAAUGUAAAUCAUCAAUGAAAUAUGAAUUCCUUCUUCAAGUUCCUUUCUCUCUCUUUCUCUUUCUUUGGUUAAUUUUCUCCGGUUAAUCUUGCAAUUCAACACGAAUUGUAUUUUUGUAACUUAUUGAAUUUAUUUCUUGCUCGACUUUCUUUUUUCAGUUUCCGUUUCCGUUUAAUCUUAAAGGGUUAGGGUUGUAGAGUUGUCCUCUUUUUCUUUCUGUCUGUUAGGGAUAUUAUACGGAUUUGUGUUUGUGAAAAUGGCCUUCGAUUUGGUGUUUUUAGUUGAUCGUAUGCUCAUUUUUUAGGGAUUUGAAUGUCAGUUUAUUUGUGAGUGUUGUAUAUCUGUAUUUGUACCUUUCGAGAAUUUGAUGGUGCCUCUCCCGGCUGGCUUUCUUGGAUUUAUAUAUUUUCAUAUUUUGUCAAUUUAUUUUUCCCCUGUACUCUACCAGCAAAAAAUUGAUAAAAGAUGUGAUAAAUUAAGUGAAAGGAGUAAUAGAUAUCUACAGGGAUAUUGAAGUUUGAAUGCAGAUCAGCAGUUGUUAAUUUUAUUGCUACAUUUCUCAGGGGUGGGGAAAAGUUGGAAAAUGUAGCUGAUUUCUAGAGAAAUCAAGAUAUAGAAAUUGUUGCCAAGUUCCCCCCUGCUUAUUUCCCCCAAUUGUGGGGUUGGGGAUGUGAGCGCAGAAAAGCUUGCCCCCUGAAUCUGUACUCGUAAUCAAUAGAGUUAUAAACCAUACUUUACCAUAUCCAGCUAAUUUUGUCGGUUAUAUUAUCAAUUUCUUUGAAACAACCCGAACUUUAUAUUUGAUUUUAUUAUUGUAAAUAUUAUCAUAGCUUCAUUGUCGAAAUACGAACUUCUUGUCUACGUCUUACAAUUGGCCAUAUAAAUCCCCACCCCCAACCUUUAUGAACAUAGUUUUUUCGUGCAAAAUUUGUAGUAUCACACGUCAGUUGUAAUCAGUGUAUGCUUUUAUUUGACUCGUUAGACCUUCACUUUGCUAGGCUUGCAGCGUAUACAAUAACAUUAACCAUCCAAGCAAGUUGACAGUUGGAGCGGACUUCCACUGUUUCAAGGAUAAAAUUGAGCCAAAAUGGGAAGAUCCUGAUUGUGCCAAUGGAGGAAAGUGAACUGUGACAGUGAUGUAUGAACGACUUACAAAUAAUAUCUUCUAAUGAGGAUUUGACUUGGAAACAUAAUCUUCCAAUAAUGUGUCAAUUGUCAGCAUGUGACACAAUAACGUAACACAUGGUUAAUUAAAUUCGUUCGGUGUUAAACUACAAGAUAUGUACAUAUUCCUUUUUGAAAGUACGUCUUUAAAUAAAUAUUUUUUUGUUAAUAAUCACGGUCUCUCGAAUACGGCAUGCGCCUUUGCAACUAGCAUGUUUCUGUUGAAUAGUGAUGGCCACUGUUCAUGCAUAGUGGAGAUUAAUUGGUAGAAAGUUUUCCAUUCACAUUUAAUGCAGAGGUUAUCAUGCAUGAGUUUCUUCUCAAAUUUCAAAUGCAAUUGGGAAUGACAUUAAAGUCACUGAAUGGAUAUGCGUGAAUAGCAUUUUGCAGCGAGUUAAGAGGGACAAAAUUGAAAGAUUAUCUCUACGUUGCAAAUAAAAUACAGAGAAUGUAUUUUUGCAUUGCUCUUCUUCUCUUGUUGAUAUAGUGAAAAAUUUGUGUGAGUUUGUGGACGUAGGCAUGAUUUUCGAACCACGUAAAUUAUUGUGUCAUACUUGCAUUUAUUUUUGUUAUCUUCAUUUGUUCUCAUUUUAAAUUAUUUUGCAUCCCACUGAUCUUGACAAAGUUAGUAGCUUUACACUUUCCACCACUAUAAUAGAAUCCUCUUUGCAAAUUUUUUAAUCAAGUUGUUCGGCUAACUUUUGAGUACUAGAAAUGAUUGUACUAAUACGUGAGAUUAUCGCUUAAAGUCUAAAAGCACAUUUUCUCAGUUCCAUACCCGUUGGAAGGUGCAAGACAAGUACAAGAUACAUAAUUAACAACUUUAUUAUAGGCAUGAAGCAAAACACAAUGGAGGAAAAAAAAAGGUUGAACCCCAACCUUGAGAGUCUCCCCCACCCGCCCCGACCCUAGAGUUUUGUGAGGGAGAUAAAUCGCGGGUUGUGCCCCAACAGGCCAGGGAACAAGAACUGUCUGUACACUGCACCUACAAGGAGUUCAAUUUCAUGUCUCAGGAAUCGAACCCCCUCACUGUGGCUACCAACAAGGCGUAAGAUAACCUCACUCCUGUCCUUUGCAUCACUAGGCUAUGCCCUCGGGGGAGGGGGGGCAAAAAAAAAAACACAAUGGAGAAUUCACACAUAAUAUUGAUUGAGUAAGGUCUAUGUCUAAUUCUUUUAGGACAUGUUUGCGCCCAAUAUUGGACAAGCCAGUACAAUGAAUAAGAUUUUAUUUAUUUUUUCUUAAUAUUUUACAGUAUUUUCUUGUUCACCCAAUACCGUGAGGUAUUUACUCUGAGGAUAAUGCAAUAGGACUUCUUCAUGAAUCCCUUCACUCCAACUAUAACAACCAAAUGCAAACUCAUUUUCCCGCAUAGGCCUCUUCACUACAACUGUUAUGUUGAAGCCCCUACUUUUCCGCUUUAGCGUUGAAGUGUAAUGUGGAUGGAGAUAUUUCUAUGGAGUAACCAGGAUUUUUUUUAAUCGUAACUGAGUAGAAGACUUAUUACCAACAUUUGUAACAGUUCGAGCGACAAAGUAUGAAGACUUACUACCAACAUUUGUAACAGUUCGAGUGACAAUCGUGGAUACUUUAAGCUUAGGCGCUUAGCAAUUGCUAGCCAUGGAUAGUUGAGAUUACUUGGCGAAGGAAUAACAUUGGGACACUUGAAAGAUGGAACGAGCAAAUUACAGUUAUUAGGACAGAGGAAGAGAUGAUAGUCAGUAUAAGAAGCAUUAUAAACAAGUCCUGAAUCAACUGCCUUUGAAGGUUGAAUGUGGCCCACGUUAUUAUGUAAAGGAAUAAAAUCUCAUAUCGCAUAAAAAUAAAAAUUUAGACUAACUUAUAAGAAUUUGGGAUAAAGUGUCUUUUUUUUUCUUUUCUAAAUAAAAUUUUUGUUUAAUGGCCCUUGAAUAUUUUGAGUACUCUUAAAGAAAUUUUUUCUUGCUACUUAGGUAACAGGCAUCUCUGCUGUAAGCCGGCCCGUAGUCGAAGCGAAAAUAUUCCAAACGAACAGUAUUUAUUGAAAUCUAAUUCGGGUAACAAGUAGGUGAUUUUCUUCUCCUUGACCAUAUCAACAUUUCAUAGUUGAUGGUUUUUUGUGUUGUGAAUCGAUGGUGAUAUACGCUGAUGUGUUGUUUUGGAUGAAACUUGUGUUAUUUUUUGCUAGGAUUUUAUUUCAUUUCUCUUGAAUGUUUAAGAAAAUGUAGGAAGACAUUUUAAAGGCCGAAAAGAAAGAACACCACUUUAUGGAAUAAAUAAAAGAGAUUCUGCUGGGAGAAUGAUUGAAUUUUUAUAAUUGCAUUCUUUGCAUCAUGACGCCUAAAUAAAUAUAUAUGUAAUUGCUCGCCUCACAAAGCAAAUUGGAACGGGCAGAUAUCUGGACAGUUUAUGGUUCACUAGAUAAAUUGAUAGCUUGUGACACUACGCGACUGCCGGCAAGCACAAAUGGCAAGAUAAACGCACGAUGUGAUCUGGAUAGGAAGCGAGUGAUCCAAGUAUGAGUUUUGCUCGAAUUCUCGUCCAGACAUUUUUGUUGAAGGCGAACCGGUGGCAAGAAGCUGAAACAUUAAAAAUUCUAAUUUUUUUUCUCCAUUUAUGUGGGCUAGUAAUGAAAUCCACUGUGUUCAUAUCUGUAGAAGCAUAUCACUUUUUUAUGACUUAGUCCAAAAGUUCCCAUGAAGAAAUUUACAAGCCAAUUUCCUUCUUACUACUGCUACUACUCUUACUACGUGCCUUUGUAAUACAUUUUAAUUAUUUAAUUAGUAAUAAUUGAAGAAAUGAAUUAAAAUAAAAUCACUUAAGAAGUUUUAAAAUAUAAAAAAAAUGAUUAUUUAAAGUUAAAACGAAAAUGUCACAACAACCAUAUAGACACGUCAUUCUACAAUUAUUUAAGGAAAACAUUACAUAAAACAAGUGAAUACAAUAUUUUCAUUAAUUUAAUGUAAUUUAUGCAAUUGUAAAGUAAAUGACUAAAUAAUUUUUCAGGUUAAUAAAUUGUUGAGAAUAAAAAAAAAUGAAGAAAAUAGUUAAAUACUGUUUAUUUGGUGUAGUGGAUUGGAGAUGAAUUUUAUUUUGGUACAAGAUUUUGGGCAAAAUAGUGCAAAACUCACCUUAAAUUUUGAUUUAGGGUUGGAGAUGGCCUAAGAACUUCAACAAUUAGAACAAAAAUAGAGGACCUCACGAAGAAAAAUAAGCACUUUAUACCUCGUAUGCAUUGAUUGUGGUGUUCAAUAUAGAUAGUUGGUGAUUGACCAGAAUAAGAUAAAAUGACAAUUGGUGAUUGAAAAUGAUAUAUUUAAUAUUUCUAAGAAAGUUGUGAGAUAAUUUAAUGAGAACUUGAACAUGUUUUUAAAUAGAAAGGUUUGAGAAUUCAUUUAUUCUUUUUUGAAAGUUAAAGACUGACCAAGGAACUUCAACACUUAGAACAAUAGUAGCAUACCCCACAAAGAAAAAUAAGUACUUUAUACCUCAUAUACGUUAACUUUGGUGUUCAGCAUGAACAAUUGGUGAUUGAACAAAAUAACAUAAAAUGACAAUUGACGAUUGAACAGAAUAACAAAAAAUGAGAAUUGGUAUUUGGAAAUCAAACAUAUUUCUAAGAGAGUUGUGGAAUAACUUAACGAAAACUUGAAUUUAUAUUGAAGGUCAAGAGUUCAUUUAUUCUUUUUUGAAAGUUAAAGACACACUAAGACCUUCAAAAAUUAGUGAAAAACAAUAAUAACGGACCCAAGAAGAAAAACUAGCACUGUAUACUUCGUAUACAUUGAUUUUGGUGUUCGGAACAUGGCCACAUAGCCCUGUUUUUCCAGGGUUUGUGGCCUUGUUUGAGAAGAUUUAUCCUUUGAAAGGCUCUGUUUGAGAAGAUUUAUUCUUUGAGCGCAAAUAGUUUGAAAAGGGGUCGAAUCUUCAACUUGUUCCUUUAUGUUUAGUAAUUUUUUACUAGUUCAAAUAUAAAAACAACACAAACAAAUUGGUUUGUCAGUCCGUUAUACAAAAGUUAGCCCUUGUUUGGUAGAGAUUAAAAUCGAAUUUUUAGUAAAUUUUGAUAAAAGUUGAUGAAAUAUGUAGUUGAAAAAUUGUAGGUUACAUGAAAUAUGCGGUUAAAUUUGGCUAUACAUAGAUAAAUUAAUAGAACUAGUGCAUAAUUAGUACGUAGGGUACUGAAUAGCCUUGUACAACCUGUAAAACACGAUUUCAUGUAGCGUGUUCACUAAUCAUCUGAAUUCUUAUAUUCUAUUACAAUGUUAAGUCCCUAUUUGAUUUAGCUAAAAAUCAGAUUGAUAAAAAUUGAUUAAAAUUGUGAGUAUCAUAAAAUGUGUGAUUAAAAUUAAUUAUUGAUUUCAACUUAAAUUUUUGUCAACUUUUUUAAUUAAAUGUGAAAGCGUAUGUGGCAUAUGAUCAUAAAAAGAAUAAAAAAGUACCUAAGUUAAAUACAGCCGGAGUAGUUUUGGGCAAAGAAAGAGAACAUUAAGUGCAUGUUUAUACAUAGAACUCGACAAAUUUUUUCUUUAAAUCUUGUCUGUUAUUUUACAUUUAACCUUACUAAACAAGCCAUAAAAAUAUGCACUUUUUCGUAUAUUUAUUUAGGGUAUAUACUGUAUGACACGAAGAUAUAUUUUCUGACAACUUUCAAGAGUACGACAAUUUGUUGAGAGAAUAAUUCUGCAAUCCUAUGUACCUGUUAAUAUCGUCACAGAGAUAUAAGGUUAGGUGGAUAGAGAUCUCUGGAAGAGGUAAACGAAGAGCCAAUUUCUAGUGCAUCAGAAGGAUUAGAAAGGGUCUGAGUUUUACUUGAACUAGGUUUCAAGUCUUCAAACUUCUCUCUGAGUGAUUGAAGCUUCAAUUCAUCUUCGUAGAUGCUUGGAUCUAUCUUAAAUUCCUGAACAUUUAUAUAUCCUUCAAGCAUGCCACAGACCAUGGACAUUGGAGGCCUUAGGGAUGGAGAUGGAUUGGUGCACAAUAGAGCAACUUUGAUCGUUCGUUUUGACUCGUCCAUAUUGAAAUUUGAACCCAACCUUGUAUCCACGAGCUCCAUCAACCUUCCUUCGUUCUGCAAAAUCGUAGCUUGAGACGAAAGGCUAUUGCGUGAGACCUUUCUUCGUGGACAUAAGAACGAAAAAUAGGUUAAUGAGAUAAAACUUCAUUAUCUGAUUUGGAGAAAAUACAAAAAUCUUACCCAAUCAAGAAGGCAAAUGAAACUUUCACUGGGUCGAUAUUUCAUGUUGCUCUUUCCAGAAACAAUUUCUAGUGCAACGACGCCAAAACUGUACACGUCUGCUUUGUAGGUUAAGUAACCCCACAUUGCAUAUUCUGGAGCCAUAUACCCACUACAAAAUGAAAAUGAUCAAAUGCAUAUUAGCACAAGCUUUCGCUCCUAUUUCUCAAAUAAACAAGCUCAAAUUUCAAAUGUUGCACGUGGAUGAUUUGAAUAAUAAUUUAGUGUUGCAAAUGUUGUGAUAGUAAAUAUUCCAAAAGACUUUAAACUGCUUUCAUCUUGUUCAAGUUUGUAUAAAAAGUUCAAUUGUAAGUAAAUAAAGUGAAUUUUUCAAUAAAUAAUUAUUUUAUUGGUCAACUAAAAAUGGUGAGAUGAAGAAAGAGAAAAAAUCUCACAUGGUCCCUGCAACUCUAGUGCUGAUGUGGGAGUUAUCAUCCUCAUCGAGCUUAGCUAAACCAAAAUCGGAAAUCCUUGGAUUGAGGUCUUUAUCAAGAAGAAUGUUGUUAGGUUUUAUGUCUCUAUGAACAAUUUUCAAUGUGGAUUCUUCAUGCAAAAAAGCCAAGCCUCUUGCUAUACCGAUACAAAUUCUUUGUCUGGUUGGCCAGUCCAUUUUUAAUUGCCUUUCCUCUGGUCCUGUACUUGAUAAUACGAUUCAAUUAAGUGUGUGCAUGGAUUUUAAAUACUAAAUUUGUAUAUUAGACAAGAUUUUAAAGAAUGCAUAACGCAGGUACAAAUUCCAAUUACCAUAUAAAGCGCGGGCAAGGCUAUUGUUUUCCAUGUAUUCAUAAACCAGCACUAAAUGGCUUCCCUCAAUGCAACAUCCAUACAAUUUUACGAGAUUUGGAUGCUGUAAACCAGAAAUCAUGCCUAUUUCAUUCACGAAUUCACGGUUCCCUUGCUUUGAUUUGGAAGACAGCUGCUUGACAGCAAUUACACUACCAUCCAACAGUAUACCCUGCAAAUGAAGCAUUUAUAGUAUCACAGACAUGCACGCAUAUAGAAAUGUUAGAAAAAUAUAAGCGCGAAGGUAUAGACAAAGUAUAAGAGAGAAAAGUUGGAAGUUAAUAUUUCUACAUACCUUGUAGACAGAUCCAAAACCACCUUCCCCAAUUUUAUUUGCAGCAUCAAAGUUGUUUGUGGCGGCUUUGAUUUGUCUAAAAGUAAAAAAGCCAGUCCGCAAAUCUAAUCCCCUUAGUUCUGGAAAAGAACAAUUUUUAGAUGUUGAAUUCAUUGUAAGCUAUAUAGUUAAGGAUUCCACCAUCUCUCUUUUUCUCUAUACAGUACACUAGAAUAUGUUCUAGUUUUUCUUUGAUCUAUUGCUUGUCCAUGGUCACAUCACCACGAGAAAAUUAUUUAUCCAAAAUUUGAGAGUAACUUCCAUAGAUGUCAUGUGAUGCAUUACUACUGUAAGACUAUCCAUAAAAUUAUAUACGACAAUUCAAUAUUUACAUUCUUGCUUAAAUACUAAGAAAGGUCUAUUUGUUUACCUUCUUCCCUUGAGAUCCUGCCUCCUAUAUAGCCUUUCCACCAAGAAAAAAUAAGAAUAAUGAGAAUGAAAAAAAUUGCCAAAGCUGUUACUCCUGUUGGGAUGAAAAUAUUCGUUCCUCCGGACGGAGGCUUAAAAUCUACAUAAUGAAAGAAAUAAAGAAUAAUUGUUACAUGGUGUUCAGUUUGCUAGCUAGCACCAGAAAAAAUCACAUAAAGGAAUUGGUAUAGGAAAUUUGAGAACAAUAACAAGUGAAAAAGAACGAUAAUAGAUUAAUUAAUAGAGUACUAAUUUAAGUGCCAACAACACCUGAGUUUUGUCGCUUAAGUUGCAAAAGAUUAGUGGUUGUGCAGAUAAAAUGUAUAUUUUCUCAAAUAAAUCGAUAAAAAAAAAUCUUAAGAGAGAUAGAGGUGUUUUGAGGAUAAAUUUAAUGGUAUUACACAGACUAUCUUACCAGAUUCCACAGAAAUGGCAGAUAUCAAAGGGCCAUAUACUGUUCUGAAAGGGAUGUCUAUUGAUCCUUUCCCAGAAUAGUAAAAUCGGAUAUCCAAAGUUAUAUUCUUAACCGUCGCAUUAAAUGGUUUUUUCACAGCUUUAGCAACUCCUUUCGCUUCCUUCUUAAUAUCAAAAUCUUUCAAUUUCAGUUCAUCCUGUAUUAUGUUGAAUAAGUUUGAGUCAAAUCGCAAUAGUAAAUAGCACCAAAAAGAACUGUUUAUUUAUUACUUGACCUGGAUAUAAACGUCAAACAUCCGUCUCCCAAGACUCUGGAAAGAGUUAUCAUCUCUGAAAACUAUCUCUGCAAAGUGAAGUGUCACAGUGUAGUUUCCAUUUGCUAAGCAACGCCCGUAAUAAGUGAGAGAUAAAGGAGAUAGACGCGCAUCUGUAUAGAGUUCAGAGUCCUUCAUUUUCAGCACAGAUACAUUGUUGGCAUUAUAGUGAUUCUUGAACGAGGGAAACUGUCCUGUACUACUAGCUCCCCAGUUCUCUUUUGAGUGAACAAAUUGAACUGAACCUCCUAUUUGUACAUCAGCUUCAAAUCUUUUGUUGCCAACAGUAACUUCCCCUCCACCACAAUUUACAUAAAAGGAAUACCAAUCUGUGAAAAACCAAAGCAUAUUAAGUUUUUUAGAACAUUUCCAAAAGAUUCUUUAAACAUAAAAUAUUCUCUAUUUUAAAGAAUCAAGCCUUAAAGUUAUGUUUCAAGAGACUCUUUAAUUUAACAUUUUAAUUUAUAGAGAGUUUGACUCUCCAAAUUUAGAGAGUCAAACACGCUCUUUAUAAUUUAAUGCAUUUAAAAUAUUUCAAUUUUCAGUGAAAAAUAAUAUAAUAAUUUAGAGGAAAGCUAGUGAAAAUAAAAGACAAGAAAAAAAUAAUAAAUAUUUUUUUGAAGUAGUAAAAUUAAGUAUUAUAUACAAUGUUUUGAAAACUGGCCAGGACAUCGACCCGGAAAAGAAUAAGGGUCAAGGGUAGAAAGGUUGAACCGGGGUCGAACCGGGAUUGAAGCGUAUGCUAUAACUAAGUAAAUAAAUACACCUAAAUAAUAAAAAUAUUAUAACAAUUUUGUUAACAAAAUUAGUAUCACUAAUUCAAACUAAAUAUAAAUCCACAUUUGUCAAUUAGAUUUAUUAUCUUAUAAUUUAUUUUAAAACUUCAAAAACUAAUUAUUAAUAUGUCCAAAAUAAUUUGCUUUGUUCAAUUGAAAUUGUUUGUACUUUGGGGACCAUGAUUUUCAUAUAAUGUAGAAUGAAGUAGAUAAUUAAACAUUUUUUAAGAAUUCAAUUGGCCAUAGACCCUGUAACUUUUAUAAUUAUAAUUUAUCUCACAGUUGACCAUAGAAAAUAUGGAAUUUUUUGAAACUAGCUGACCACUUAUCCAACGGCCCAAGUCCUAACUCUAUCCCACAUCGGUUGAACAAUGAAAAGGUGCGAGAGGAUUCACUUUUAAAAGUAGCAACAUGCUGUGUUCAAUAAAACAGGCCUGCUACCAUUGCAAUUGGGCCCAUUAAGCAAACUUAAAAUCAAUUUUUGAAUAAUAAAAUAUAUAAAGUGCAGCUUAAAGGAACCGGUAAAAUCGUGUCCGGUUUUACGUUUUGCAGUUAACCGGACGGUUCGAAGGUUUAUUGACCGGUUUUUAGUUAAUAGGGUUAAUAUGUAGUGACCGGAUCGGAUUUGAGGGCGGUUCAUGAUUUUUUGGGUUGAACCGACCGGUCAGGUCCGGUUUUAAAAUUAUUGAUUAUAUAUAAAAAACUUGUUGAAGUACUCAAAAAUUUUUACUCCCUAAAUUUAAAUGUUUUUUUGUCGUUGGAGCUCAUUCCAUGAUCUUAGAAAUGGUGAAUUUCGGGCUCAGUUUUUAAUUAUAUUUCUCUACCAAACAACCAAUCUGCACUACUCCAACCCACAAUCAGUAUAUUCAUCUCGAUUUCUCCUCAGUCUCACCUACAAAGAAUAAGGUAAUGGUGAUGAUUUGUAGGCCACGAAGGCAUGGGAAAAACAACGAAAAAGGCAAGAGAAUGGACCAAAAUACACAAGAUGAAGGCACUGAUUUUCUCUCUAUAUGGCUGCUGACUUUUCCAGGAAGAAGCAACCAUAUUUUUCCUCAUUUUCAUAAACAAAUCAUACACUAAUGGCAAGGGGAAAAAGCAACAUAUAUAUAGGGUUAGGUUAGGCUUUAGUUAGACCAAUAAGGGUUAAAUGAGCCAAAAUUCAAAGUCAUCCAAGAGGUAAUAUCUAUGGGCUGUGAGUAGCUUUAAUUUCUUAAGCUACUUCCUACGGUCCAUAUGGUUUUUAGGUCGCGCUUUUAGACUUAAUUGUUGGUAACAAUUUCACUCAUCGGCCAAUACCUAUGAAAUUCAAUCUGACAUUUACAUCAUAGUCAAAGAUUUAUUAGGUAGCAAAACUCAACAAAUCUUCACCUUUAUACCCAAUCAACUUACAAGUAAUCAAAUUACAAAGUUAGUACUUACACAAUCAAAGUAACUAAUAAAAUUGGAAUCACAGGCUUUACCUCGUGUUUUGGACCCAAAACACAUACCAUACCAACUUUAUGUACUCGCCAGGGCUAUGGUCUUAAACAAAUACCCAAGUAGAAGUAUAUAAUAACAGUAAACAAUCAAGAGCAAAUAAAUAUACGAUGAAGAUAUAACAUAAGAUAAUACACAGAUCUUUUCAAAAUCAUAUUCGCACAGAACAAAAGAUUAACACCAAGUUAAUCAACAAACGAUCAACAUAUAUACAACAAAUGCAUAAAUGACCACAUGAAAAGAUCUUACCACACUUAUCCUAUCCCAUUUUUGUUCCCCUCUCAUUGCUCACCAUGUUUACUAAAUUGAUUAUUCAACUCAUGUCUAACAAGUAAAUCACAAUAGGUCAUAAAUUCGUGGGAUAAUCCUAUAUCGCCAUAUCAUUUUUCCAACCUACGUGGGGUGGAUAAAUGAGUAUCCACCUAACAUAAGUGAUAGAAGUGUAUCUUUUACACUCCACAUGAUCAUGAUUUUCUCAGAUAAAGAAUUCCAACAUUUAAUCACAUUUUCACUCGUGAUCAAAAUGUCACAUCUCACAUUCCUGGUACAAACCAUCAAUGCACCCCUAGUCAUCUAUACUUCACCUCACCAAUAGACACACAACACAAUUAUUGCUAAUACAUCCUAACCCACUAUGCAUGCAAACAAUUAUACCAAAUAAUCACAUUGCUCUCAAAUUCAUACAAUGGCACAUAUUAAACACAUAGAAAUGUCAUAUAACUAUGCAACAUAAUUAAGCAAUCACACACACAUGCAGAAAUGAUUACACACAUAUGCACAUGCAAUAACUAGGUUUACUCUCAAUAAACCUCACUACGAUUAUCACUCGACCUUAUAGCCAUAUUCACCUCACCUCACCUCUCAUCUUACCCUUUUGCUUAUCCCUUUUUUGGGACAAUCUCUCACAAAGUGUUCCGACUUACUAAAGCUGUAACAUUGGUUACCACUAGACUUAUCCGAACCUUUAACCUUUUUUUUACCACCCUCAUCACUCGAGUCACCACUUGAAUCACAACUGUCUUGAUUUCUUCCCAAAUUUAUUUGUUUAAACUUCAUUUUACUCUUCAUUAUAUAUAACUCACAACUCCUCUUAUCCUCCUUUUCAGUCUUAAUCUCUAUUUUCUUAUUGUUAAGAGAAUCUAUGGCAAUAUCGGGUGUAAAGAUGUCCCUUCCAUAUUUAAUUGCAUUCUUAACCUCUCUAUAUGAAUCAUGUAUUGAAUUAAGUAAAAUAAUGGCCUGAUACGUUUCAUACACCUCCUAUCACAGUUAAAAUUAUAUUGAACGAGCUUCUUAAAAACAUCUAAAAAUAUAUUGAACGAGCUUGGCAAGGAUUCAUUUUAAAAUUGAAAAAUCUUUUGAGCAGACACAAUUUAUUAGGAGUAGACUUAAGUAAAUAUAAAUCCUCCAACUUUUUUCAAAGUUUUUUAGUAGAAUCAAGUUUUUCAUUUUUUCUCAAAAUAGUGUCAGAUAGGUGUAAAAUAAUUGAUGUGUAAGUAAAUUUAUCCUAUUCUUCUUUUCGUGCUUCCAUCAAAUUUGCUGAAAAUUUGUCAUUUAUGACUUUUGAAACUUUUUGUUGAACUAAACUUUCCUUCAUUUUUUGUUGCCUAAUAGAAAAUUCCCCAUUCUUAUUGAAAAUUUCAACUUCGAAAUGUGAUGACAUUUUGAAAAAUAGAACAACUAAAGUGCACAAAUAUGUCACACAAAGUAAUCAUAAGGGCGCACUAUAUAUCAUUAUAGAUUCCCAGGGUUUCGUGAGACUUGAGAUCUCCGUAUCAAGGAAAUGUUCAAAUGGGUUAAUUCUAGGCAUUCUAACAGAAUAACCAAUGUAACACGAAGGUAUAUCAACAAAAAUUUAGUUUUUCACACAAUCCAGUCUCACACAGUGACUAAAUGGCAACUAGAGCACAAGGAUAAUUAUCAACUUACUAUCCAAUUCAACACUUCAAAUAUGGCAAGUAAUGCCUAAAUUUCUAGCACAAUCAAUGGUUAUCGACAUGGUAACCCCUAUCCUGAAAUAGAAAUUUAAAUUGGGAUAAGCCAAUAAAUCAGAAUGAACCAAUCUCAGUCCAUAAAUAGUGAGAGAUGCGAAUUUACACUUUUGGGCCACCACUACUUGCCAUAAAGUCUCCAUCAAUCGCAGAAAUCAAUCAACCAUGAUCGAAUCCCGAACACACGAAGGAUAAAUUUAUCCAGAUUCCACUGUAUAAACGGAAACAGAAAACUAAUAACAUCAAAAUGUUAGGAUUAAAUUACCUGAAGAGACCUCUAUCUGAAACCUUCGCAUGCGCCCUCAAGCGCCACCAACAGCCUCUGUGCAUGGGAUUCAUGCACUAGCCACUCUAGCGCGCCUUCACUUGCACGUCACACUAGUAGUCUCCAUUUCACCAAACUCAUUCUGGUUUGAUCAGAAAUCAUGAAAACAGCCUCAAUUUUUGUGUAAUUUUCUAGACAGUUUUCCAAUCUAUUUUCUGCUUCGUUUCAGCCAAUUUUCCGUCAAAUUUUCGAGCCAAAUCUAUUACUUGAAGCUUUGAUACCAAUUUUUGAGGAAGCUUUCUCCAAGAUCUUCGAAACAGUGAUUUUCGGGCUCAGUUUUACAUUACUUUUCACUACCAAUCAAUCCACACACUCUAACCCACAACCAAUUUAUGCACUCGGUUCCUCCUCAAUCUCACUCAUAAAUGACAAGAUAACGGUGAUGAUUUGUAGGCCACAAAGGCACGGGAAAAAUAACGGAAGAAAGCAAGAGAAGGGACCAAAAUACACAAGAUGAAGGCAUCGGUUUUCUCUCUCCAUGGGAGCCUAUUUUACAUGAAGAAGCAACCAUGUUUUCCCUCUUUUUCAUACACAAAUCAUAUACUAAUGGCUAGGGUAAAAAGUAACAUACAUAUAGGGUUAUGUUAGGCUUUAGUUGUGCCAAUAAAGGGUUAAAUAGGUCAAGAUUCAAAGCUAUUCAAUAGAUAAUAUAUAUAGGUCGUGAGUAGCAUUAAUUUUUAAGCUACUUCCAAUUGUCCAUGUUGUUUUCGGAUUGAGCCUUUGGACUUGAUUGUUGAUAAUAAUUCACUCAUUGACCAAUGCCUAUGAAAUUGAAUCCGAUGUUUACAUCGUAGCCCUAAAUUCAUUGAGUAUCAAAAUCCAACACUCUAAAUUGUAGAAUAUGCUCUUGAGUGUAAAAAGACAAAAGUGCUAUAACUAUAUACGAUAUAUAACAUUACUAUUGCAUUCUUUUUGUUUUUAGUUUUCAACUUGAGUACAAAAAAUGAUAUUGCAAACGUGAUGGUAUACUACGCUUGGAUGAUGAGAUUCGAGUAAACAAUCAAGGCUGAGCUUGUAAAACGAAGUACUUACCCUUUGAACAAGGAGUGAGGCACUUUCCAUGUUCUCUGUAUCAAGUCAUAUGGCAAGGGAGCAUAUUGAAUAAUAUGAUAUACAAAGUUAUGUUUAGAUUACAAUAAUCUUAUCUACAUAAGAAGCAACUUAAAAACUUACAAACUGUUUUCUCCACUAAAGCUUCUGAACAAGUUUCUGAUGCAGAAAGAAAGGGAAAAAACAAAUUGAAGCUAUGAAAAAUAUACAGAAAGAAAGCAUACAAAGAAAACGAAGAAAAAUUGGGGCUUACAUAUUGUUCCUGCAAAUUGAUGGAUCAGAAGUCUCAUUGAAGUUAUUGUAAGAAAGAUCUACGUGGCUGCAAAUGCAUUUAAUAUCUCUUUAAGAACUUAUUUCAAUCCUCUAAAAUCAAUGAAAGAAAAGAACCCAUAAAUUACAUAGUGAUAGAUGUCCAACAGUAUGUAGUAACUAAAGUAAAAAUGAGAUUCUUUUCGAACUUAUGAGACUAGUCCUAUAUCUUAAGGUGAGCUUCAACAACAAGAUGGCAAUUGUAUAUCUGGCUAUAAAGAUGUCAAUAGAGGUUCUGAGAGAAACGGAGAAAUUUCAUUUCUGUAUAAAUUUGAGGACAUCGUCAUUUAUGAUGGACAAUGCUACUAUUAAAUCACAUAGAUAAUUUUAUAGACGUUAAAUAAUAAGAAAUAUAGAAGUGAACUUACAGUUCUUCACUUAUGCUUUGGAUCCACUUUAGAAUUUGCCCACUAAGAAAGUUACUAGUCAGAAACCUAAUCACAAACAUAAAAUCCAAAUGAAAUCAAAAUUAUACAUUUAGAUUACAGAACAAAACAUCAUGAAAGAACAGAAGUAUAGCCUAGUAGAGUAUAUGAAUGACGCUUGAACACUAAGGAUUGAAUAUGAACUGGACAUCCUUAAGUUUGGUUACAGUAGUCCUUAUUACUUGUUUUGGAAAUAAAAAGUAGGAUUUAGGAUAUGAACACGAACAAAGUCUUCCAUUAUCACGCUGCAAUAUAUGACAGGUGAAUGACAGACCAAAGCUUUUGUACAAAUCAAUUGAAUAAUAUCAUACUAAUUCACUUACAAGUUCGUUAGAAUUGGUAGGCGAUCAAAAUCUGGAACCUCUCCUUUUAAGUUGUUAAAGCUCAGAUCUCUGUGAAUACACCACAUGAACAUCUUACGACCAAACGCAUAUUUUCUCAGCUUAACAAUAUAGCAGUGCAUAGUUAUCAUAACAUAGAAAAGUAUACCUAAAUUUUGUAUGAUAUCCAAAAAGAAAGAAAAAAGAUGGGCACAAAAGCAAUGGAAGCAUAGGAAAACAAACAAAAAUUACAGGAUUUUGUAAUGUAGGUCUUGGGAAAAACUAAUGUGGCAAGCUCUUGGAUGGUACAAAACUUCACAAUCUGAAAAUGCACAUGGAACGUCCUCUAUAUUUUUCCAUAGCUAGGUCUCCACCACAAGUACAUAUUUUAUUACAAGCAGUAGGUUUUUGUGGCAUGGAGUACAACAAAUUCGUGUUUUUGGUCACUAUCUUCAACAAGUAUCAAUAUAAGAGUCAAAUAUACUCAAUGAUAAUCAAUAAUACUCGAUGUCCUUCAAUGUGAGAUGUUCUCUUAUUAUAUAAAAUUAAAUUCACAAAUAAAUAUGGUAGUUAUCAAUUAUAAUUAUUCAUUAAUGGUAACUUAUUAAAUAUGGUAGUUUUCCUUAUAUUUCACUGACAUCCCCUCUAAAAUCUCAAAUUGAUGCUUAUUAAUUUGCAAUCAUAAGUUGACGGUGGCGACAUUGCUCGUGCCCACGAAAAAGAUAUCCAAAUCAAAGUAAUCAUCUACGAAAAAUUGUUACAACGAGAGAGCAAGAACAAUAAAUAGUACAGAAACAUCCAAAAACUACCUCAAGAAUAUUCCAAAACCACUCUAGAGAGUUCACAGGCCAAGAAGAAUUUCAAAAAGAAAUUCAUGAAGUGUACCGAUCACAUAAUGAGAUCGGGAGAACUCAGUCAAAUACAUAAUUAGUAUUCCAUCAAAAUCUCUAAUGGACAAUAUAUCGGCCAAAAAAUUAGUAAUAUAUCGUUGUCGGGACGCUAUAAUUGGAAGAAAUAUCAGAAAACAGCCUACACAAAAAAAAACCCCAAAGAUGAUCUGAAAACCCAAAACUCUUGCUCGUCACUCGAGCAACCGAAGCUCCUCCCAUGUCUCUCUCAUCCCAAUGACCCAUCAAUAUGAUUGCCAAGUUCCUUAUUGGAAGCAAAUCAAGCCACAUCCAUGUCGCCCACAAAGAGAAACCGCAAUUUAUAGCCCAACUGCUCACAACCCGUAAUUACCUUAGCCCAUUUUUAAUCAAGUUAUACCCUCACGUCCAAAAGUCGAGCCUACUUUCAACAAAUCCCUAACCUAUUCAAAAAGCCUAGAAUAAAAUACUCCUUAUUCAAAAUUGUUGAGGCCCAUAAUCAUCCAUUAAAGUCUUCAAAACCUAACCCAUUCAUCAAAUAAUAACGACGUCCAAACGAACAAAGCAACAGGCCCACCUACAAAUCCAUGACUCAGUGUCUUUUUUUAUCCCAUUCACUUAAGAAUCUUCAGAUCACUGCUAAAAAUCCAUGAAUUUUACUCUCAAUAGUAACACUUCCUCUCUUUAAUCUGACAGUCUUGGAUUGAACUGAUACACAUUUUUUGCGCAAAUCUACAUAGUCACAUUCACAGAAGUGUGAUUGUGUGUGAAAUGGCGUGUGAAGGAUUGUAGAAAAGUAAUGGGGUCUAGGAUAAAAAUCAAAUUCCAAUAAGAAUUCUCUCUGCUUCUGAUGAUAAAGAUAUGUUGGCUGGUGCUCCACCUCAGAAUUCCCAAUCAUUGAUGAGCCUCUGCACCUCAGAAUUGCUAGCAUUCAACGAGAAAUAUGGUGCUCCAUGGUCGAAUAAUAGCUCUCUCUCAUCUUCAGCAAUUUCUCUGCAUUGAGAGAUCCGACCCUUGGGUCGUCUAGUGGACUACUGGACUCAAAAAUGGUGACUAAAAUUUCCAUUUCUUCUAGAAUCAACUGUUCCUGAAAUCCCAUUGCCUAUGACAAAUUGGAGGUGACGCUUUACAUGUCAGCAACGGCUGCGAGUAAGCUUGGUUCUGUUCAGUUCAUAGCAAUUUACAAGAUCGAACACAAGGAAUAUGGAUAGGGUCCAUAGCAGCGGGGGCAAACUUUUCCUAAUCUUUCUCUUCCAAUUAACUUUUCCCCCUAUAUUGUUGGAAUUAAUUGAAUUUGAUUUGGGUUUAAAAUAUUAAAUGUAAUAUUUAAUGAUAUGGGCCAUUGCAAUUAAUUUGGGUGAAUUGGAAAAGUCUCCAAUAUAGGCCCAUAUGUUGAUAAGCCCAUUUUAAGUGUUUUUUAUAUGGAAAGGAGUCCCACAUCGAAAGUUUACAAGAAAACAGUCUUGUUUAUAUAGUGGGUUGUGUGAAUAAUAUAUAAUUUAACAUGUUACCUACCACUUGGCUAACUUUAGCUAGCCAAAGGCUAGCAAACUAGCCAAAGGCUAGUCACCACUAGAGUGGUGCUUCGCACCACUAGCACUGCUCCCCGGACCCGGUCCCGGCACGCGCACGUGCACGUCGCAAAGUACGCAUUGGGCACUUUAGAGGUGCACUUGGUACUUGGCACGUACGCAUCGUCGGAGGAGCUGGGGAGCCUUAUAGUUUUCAAAAAUGGACUCGUGGUUCGAUGAGGUGGCAGCACAAGGCUCGGUGAGUUGGCAUUCUAGGUGGCGCACUAGUGGUCGGCAUUCUAGGUAGCGCACGAGUGGUAGGUCGCGUCCCUUCAUCCUGCAUGGCGGUUAGAUGUACGUGUGGUAUCCGCAUGGCUGUGACUGUUCAGAAAUUGGUGAAUAGGCAUGAUGAAUGGACACUUCACUUCAUGGUUCAAUCUGGGCCGUCAGAUCAUAAAAAUAGUGCGAUCCAAUGGCUAAGACGAAUCAAACCAAGUGGUGCACCAGUUCCUGAAAUGUCACACACCUGUUCCAUGAGACACUUCAAUCUCUAUAAAUAGGGACCCCCAGAUUCGUUUUUUGAUACACCAAAUCAAUUACGAAUUCAAUUGAUUUCUAAAUUCUUCUCUCUCCAUAUUCUUCUCCAAAAAAAAAUCUCUUAUACUUCCGUGGUUAUUCCGUUCAAGUAUGAUCAUUCAUUGGUUCGACCGACAAGGUUGGUAUUGUGUAGUAUCGACUUUGGAAGGAGCGUUGUAUCUUGGGAGACAGACGUUCAUAAUCCCGUUUGCACUUUAUUGUGAGGCGAAAUCUGUCUUAAGGAGAUUUGCUCACUUUAUUAGCAUACCUCGCUUCAUUUACUGUUUAUUUUUCUACUUAUUUUAUUUCUUCUUUUGAUUGCGUUCGUCGAAUUUUCGACAACAAUCUUAAGACAGACUUUUUAUUUUCUCAUUUCUUCUACAUUUCUAUUAUUGAUUAUUUUCUGUAAGUGUGGUUUUACAGAAAAUGGCUAGUACAUCAAAUAAUAAUACUAGCGCUGUGAUUGGUACUGUUGAGAGCAAUACUAAUGCGGUGAUUGCGCCAAAUUCAGGUUCCAAUCAAUUUGUCAUGCCGCCGGCUUCACAAUAUGAGAAACCGAAAAAGUUCAAUGGCACGGAUUUCAAACGUUGGCAACAGAAGAUGCUAUUCUAUUUGACAACAUUGAACUUAGUAAAAUUUCUGCGUGAAGAAUGUCCUGCACAAACAUCGGAGAAUGCUACUGCUAAAAAUACUCAGUUAGCUAUUGAAGCAUGGAAACAUGCAGAUUUCUUAUGCCGUAAUUACAUUCUCAAUGGAUUAGAUAACACUUUAUAUAGUGCGUAUUGUAAUUACAAGACGACUAAAGAACUGUGGGAGUCUCUUAACAAAAAAUACAAAACUGAAGAUGCCGGAAUGAAGAAAUUCAUUGUCGGCAAAUUUCUAGAUUUCAAGAUGACUGAUUCAAAGACAGUUAUGAGUCAGGUUCCAGAGAUACAAGUUCUACUUCACGAUAUUGAAGCUGAAGGUAUGACUUUAAGUGAAUCUUUCCAAAUAGCUGCGAUGAUCGAGAAACUACCUCCACUAUGGAAAGAUUUCAAAAACUAUCUCAAGCAUAAACGCAAAAAGAUGACGAUGGAGGAUCUAAUUGUUCGACUUCGCAUUGAAGAAGACAAUCGGGCUACAGAAAAGAAGAAUAAUGUCCGCAACAUGGAAGCAAAGACUAACAUGGUAGAAGACUCGGGGUCUAAGAACAAGAAAAGGAAGUGUUCUGGCUCAUCUAUGGACAAAGAAAAAGUCAACAAUACAAAACGAUUCAAAGGCAACUGUUAUAUUUGCGGGAAGCCGAGAUAUCAAGCUAAAGACUGUCGAAGCAAAAAGAAGGAUACGCAGAAAAGGAAACCGCCCCAAGCCAAUAUAACCGAAGUGGAUAAAAUUUCUACGGAUGUUGNNNNNNNNNNNNNNNNNNNNNNNNNNNNNNNNNNNNNNNNNNNNNNNNNNNNNNNNNNNNNNNNNNNNNNNNNNNNNNNNNNNNNNNNNNNNNNNNNNNNNNNNNNNNNNNNNNNNNNNNNNNNNNNNNNNNNNNNNNNNNNNNNNNNNNNNNNNNNNNNNNNNNNUAGAUUUGUACUUACUAAGGGGGGCAUGUAUGUUGGGAAGGGUUAUUUACUUGAUGGUCUAUUUAAGGCCAAUGCUGUUGUAGUGGACAAAAAAUCCACAUAUCUGUAUCCACAAGUUAUCAAUAAAACUAAUGCUUCUGUUUACUUGCUUGAAUCUUCAAAUUUAUGGUAUAGCAGAUUAGGACAUGUAAAUCGUGCUUCCUUAAGAAAACUUGUAGGUUUAGGUCUUAUACCUAAACUUGACUCCGAAAAUAAACAUAAAUGUGAAAUUUGUGUUGAAGCAAAAUUUGCUAAAAAAACCUUUUAACACAAUUGAAAGGAGUAGUGAACCGUUGUGUUUAAUACAUAGCGAUAUUUGUGAUCUAAAAUUUGUUCAGACUCGAAGUGGUAAAAAAUACUUUAUCACAUUUAUAGAUGAUCACAGUAGAUAUUGCCAAGUUUAUUUAUUAAGUAGCAAAGACGAAGCAUUGAAUGCAUUUGUUACUUACAAAAAAGAAGUUGAAAAUCAACUUGGAAAAACAAUUAAGGUAUUAAGAUCCGAUAGAGGUGGUGAAUAUGAUUCGUCCAUGUUUGAUGAAUUAUGUGCUCAGUUUGGUAUUAUUCACCAAACAAUAGCCCCGUAUACUCCGCAGCAAAAUGGGAUUGCUGAGAGGAAAAAUAGAACUCUAAAAGAAAUGGUUAAUGCUAUGCUUAUAAGUUUUGGAUUACCACAAAACUUGUGGGGGGAAGCAGUGCUAACUGCUAACUUUAUUCUGAAUAGAGUUUCCCAUAAGAAAAUGGUUCAAUACCUUAUGAGUUAUGGAAAGGUAGAAUGCCUUCCUAUAAAUACUUAAAAGUGUGGGGGUGCCUAGCUAAAGUGGCUAUUCCACCUCCCAAAAGGAUUAAGUUAGGUCCUAAAACUAUUGAUUGCAUUUUUAUCGGAUAUGCAAUAAAUAGUAGUGCGUACAGAUUUCUUGUGCAUAAAUCUAAUAUAAGUGACAUUCAUGUCAAUACAAUUUUUGAAUCUCGAGAUGCUGAAUUCUUUGAAGAUGUGUUCCCUAAUAAAAGAGAUAUUCGUGAGAAUACUCUAAAGAGAACACGAGAUAAUGCUAUUGAAAACAAUAUAGAACCUGAAUCAAGAAGGAGUAAAAGAGCAAAGGUCGCUAAAUCUUUUGGUCCAGACUUUAUUUCUUUCGUAAUUGAGAAAGAGCCCCAAACAUUUAAAGAAGCUGUGACUAGUCCAGAAUCCGUAUUCUGGAAGGAAGCUAUAAAUAGUGAAAUUGAAUCUAUUAUGAAUAAUAAUACUUGGCAAUUGGUUGAUCUUCCUAAGGGAACUAAACCAAUAGGAUGCAAAUGGAUCUUUAAAACAAAGUUAAGAUCUGAUGGUUCAAUAGACAAAUACAAGGCUCGACUGGUUGCAAAAGGAUAUCGUCAGAAAGAAAGAAUUGAUUUCUUUGACACAUAUUCUCCAGUAACAAGAAUUACUUCUAUUCGGGUUUUAAUUGCUACUGCAGCCUUGUACAACUUACAAAUACAUCAAAUGGAUGUUAAGACUGCAUUCCUGAAUGGUGAUUUAAACGAAGAAGUAUAUAUGGAACAGCCAGAAGGUUUCAUAGUGAAAGGACAAGAAAACAAAGUUUGCAAACUAGUUAAGUCCUUAUACGGUUUGAAGCAAGCUCCUAAACAAUGGCACGAAAAGUUUGACAGCGUCAUGAUUAGGAAUGGAUUCGUCAUAAAUGGAUGUGACAAAUGCGUAUAUUCGAAAAAAUUCGAAAAGGCUUACGUACUCGUCUGCUUGUAUGUUGAUGACAUGCUUAUAUUAGGGACUAAUAUUGAAGUCAUCAAUAGAACAAAGAAUAUACUUACCAAUAACUUUGACAUGAAAGAUAUGGGUGAAGCAGACGUGAUUCUAGGAAUAAAGAUAUCUAGAACAUCAAAUGGAAUAGUCUUAUCUCAAACCCAUUAUGUUGAUAAAAUAAUUGAGAGGUUUAAGACUCAUAAUAUUAAAGAGACGAGUAACCCAUUUCUUCCACAUAUAGUUCUUCACAAGAAUAGUGGAAAUGGGAAACAGCAGUUAGAAUAUUCCCAAAUUAUUGGUAGUUUAAUGUACCUGAUGAAUUGUACAAGACCUGAUAUAGCUUACUCGAUAAGUAAGCUGAGUCGUUACACAAAUAAUCCAAGUAAUCAACAUUGGGAUGCAUUACUUAGAGUUUUGGGAUACUUGAAACGGACCAGAGAGUAUUCAUUACAUUAUGGAAAAUAUCCUCCAGUAAUUGAAGGAUAUAGUGAUGCCAAUUGGAUAUCAGAUACAGACGAGUCAAAAUCUACCAGUGGCUAUGUAUUUACUCUCGGUGGUGGCGCUAUAUCAUGGAAAUUUUCUAAGCAAACGUGUAUAGCUCGAUCUACUAUGGAAUCUGAGUUUAUUGCUUUAGACAAAGCAGGAGAAGAAGCAGAAUGGUUAAGACAUUUCAUAGAAGAUAUUCCUAUAUGGUUAAAGCCUGUACCGGCUAUCUGUAUUCAUUGUGAUAACCAGGCCACAAUAGCCAGGGCUGAAAAUUUUGUGUAUAACGGUAAGUCGAGACAUAUACGUCGCAGACAUAACACCGUUCGGUAGUUGCUCUCAAAUGGAACAAUAUCAAUUGAUUUUGUUAAGUCAAAAGAAAACCUAGCGGAUCCGUUCACUAAAGGAUUUUCUAGAGAGCGUAUAGACUGCGCAUCGAGGGAAAUGGGUUUAAAGCCUAAAACCCAAUGAGUCAUCUUAGUGGAAACCUAACCUGGCAACUGGAGAUCCCAUGGACUAGGUUCAAUAGGAAAACUAAUUAUGAAUGACUCGAUAAGAAGCACUUAGGAGUUUAACUCCUUCCCAUUUCUAUGAUGCAAAAAGUGCUAUGAAGUGUAUUAAGGAUAAGCUUUGCUUUUAAUGAUGACUAUAAAUGGUACAAAUAAUUACAGUAGGAUACUCUUUAUAGUGCAUCACCUAUGUUAGUGCGAACUUGGCCGGUUCUAUGAGAAUUUACUUAGGCGAAUUCUCUAAAGCACUCGCAGAACCCAAGUAGUUCAGGGCCGAAAUAAUGAACACAAUAGAGAACCAAGUUUGAUAUGAGAGAUAAUGUGUUUGGUCUGUUGUCUGAGCUUGCAAUAACGGCUGACAGUUCAAAACGUUACGUUCACUGAUUAGCCAAGUGAGUUCGAUAGAUUCUUACUAAAGAAGGUUCAAAGCGAAAGCUACCUAUCUUGAUGCGUUAUCUUUCAGAUAGUACUCUUCUUUCGUCUUCCUUGAUCUGAGUCGACUUCUUCCAUUCAUGUGGGGGAUUGUUGGAAUUAAUUGAAUUUGAUUUGGGUUUGAUUUGGGUUUAAAAUAUUAAAUGUAAUAUUUAAUGAUAUGGGCCAUUGCAAUUAAUUUGGGUGAAUUGGAAAAGUCUCCAAUAUAGGCCCAUAUGUUGAUAAGCCCAUUUUAAGUGUUUUUUAUAUGGAAAGGAGUCCCACAUCGAAAGUUUACAAGAAAAUAGUCUUGUUUAUAUAGUGGGUUGUGUGAAUAAUAUAUAAUUUAACAUGUUACCUACCACUUGGCUAACUUUAGCUAGCCAAAGGCUAGCAAACUAGCCAAAGGCUAGUCACCACUGGAGUGGUGCUUCGCACCACUAGCACCGCUCCCCGGACCCGGUCCCGGCACGUAUACGCGCACGUCACAAAGUACGCAUUGGGCGCUUUAGAGGCGCACUUGGCACGUACGCAUCGUCGCGAGGAGCUGGGGAGCCUUAUAGUUUUCGGAAAUGGACUCGUGGUUCGAUGAGGUGGCAACACAAGGCUCGGUGAGUUGGCAUUCUAGUGGCGCACGAGUGGUCAGCAUUCUAGGUGGCGCACGAGUGGUAGGUCGCGUCCCUUCAUCCUGCAUGGCGGUUAGAUGUACGCGUGGCAUCCGCAUGGCUGUGACUAUUCAGAAAUUGGUGAAUAGGCAUGAUGAAUGGACACUUCACUUCAUGGUUCAAUUUGGGCCGUCAGAACAUAAAAAUAGUGCGAUCCAAUGGCUAAGACGAAUCAAACCAAGUGGUGCACCAGUUCCUGAAAUGUCACACACCUGUUCCAUGAGACACUUCAAUCUCUAUAAAUAGGGACCCCCAGAUUCGUUUUUUGAUACACCAAAUCAAUUACGAAUUCAAUUGAUUUCUAAAUUCUUCUCUCUCCAUAUUCGUCUCCAAAAAAAAAAAAUCUCUUAUACUUUCGUGGUUAUUCCGUUCAAGUACGAUCAUUCAUUGGUUCGACCGACAAGGUUGGUAUUGUGCAGUAUCGACUUUGGAAGGAGCGUUGUAUCUUGGGAGACAGACGUCCAUAAUCCCGUUUGCACUUUAUUGGGAGGCGAAAUCUGUCUUAAGGAGAUUUGCUUACUUUAUUAGCAUACCUCGCUUCAUUUACUGUUUAUUUUUCUGCUUAUUUUAUUUUUUCUUUUGAUUGCGUUAGUCGAAUUUUCGACAACAUAUAUUGCUUGAAACUCUUCGCAGAUUAAUUGCUCCACUGCUUUGGUGAAGUACUUAACUUAGUUUGGUGGCAGGCACACAAUUCAUCUUUUAUCUCACCGUGAAUGCCUAAAUAUCAAUAGGAGCGACAUAACCUAUUUCUUCUGUGCUAAACAAUUGAACUAAUUAUUUCUUAGGGUUAAGUGCUCUCUCCCAGUCUUCAGGUCGCUAUUACUUUGGCUGCUCUACCUCCGCCCACUGUUGAGACGGUUGUCGAUGGUGUAAUUAGGGAGAAAGAAUAGAAAAAUCACUUGAGGAUGAAUUGAGUUCUAAUCUAUAUGAUAUUCGAAUAUACUCAGUCAUAAUCAGUAAGGCUUAAUGCCCCUCAAUAUAAGAGGUUCUCUCGUUAUAUUGAAAUAAAAAAAAAAACUAAAUAUUCUAGCUAUCAAUUACAAUUAAUCAUUAAUGGUAACUUAUGAAAUACGGUAGCUUCCUUAUAUAUGAGCUUUCCUUAUAUUCCACUGACAGAAAUUUCCGAUGCCUCCCAAAUAAAUGGUUAUUUCUAGAAUGAAAGAAGAUGAAAUAAGAACUGUAGUUGUGUUAAAAGUUUACACAAUUCUUUAACUUUAAAUCUCAUAAAAAAUUAGCUCUUCUAAAUGUGAAAAGAAAACAACUAAAAUGCUAGAGGGAGUCCAGGACUACGAGCUGCUGGGUAUAUUCUUUUUAAGUAACUCAUAGAGUUGGCAUUUAGUCACGAGAAUAUUGAAACAAUUAUGAUGUGGAGUGUAAUUGUAAAAAGAAGAAAAUAGGUACUACUACUAGAAUCAGUACUUACAUAGCCUUCAUUGAUCCAAUGUCUGCAAGGUAAUUAGGAAUGCUUCCAGUUAUGUUACAGCUACUUAACGUCCUGCUAGCACGCAACAUAUGUAUAAAAUAAUAUGGUUCUAAAGGAAAUUAUCACAAUCUUCUAAGUUCUUUAUUGAUUUAGUGUGACAUUUACUCACAAAUACGUAAGGUUUCUCAUGUCUUUUAGCAGUGGGAACUCUGAAGCACCUCCAUUCAAGUUACUAAUAAUUCUGUAGAGAUAUCACAUUACAUCAGUUGUCAUCUUUACCAUCAAUGUAUAGUAAAUGAACAAAAUAUUGUUAUUGAAGUAUUGACAAACUGAAAUCUGACUGAAUAGGUUUCAACUCACAGUUCCUCUAAAUUUUUUAAGAUGGAAAUACUAGGAGGUAUGGGUCCUUCAAAACCACUGCCUUUUAUCACUCUGUUGAUAAUAAAUUAAUAAUGUCACGUAAACAAAAGUCGCAACUGUAAAUAUUGCAUUUUGGAAAAUGCUCAUUCAGGAAAGGACUUACAAGCUCUUAAGGUUUGUCCAGCUCCGAAAAUUAGGUAAUUUUCCAGUGAAGUUGUUACUGAUUAGCCAACUGCAUUGGCCCCAAAAGACAUGUUAUCAUUAAAAUAGCAGAAAACUGUUUGCACCUUUCCAGAUUAAAAAACUUUAUGCUUUGAGAAAUGUGUGGUAAAAUACUUACAGGUCUGUCAACAUUUUUAGAUUAUUUAAUUCAAUCGGCAACUCACCAGUGAGAUUGUUAUCAUAUAGAUAGCUGCAGUGACCAAAAAAGACAAGUUACACGUACAUAAAUGGGUAAAUUACAGCCACUAUUUCUAACCUUUUGUUGGAGUAAUUUUCAAAAGAAUGUCGUUUAGACAUUGGUAAAUUAAAUCAAGGAAAUACAAUUCAAAAAGCACUUGAUCAAGAUGUGACAAGAACGAGAGACGUAGGAACGGACGAAAACUUGAGCCAGUUUGCAAAGCAAACUAGUGCAGGUGGGCAACAUGGAAGUGCUCUUGUGCUUCCUGGUUCGCGCAGGUGCGCUACCAUGUUGUCCACCUGCACUAGUUUGCUUGGUUGGCGCAGAUACGCUGCUUGUGCUGGGCAGCCUUGAGAUUAAGCCAGCAGCUGUAAGAACUUACAUUUUUAGAGAACGUAAAUAGCAAAAAUGAAUAGGAAAGUUUCUGUGUAUUGAAGAUAAAAGUCUCGCUAAUUGUACGUUAUGUGGUCCUUAAAUAUGAAUGGAAAAAUGCAGCACUAAUUAUAGUUGUUUACAGCUGCACACUUUUUGAAAAUUUCAACUAAACUAUCUAAUUCUUCAGCUCACUUCCAUGUCAGCUUCUUCUGGUAAUCUCAACAGCCCCCUUCAAGGUGGAGUGUAUAUGUUGCACAUAUUCAUCUUGCACAGUAGAGAAUGAAACAGAGAUACUCCCACUGGUUUUGUCAUAAUAUCUGCUAGUUGAUUACCUAAAGAGACAUGCAUGGUGUGUAAAAUUCCAGCCUUAAUCUUGUCCCUUACUAAGUGACAAUCUAGUUCGAUAUGUUUUGUUAUCUCGUGAAAUAUAGGGUUGACAGCGAUGUGUAAUGCAGCUUGAUUAUCACAAUAUAACAAUGCAAGCUUCUUAUGUUUGAUUCCCAAGUCAGCUAGUAGGUAUAAAAGCCAUUGAACUUUGCAUGUAGCAAAUGCCAUAGCACGGUAUUUAGCUUCUACUGAAGAUCUGAAAACUAUACUUUGCUUAUUAGACUUCCAGGAUAUUAAAGCAUUUCCUAAAAAGGAACAAUAUCUAGUUAUAGACCUCCUUAAAUCAGGGCAACUUGCCCAAUCUGAAUAUGAAAAGAUUUUCAACCGUAAGUCAUUUUCUUUAGGGAAGAAAAUCCUCUGUCCUGGCAUGCUCUUGAUAUAUCUCAAUACCCUAUAAGUUGCAUUCAAAUGAGGUUUCCUUGGUUGGUUUAUAAACUGACUUAACACUUGAACCACAUAACUCAAAUCAGGCCUAGUAAUGGUUAAGUAUAAUAACCGUCCCACCAGCCUCCUGUAGAUUGAUGCAUCAUUCAAUAAUUCUUCACUUUCUUUGUCCAGUUUAAUGUUCAACUCCAUUGGUGUGUUUGUUGGUUUAGCACCACUGAAGCCAACAUCUUCUAAAAUGUCUAUGGCAAAUAUUUUUUUACACAAAGAAAUUCCCAUCUUAGACCUAGCCACCUCCAGUCCUAGGAAAUAUUUCAAUGCCCCUAGAUCCUUUAUCUUGAAUUUCAUAUCAAGAGAAGCCUUCAAAUCAUUCAUGCCUUGCAAAUCAUUUCCUGUCAAGACAAUGUCAUCCACAUAUACUAGAAGAGCAACAAAAGAGCCAUUUCUAUUUCUGGUAAAGAGUGAAAAAUCUGAGAACUUAGUGAACCAUUGCCUUGAGGCUAGUUUUAAGCCGUAUAAAGACUUGUUCAGCCAGCAUACCAUAUUGUGCCCUUUGCCGAAUUUUCAUGUAUAUUUUCUCAUUCAAAUCACCGUGUAAAAAAGCAUUGUUGACAUCCAAUUGUAAGAGGUCCCAAUCUAUAGCAGCAGCUAUAGCUACCUUUAAGGAAAUCAUCGCUAAUUUGGAGACUUUGGAAGUCAAAUAUAAUGAAGAAGAUUUGUGAUUGAUUUUAUUGUGUUCAUUGUCCACUUCAUACAUGUCUUUUAGAGACACAAUUUUAUAUAAUUGUGAUAUUCUCACCAACGAAGAAAUCUAUGAUGUUCUAUAUUCAAAGGAGAAGAUGAAGUCUCUUGUUGCAUAUGAGAGUCUUUGAGAUGACUUCAUUGUUGAUGGUGGUCAUUCAAAGGAUAAGUCAAAAAUCUAACUUCAAAUUUUAUAAUUAUUACAAAAAAGGGGGGCACUAGAUAAAUGAUUGUUAUAAGUUGUAGAAUAAAUCAAAAUUGACUGCAAAUAAACAAUCAGAAAUUUUAGGAAAAACAAGUAUUGCAAAAAAAAUCCUAACAAUGAUGGAGAGCUUUUACUUAUGUCUAACUACAACUCCAAAUUUAACGAGGCUUGGAUUUUUUAUGCUGCUUGCACUUUUUAUAUGACUCCUAAUCGAGAUUUGUUUUCAACAUAUGAAGAAGUUUUAAAAGGUAUUGUAAUGAUGGGUAAUAAUACACAUUGUCGAAUUAAAAUAAAGAUGUUUGAUGGGAAGGUUAGAACACUUAAUGCAGUGAGGUGUGUUCUAGAUUUGAAUAAAAAUCUUAUCUCCUUAAGUACUCUUGAUUCAAAAGAGUACAGUUAUACUUUUGAAGGUGGAGUCCUGAAAGUUAGUAAAUCAGCAUGUGUUUUGUUAAAGGGAUAUAGAAAAUUCCAUUUAAAUAUCUUGCAGUGUUAUAUAGAAUUUUUGAGCAAUCAGCAUAUUUUAAGAACUCAGGUGGAUUUGGAGUUGGAUUCUAUAUUGUUGGAGCCUAAUUUUAGGCUUUUUUUUUUUUUUUAAGAAUACAUCUCAGUUGAAUUUAGAAGUUAUAGGUAAAUCCGCCUUACCACCAUCAUCGAUGGUGUCAUUGUAUUUAGUUGCUUGUAAUAAACCUAUCUUUGGCCAUAAUAUUUCACAUAGAUACAAUUCUAUUGAUUUAGUUGAUGGUUUGAAUGUGAUUAAAGGUGUUGAUUCUAGCCAAGAUCCUUCUUUUAAUGUAUUCAGUUGUAAUUCUAUUAUAGGGGCUUGUUUCAACCUUGUUUGGUGGUCAUUAGUUUACUUUCUCCUUUAAUUGAGGUAGUAGAGGUGGAGAAUGUUUCGGUUGAAUUUUUUUAUGGAGAAGUUCGUUUGUGUCCUUCAGUGAAUAUUUGAAGUUUUUUCCUUGUAGUGGAAUUUGUCUUCAAGUGGAGAAUUUUUUUCUUUUGAAGUUUUAUUCAUUGUAGUGGAAUUCGUGUCAAGAUAGAGAUUGUUAGAAUUUGGCUGUGACCCGAAUUCUUUGUUGAAGAUAAUUGAGAGUUCUAAUUAAAGUGCACAUUAGGAAAAAUUCUUUUUGGACUGUUUUGUGGAAUUCUAUUCAAGUUUACUUGGCAAAUUCUAGUUAAAGUUCUACUUGAAAGCCCAUUAUGAAUUGAAAUUUGUGUUAAACUUGAAUAGAAUAUUGUGAUGAAGAAAAUCAAGUUUUUGAAGUAAAGGACCUGAGAGUGGGAUCCACAGCACCACGACGCUACCUACUUUGUUUCACCUGGUGUGAUUUUUCUUUCUCUACUUCAGCCACAACUCUACUAUUAGGAUUUGAACGUGCCCCUAUUUAUUCCUUAUAUAUAGUUAGCUUUUCAUUAUGAUUUAGAAGAAGUUAGAAACAUUGUAAACACAAAUCUUUGUAUUAUUUUUUCAUAUUAUAAUAAAAUUUCCAUUCUCUACAAAUUAUUUUGGUCUUGUGAUUAAUUACUUCAUAUUGUGGCUACAAUCUCCUAUUUUCCCCGAUAGUUUGGUAUUGGAUUAAUCCGGUAUCAUCUUCGUUUGAUAACAAUAAGUCUAUCUCCAUGAGUGUCGAUGAUGGUUUAUCUCCAAAGUGUCUUGACUAGCUACUUAAGAUAUUCUUGAAAAUUAAGGAUAUGGGACACGUGGCGUAUUUACAUGUUGAUUUAUAUGAACACACGAGGAUAUAAAACUUGUAUAUGAAGUUUUUCGCUUAGCCAUAUAGGGUUGUUGGUUCAAAGCUUGUCUACCAUAUCGCUUUGGUUAAUAUUUGGUCUAUGCAUAGAGUUUGUGAUGUCUAUAUGAUAGAUUGUAAAACUAUCACUCAUUUUGGAAAUUGUAGAGAAUUGUUGAAAUAAUUUUCAAAAAAACGCCGUUUAGACAUUGGUAGUUUAAAUCAAGGAAAUACUUCAAGAAGCGUUGGAUCAAGAUAGGACAAGAACAAGAGAUGACAAAACGGACCAAAACUUGCACUAGUUUGCAACAUAAAUUAGCACAGGUACGCCCAAGGCUAGUGCACCUGCGCUAGUUGAGUAAUUGAAGCGUAGGUACUCUGCCUUGUUGAUGCAGGUGAACUGUUGGCUAGUGCACCCGUGCUGCCAAGCGACAACAAUGGUGUCUUUUCGUCCCUAACUGAUGUUUGAUGGUUAGAAUUCAAUUUUUUUCAGUUUGUAUUGAUGUAGUUCAAACUCUAAUAAUUAUCUUGAAGUGUUGUAACUCUUGGGAAGAUGUGUAAUAUAAUUUUAAUUCGUUUUUACUCUACCAUUUUCUACACUUUCUUGCAUCCAAAAUACCAACUUUAGUGCAUUCAUAUCUUCUUGAAUAUUGUUUGUAUUUAUCAUACUGCAGAUAUAAAGUGGAAAUUUUGAGUAGAUUUUCCACUGUUCGGGUUGUCUUCGUAAGAAAUCCCAAACAACACUAAAGGGCUUCAUUAUAUCCUAUAGACGUAUUUGCAUUCCGUGUGCAUCACAGAAUGGUGGAAACAAAUAACAUCUUAAGGAAAGAGAUAUUUGUUAUAUGCCUUGAAGCCGGUAUUGUUUUAAGUUCGAGUUUUUGCGAUAUUCCAACAUCUAGUUUCGUCUAAUCGUCAUCUCUAAACUGAUCUCACCAACACCUUUGAACCUCGUUUUCGUAAUCUACCUAUAUAAAUUCAACUAAUUCAAUCCGUCAAUUUGUUAAAAUCUGGAUGAUCGAAAACGUCUUACAGAUGUUUUAAAUUGACCAGCUUCCCUAGUUCUGCUGGAAUGGUCCCGUUAAACCUGUUACUCCCCAGGCCCCUGAAGGUUGAAUAGAUUUUUAAAAUUACAAUUAGAAUUCCGAGAAAAUAUAUCCACUAUCAAACAAAACAUUCAUGGUGUUUGCUUCUUUAUGUAGGAGUGACCAUAUGUAGAGAGAGAGAUCUAUGGGUCAAUUGAUAUAUGGACUUUGCUUGAUGUAUAUAAUUUUUGUACAUCAAGGUGUCCAUGCCUCUCACAUGGGGUGGGGUCCACACUUUUGUAGGCCCCACCCCAUGUGAGAGGCAUUGAUACCCUUAUGGACAAAAAUUAUGUAUACCCUUAUGGACAAAAAUUAUGUACAUCUAGAAUUUUCCUUGAUAUAUAGAUGGGGAGAUAGCUAGAUAAGAACUCACAAAUAUACGAGCGUGGUAAUGUUUCCCAGGAAUUUCGGUAUGGGUCCAGAUAGGCGGUUCACCAAAAGACACCUAUAUCACACAUACUUUUUCGAUAUAACAGAGGAUGUAGACAUUGCAUCAUUGCCAAAACUCAAUUAAAAGCUACAGGUAAAGCUCACAUGUACUCCAAUUUGGUUGCUCCCCAUUCCAUGGGUAUUGUACCAUUAAGGUAGUUGCCACUAAGAUCUCUGCAACCAACAGAUUCAGAGUGAGAUCAAUGUAGCCAAUAAAUUGUCUCAACCUUUUGAAGCAAAAAGCUGAGUAGAUUUAAUAAAUUGAAAAUAAACUUGGAACAUCUUGCUACAUUGUCUUGAGGUAGGGUAACUUUGCCAGUGAGGGCGGAAGGACACCUGCCAAAUCCUGUCCUUUUAGAAAUCUGUUUGUAAAGAAAAAGAGGCUAUCUUUAGCAUACUCUGAAUUGAAAAGUUUUCAUCUAAAUUUUACAAGUGCAACAAUUAAAGUUUCUUGACAGGUGAAAGAAACAAAGCCAAAAAAAAAAAAAAAAAAUCAUUCCGAAGGGAUUUUGAAAGAAACGAUACAAUAGAUUAAGCCCAUGUUUGGUGGGGAUUAUUUUUAGCAAAUUUUGAUAAAAGUUGAUGAAAUGUAUAGUUGAAAAGUUUUGGGUCUAUAAAAUAUGCAGCUAAAAUUAAUUGUUGAUUUUUAUUUAGAUUAAGAUCUAGAUUUUAGUCCUACCAAAUAGGGGCUAAAUGUAUAGUGUUUCAAGUAAAACAACUUGUUAGAGUGGCUUCUCGAGCACACUACAAACGUUAUACUAUUUCAUUUUCAACUCUAACUUAACAUCAAGAAUGUAACUUGAAACACUGACAUGGUGAAAUAAAGUUGCAUGCUUGACUGAAUGGAAAAAAAGAACUUCUUAUUUAUUUUUUAUUUUUUUAUGGUUAUAAUACUGACACAGCUUAUUCCUAUACAUAUUUUAAGUGCAAAUCCUGGUUAAAGAUGAUGAAGAUAGAGAGUCUAGCAAUAUAAAAUGAGUAAUGCUAUUUAGUACCAUUAGUGUUAUAAUACCAGUUUUGGUGGCACCAAUUGUCAUUAAAUGAGUCACUACCUUUUCAUUUAGCCCAUUGUAUUGUGACAUUUAAACUGGUCUUAGAUGACAUUAUUCAUAUGAAAUAAGUCAUAAAGGUCAAGUUUGAUUACUAGGCACCAUAAGUUCUAUUGAGGUUUAAGCAGGAAAAAAGUACAAUAAUUCCCACAUAAAAUACCAUUUUAAGAAUCAACAAACAGAUUUGCAACCAUUAUAUGGUAUUCCACGCCUCAAAAUCAGAUACUGAAAACCCCAUAUUUGGCUGCUUCAAGAUCAAUAGAAGCAGAAUAUAUUUUCUGUGAUUCUUGAUUCCUUGCAAUAUAAUAGCACAAAUGGCUAUUUCUAAAUCAGUUUCAAACUAAUGAUAAAGAUGAUAAGUUUUCAGCAAGAAAACCUACAUUGAUUUUACGUGGCACACACCACCAGGGAAAUUACAAUUGCAGAUGAUGGAAUUGGUGUACCAUUGUAUAUCUUCUCGUUUCGGUGUAUUCCAGUUUGAGUUAUUAUCACAAGGAUUCAGGUUGAAGUCCCAGUCCUUUUUGCCCAACUGAUCAGCUAUUUCACGAAGAGCAUUCUCUGCAAAAAUCAGAAUUCUAUUCUAAAAUAGAAAUGUGAUCGGAUUUCAUGUUGAUCAAAGUGAACUUUUAAGGAUAACCUGAAGUUUAAUGGAAGGCUAAAAAGUGUAGUACCUAAUGAGCUAAACACGUGAAUGGAAAGAAAGAAAUGGUUUACAUAAAAAAACGAUCCUUACUUUCCUCAUCAGGGAGAUAUCCACUCCGUGCAGAAAUAAUUGUUGCUUUGAAGAGAAGUAAUAUCGUCAAGGUGAACAUAAAGAUGAGAAUAGCUUUAGACAUCUUUGCGCCUCAGUUUAAUAUUCAUCAGGCCGAAACAAGUACAUGUAUAUAUAUGAGAGAGAGGAGAUUAGAACUUCGGUUAACGACUUUAGCAUUCGAUGAGAUGUUAAACAAGGUGGGACCUUCAAUGUCACGCCUGUGAUAACAUGGAACUAUGAUUGCAAUUAGUUCUUUAUUUUUUUUAAUUUAAAUAGAAGGGUAUAUUAGUCAUUUUAUAACUUUUUAUUGAGAAAAAUGAUGAAAAGAAUGUUUUCCACAGGAAAAGGUAAAGGUAGGGAUGAAAUGCGCCAAAAAGGGAAAUGUAGGGACGUUUUCCACAAAAAUCAUGAAAGGUAUGGACAUUUUGUGCUAAAUACCCUUUAUUUUACUUUCUUUCAUGAGAAGGCAUUUAAGACAGGACAUCAUAAAUAUUUUGUAUUUCCUCCCUAGCAAAAGAUAAACAUAAGUGCAUUAACUUUCUAGGUAGAUUGAAAGGACAACAAUGUAAAGUUAGGAAAUAGACAAUCAACAUAGGCCUCCUGAUCUGAUCACUAUCACAUCCAGCUCACAGUACAAUUGACUUCUCCUCAUUCCAUUUCAUUAGCAUUAAUCUCUUGUUCAAUACUUGUUCAUCUUUUGAACGAGUGAAUCUAAAAAUACCAGUAGAAAAAUUGUGAAAAAGAUAACUGCAUCAGCGUGGGGCUCAUUAGUAGAAUUUUGUAUCAGACUGUGCAAAGACUAGCUAGGUUGGUCAAUCACUAAGAAUUUUUCAUAAAUGCAUGUUCAAAUAUUACAAAGCUAUACUAUUAUGAAUCAAUUAAUGAUUCUUGAAUAAAUAUUUCUUUUCAAAUUGUAGAGAUAUUCACAAUAUUAAACACUAUUUUCCUAGAUUUCAUUGCGUUAUUGGAGUUUUGAUCAAAACAUUGACCAACUAGAUAAUACUUUGCAUGUCCAUUGACUCAACUUGAAGUGUUCUCAUAGCAAGCUCUCUCUCAAAGUCGCCCAUAAAAUCCAUGCUUUCUUAAAUUAUAUUUAUCGGCGCUAAUAUUUUUUUUGCAAGCGAUUGUGGCACAACACAUUGGAAAAAAUAGAGAUAUACAAAACUACUUCAACCAAUUAUCUUUGAUCAUCUAGUUGUUUUGCCUCUUAUUAGAUGUAAUAAAAUAAAUAGACCUGAGUGGUUCGUGGUCUCAGAAUGGAAGUUAUUAUUAUUGUUUUUACUUUAAAAUAGCAAUGAAGGUGUUUUAAGGCCAUUAUGUCUGCAUCUUCGUAAUCAAAUUGGUCUUGUGGGUAGUCCGUAUUCGUAUUAAAUCUAUUCUCAUUUUCAGGUGUUUCCAUUUUUUGCCAAUUUCUUGGGUAAAAUCUCCCACCUAUCUUAAAGAUAAAGAAAGCUUUCUUGGACACUUCUUACACUAAAAAUGAAGGACGAUCCAAUUUAUUAACUAUGAAGCACUAAUAUUUCUUCAAAGCAUAAAACAACUAAAAAAUUAGUAAAUAAUUAGUAAAAAUGAAUGAAAACCCGCUUCACGCUACUUGUUUUGAAUAAUCUCUGGUACAUAACUGAUAAAUUUACUAAAGAAGAAGUAUUUCAUCAAAUUUCAUCAUCUACUAACUUUAUCCUUAUUGAAUAUCUAACCAUAUAAUUGUUGUUCUUGUUAAUGUAUUCAAAAUGUGUUGGGUAAUUGCCUCAAAAGUCAAAAGUUGGAGGACUUCUAUUGCAAAUAAUAAAAGGUAAUAAUUGUAUGGAAGACUUAUAAUUAAAGUUGAGAACAGAAUCCUCGAAGAAUUUGGUUUCCAAUUUUACAACCGAUUUUGGAGUCUUGCACAUAAAGGAGUCCUUGUUUGAGUUGAAAUUAAACUCUUCUACUUAAUUAUCGAUCCUACAAAUAGUAGAUGUAUUUAUUAUUUUGGAGGUGUGGCCUGAGAGUUAAUCCGAGAGAUAAAUAUUGUGAGCCUAGCAUCUUGAGAGUUUUAUAUAAAGAGUAGAAAAGUGGGUAUGGCAAAGCUCAAGAUUAUUGUUCUUUGUAAUACUUGAGAAUUGGGUUGAUGAGUGAAAUUUUAUAUGGUUAUAACAAUUUUCAUAUAGUGAAAGGCUUUGACGGUCCAUUUAAUUUGUGCGUUAUAUUCUUCUUCUUCUUCUUCUUCUUUUGGCUAAUAUUUUCUUGAACAACAAUAGAUUCUGAGGGUAAAUAGAAACAAAGGAAAUUAGCGUAAAAUUCCUAACAAAAUGAAAUUUCCAUUUCCAUCAACAUCUCACCAUGUCAAUAGCAUGGUUGGCUAGUGAUACAAAUAGAUUAGUUAAUGACAGAUCCAAUCAAUUAAAUGGAUUUUGACAUUUUACCUAGGUAUUUAUUGUGGCGCAGAAAAAAAAAUUUCAUGUCAAUUUUAUCAAUGUUAUGCCCGCAAUAACAUGACCCGAACAUUUAUUUUACUUUCUUUCAUCAAAAGGCAUUUAAUACGGGACAUCAUAAAUAUUUUCUAUUUCCUCCCUGGCAAAAGAAAAACGUAAGUGCAUUAACUUUCUAGGUAGAUUGAGAAGCACCUUAACGGAAACUUGGGAAUUAGACAUUCAACAUUGGCCUCCUAAUCUGAAUAUUCAAAUAAAUAGCUUUUUCAUUAUCAUGUCUAUUCACCUCACGGUACAAUUGACUCCUCCUUAUUCCAUUUCAUCAACAUUAAUCUCUUGUUUUAUGCUUGUUCGUCUUCUUCUUCUAAAUGAGUGAACCUAAAAAAUAUCAGUAGAUAAAUUAUCAUUAUCAGAUAAAGAGAGCUGCAUGAGCAUGGGGCUAACUUGUACAAUUUUCUAUCAGACUGUCUGUAGUAACCUGAAAAUGAAAUCAGAGGAUUAGUAGAGACUUAGCAAAGAUUUGCUAGGUUAGUCCAUCACUAAGUCUUUUUCAUCUGCAUUUACAUUAAGAUAACAGAGAAAUUUAUAAAUGCAUGUUCAUAUAUUACAAAGCUAGACUAUUAUGAAUCAAUUGUUGAUUCUUGAAUAAAUAUUUCUUUUAAAAUUGUAGAGAUAUUUACAGUAUUAAACACCAUUUUCCUAGAUUUCGUUGCCUUAUUAGAGUUUUGAUCAAAACAUUGACAAACUAGAUAAUACUGUGCAUGUCCAUUGACUCAAUUUGAAGUAUUCUGAUUGCAAGCUCUCUCUCUAAGUCAGCCAUAAAAUCCGUACUUUCUUAAAUUAUAUCUAUCGGCACUAAUAUUUUUUUGCAAGUGAUCACGGCACAUCACAUUGUAAAAAAUAGAGAUAUACCAAAACUUCAACAGCCAACUAUCUUUGAUCAUCUAGUUGUUUUGCCUCUUAUAUUAGAUGUAAUAAAAUAAAUAGACCAGAGUGAUUCGUGGUCUCAGAAUGGAAGUUGUUACUACUACUACUUUAAAAUAGCACAGAAGGUAUUUUAUGGCCACUAUCUUUGCAUCCUCAUAAUCAAAUUGGUCUUGUGGAUAGUCCGUAUUGGUAUCAAAUCUAUUCCCAUGUUCUAGUGUUUCCAUUUUUUGCCAAUUUCUUUGGUAAAAUCUCCCAACUAUUUUUAAGAUAAAGAAAGCUUUCUUGGAUGCUUCUUGCACUAAAAAUGAAGGACGGUCCAAUAUAUUAACUACGAAGCACUAAUAUUUCUUCAAAGCAUAAAACAACUAAUGAUUAAUAAAAAUGAAUGAAAACCCACUUCGGGCUUCUUGUUUUCAAUAAUAUCUAGUACAUAACUGAAAAAUCUAUUAAAGAAGAAGUAUUUCGUCAAAUUUCUUCCUCGACUAACUUUAUCCUUAUUGAAUAUCUACCUAUAUAAUUGUUGUGCUUGUUAAUGUAUUCAAAAUGAAAUUUUCAUUUCCAUCAACAUUUCACCACAUCAAUAGCAUGGUUUGCUAGUGAUACAAAUAGAUUAGUAAACGACAGAUCGAGUCAAUUAAAUGGAUAUCGACAUUUUACCUAGGUAUUUAUUGUGGUGUAGCAAAAAAUUUUCAUGCCAAUUUUAUCAAUGUUAUGCCUACGAUAACAUGACCCGAACAUUUAUUUUACUUUCUUUCGUUAAAAGGCAUUUAAUACAAGACAUCAUAAAUAUUUUCUAUUUCCUCCCUGGCAAAAGAUAAACGUAAGUGCAUUAACUUUCUAGGUAGAUUGAGAAGGACCUUAAUGGAAUCUUGGGAAAUAGACCUUUAACAUUGACCUCCUAAUCUGAAUAUUCAAAUAAAUAGCUUUUUUCAUUAUCGUGUCUAUUCACCUCACGGUACAAUUGACUCCUCCUUAUUCCAUUUCAUCAGCAUUAAUCUCUUGUUUUAUGCUUGUUCGUCUUCUUGUGAACGAGUGAACCUAAAAAAUAUCAGUAGAUAAAUUAUCAUUAUCAGAUAAAGAUAACUCCAUAAGCAUGGGGCUAACCAGUAGAAUUUUCUAUUAAACUGUCUGUAGUAGACUGUCUGUAUUACCCUGAAAAUGAAAUCAGAGACUUCGCAAAGACUUGCAAGGUUAAAGCAUCACUAAGACUUUUUCAUCUGUAUUCACAUUCAGAUAAAUAGAGAAUUUCAUAAAUGCAUGUUCAAAUAUUACAAAGCUAGACUAUUAUGAAUCAAUUAUUGAUUCUUGAAUAAAUAUUUCUUUUCAAAUUGUAGAGAUAAUCACAAUAUUGAACACUAUUUUCCUAGAUUUCGUUGCCUUAUUGGAGUUUUGAUCAAAAUAUUCACCAACUAGAUAAUAUUGUGCAUGUCUAUUGACUCAAUUUGAUGUGUUUUGAUUGCAAGCUCUCUCUCAGUUGCCCAUAAAAUCCAUACUUUCUUAAAUUAUAUUUAUCGGGGCUAAUAUUAUUUUGCAAGUGAUUGUGGCACAACAAGUUGGAAAAAGUAGAGAUAUACCAAAACUACUCUAGCCAAUUAUCUUUGAUCAUCUAGUUGUUUCGCCUCUUACAUUAUAUGUAAUAAAAUAAAUAGACCAGAGUGGUUUGUGGUCUCAGAAUGAAACUUUUUUUUUUUUUUUUUUUACUUUAAAAUAAAUAGCACCGAAAGCAUUUUAUGGCCACUAUGUUUGCAUCCUCAUAAUCAAAGUGGUCUCAUGGGUAGUCCGUAUUGGUAUUAAAUCUAUUCCCAUGUUCUGGUGUUUCCAGUUUUUGCCAAUUUCUGGUAAAAUCUCCCACCUAUCUUAAAGAUAAAGAAAGUUUUCUUGGAUGCUUCUUGCACUAAAAAUGGACGGUCCAAUUUAUUAAACUAUGAAGCACUAAUAUUUCUUCAAAGCAUAAAACAAGUAAAAAAUUAGUAAAAAUGAAUGAAAACCUGCUUCGGGCUUCUUGUUUUCAGUAAUCUCUGGCACAUAACUGAUAAAUCUACUAAAGUAGCAUAUCAUCAAAUUUCUUCCUCUGCUAACUUUAUCCUUAUUGAAUAUCUAAUUAUAUUAUUGUUGUACUUGUUAAUGUAAUCAAAAUAAAAUUUCCACAGUCAACAUCUCACUACGUCAAUGGCAUGGUUUGCUAGUGAUACAAAUAAAUUUUCAUGUCAAUUUUAACAAUUUAUAGGCCUCAAAUCCCUAUUAGAAUUUUUUUCAGUUGUGCUAGCGCAUCUUGAGUUUAAACCUAUUAGGUUCCCAAACACCUGAGGUCAAGUUCCUCUCCUCUGCAAGAUAUUUAUAGACAAAAUGAAGUAUUCUAUUUAAUAUUUUAUUUUACUUUUAACAAGAAAGAACAGUAAAACUGUUUUAGAACGUGCGCAUAAGCUGUAAUUAGGACUCAUAAAGAUUUGUUAAGUAAGCCCGACUUCAAGAGGUAUUUUAAAUUCAACCUUAGUAAUUUGAUGCUCUACAUCAAUGUCUGAAUGAAGUUUGCAUUUGCAUGUGUUUGAUAUUGUUUAAAAGUUACUUUUCUAGUCAGCAAGUUUUUUAGCAAAAUAGAAAAUCACUUUUGACAAUAUAAGUAACGCAACAACAAAUUUAAUAAAAUCCAAGUAAUGUUAUAAAUGACACAAGUUGGCAGUACACAGGAAUCGGGGAAGGGUAUAGCCACCUUGACAGAAAAAUGUUUCGGCAAAAUAUGAUUGGAUGAAAGAGUUAACAAUGUUUCAGAAAGUCUAAUAAUAUGAUGUCAUGUAACCAUAUGUCAAGAAUUAUGUCAACCAUUAUGUUACUGUAGCAUGAUUCAUAGGAAAAUGGAUCAAAAGAGUCCUUUCUCGCUAGCAAUUGUCGUAUCUUUAUAGUUGACCGCAACAUAUUACUUUGCAUUUCUCAAUGUACGUGCCCUUGAAUAAAUGGACGGAAAGUACUAAGAAAGAGAAAUAAAUUCUAAUUCAUAAUUCAUUGAAGGUUGUCUGAGAAGGAAUCUCGAGCAGAUGUAGAGGAUAAGCCAGUUUCUGGUGCAUCAGACAAAUGAAUGAGGAUUGAGUUUUACUUGAAUUAAGUUUCAAGUAUUAGAACUUCUCUCUGACUGAUUGAAGAUUCACUAACGAAUUGAGCUGACUCCCUUCGCACCAUUAACUAGUUGAGUUGGCUACGGAUGAACUACAGGAGCUCGUCGAUCAAUCACAUGAGUCGGGUGGCGAGGCUAGACGAUUUGAAUUUCCUUCUUAAAAGGUCAACUUUAUUAUAAGGAAUAAUCCAAACCCUUAUAAGUUGGUUUAUAUAUCUUUAUUCGAUGUGUGACUUUAUCGCUUAACAUGCCGAGUAAGAUGGUCGAACCAAUCUUGAAAUCCAUGUACUCAUUUUUUUUAGCCUUAAUAGGAUUGAAUCGCUCAUUUGAGCUUAAUAGACUCUAAUAUCAUGUAAAGAUUUGGGAUUCCAUCUUAAAAUGUCACCAUUGUUAAGGAGAGUAGUUCAAAUCCUUAUAAGUUGGACUAUAUUUUUAUCUUUAUUUUAUGUGAAAUUUUAUCCCUUGACAUCUAGGCCUGCAAAAUAGCAAAUUGCUUAGUAAUUGAUAUCGACAUCUUACCUGUGUUUAUGGGCAUUGAGUUGGAAAGUUUUGAACUUUAGCUUGAGAAUAGACUACUCAAUUGAAGUGUUGUAAUCAGUAUUAAUAUUCCGUCGACUUUGAAUACAAUUUACAAUUUAUAACAUUCACAGAAGGUAAUAAGUAACCUUUUUAUAAUUUUACGUAAAGAAGAAAAUUUUGUUGAUAAAAUAAAUUUAUUUCCUCCAAAUCUCCAUUACCAGUUUGAACAAUUUCUUUUAUCUAUAUAUAUACACACGCGUGCGCAUGCAUGCAUGUGUCCAAGGGUGUACUGAAUGUAAUUAUGGUUGAUAAUUGUUGGGCUAUAAUGCCAUCACAUCCGUAAGUGGGGCGAUGAUAGUAUCAUGGGCUUGGCCCAUUUUCGGUAUUUGAUCCAUUACACGGUAUUUCAAACGUGGAGGCCCAAUACCCAUACCCAAUAUAUGGAAAAUCGCAUAUUGGAAGAGCAAUUUUAGUUGCCAAUUAAUGCUGAAGUCACUAAUUGCCCUCGACUGUUGAUCAUCAUCCAAAAUCAAUGGUGAUGGUGUAAAGUAUAAAUGGGAUCUUACUUUGUUACCCUAGUUCACUUGUACUCUGAUAUUUGUUGGUGUUUUCUGGAAUUCUCACUAAGUUUGGUUUGUUUCUUUUGUCUUCUUUCGAUCAUCUUUAACCUCUAGUUGGAUAGUUUCUCGUGGUUUUCUGAGUGAAAUUUGAGUUUCUAUGGUUGAUGGUGAGAGAAAGGUGCAGUUUCAAGUUCAAUACCUUCUGGUCCAUAAAAGAAGUGUCUUCUGAUCCACUAAGGGUUUAGGUUUGAGGUUUCUGGUUUGUAAACAAGGGUAUUCGAGAUGCCUUAGGUUGUGUCUUGAGUUGUAAUCUUUGAUAUAAACAUUUGUAUAGUUUGAUUCGAUUUUUGUUCUAAUAGUAACUUGAUCGAUUGGUAAGUUGAUUGAAUAGUAUUAGAUAAUCCCUCCUUAUCUUAAAAGAGAGAAUAUAAAGUUUACGAUUCAUUUUUGUCACAUAGAUUUUCACAUGAAACUGGUUUGAAACUCAUUUGACAGCAAUAAAUUAUUCCAUUCAAUCACACUUUAGCAUUUUUUUUCACAUGCUAUUUCACUGCAAUUAUUAAAAAAAAAAAAAAAAGGAAUUGCAGGCAAACAUAGAAAAAAAUUAUUAUAAAAUUUUUAAAUUAAAUUGAAAUAAUUAAAAUUAAAAAUAAAAAUUAUCUAAUUUAAAUUUAACAAAUCACGUUCUAUCAUAAAGAAUGUAUAAAUAUUAUUAUCAAUGAAAUAAAUAUGGCUUUAUUUCAGCAGUUCAAUUCUUACUAUAAAUAUGGCUUGUAUCUGAUCAAUGAAAUUAAUCAAUAAAAUAUGAAUUUCUUCUUCUAGUUACUUUCUCUCUCUUUUUCUUGGUUGAUUCUCUCCGGUUAAUCUUGCAAUUUAACAUUAAUGGCCCUCCUAAAUUCCCGGAAGUCUCCUCUGUGUUGGAGCUGGACGUCGUUUGAGUUUCUGGCUACCUCCGGUACUGGUAGCUCCGGCGGCUGCAUGAGGUCGCUUCAGCUGUAUUGCUCAGUUCUAAUGAUCAUGUGAUUGCCGUUUAUUAACAAAUUCUUGAAUUUUACUUUUUCUGAAUAGGGAAGGAAUGCUAUGAUUUUUCAAUUCACAGACAAUCAAAUGAAUGUGAUAUUAUAUGGUCUUCUGGGUUCGUGGGGAUAAGGAUCUUUUUAAUCAUUAAGUUUAUUUACGUGUUCAAGAAUGGUGUCUUUUUUUUCUUGGCAAAUCUUUCGUGGAAAUUGUUCUUCUUUCAGUCUUCAGUUGAUUUCGACUAUCUGAUCGUUGGCUUGUCUAAUCUAAAAGUCAUCCAAAGGCUGUCGCAGCAAUUUUUAGGGAAUUUACGAAGUGGUUCUGGAGACGAGAAAUGCCGGCGGAGUAGUAGAAAAGAGUUCAAGACGUAGUAUUGGAUAUAAUUUGAUAAUGCAAGAAGCUGCACCACUGCAAUCAAGUAAUUAUCUAGGAAUCAGAUGGAGAUCUCCUCGAAAAAUUAAAGAAAUUACAGUUGUUGGCAGUGGUCAAUUUGAUUAUUUUCUCCAAUGAACACUUGGAAGGGCCACUUACGCCAACUAAAAUUCCUACCCUAAUUAUAGGCUUCUGGGUUGUUGGGGACAAGGAUCUUUCUCAAUCAUUACUUUCCAGGAUGGUGUCCUAUGUUGUGGCAAAUCUUUCUGUGGAAAUUGUUUUUCUUCACUCUUGACUUGCUGCCAAUGGAGGAAAGUGGACUGUGCUAGGGGUAAAUCUGAUACGUGUUGGCUUUACCCGGUACAUUAUAACAUAUUCUGUUCAACUUGUUAAUCUCUUAAUAUUAUGCUUCGACUAAUUUUCCAUAUUGAUUUCAUAUUAGCUGCUGGCAAUGAUUGGAGAACAAUUUGAUCAUGGAGAUGAAAUCUGUGGAGCAGUGUUCAAUGUCGGAGGGAGGCAGGAAAAAAUUGCUUUAUGGACCAAGAAUGCUGCAAUGAAGCUGCUCAGGAAAUUUGUUUGAACAAAUAACUGAAGCUGUUCUUACUAGAUUUUGUGACAUGUAGUAGACCAUUUUCCUUUCCUUAAUUCUUAUGCGAGACUUGUUUCUCUGGGCAUUUUAUGGUUUGUUUUCGUGAUAUUAAUAAUGAAACUAUGCAUGUGACACUGGAUUUGAUGAAGAGUAGAGGGCGGUGACCACUCUCCUAAACUUUUAACAAUCUUUCUGAGUUUUUCUAUAUAUAUAGCUGUCAAAAAUGAUUUUUCGCUAUCACAAUUUAAGAACAUGCUGCUUUAUGCUAAUAAUUUCUUUAAAUUGUAAUACACGUGCUUAUGAGGAAGCAACGCACUGUGUAAUCAUUGAAGGGAUCCCCGUUUUAGAAAGGUUGCUGAAUUGAGCAUGUUUGUUGCAUAGUAUUAUGUGGAAUUGGGCACUAUAGUGAACAAUAUUUAGCUUAUUUACGUUCUCUAAAUUGUUUAGUACUAUCUAUUUGGAGCCUACAUUUUAGCCUUCACAAUUUCUUUCAUGUGUGUCAGACACAUUUUUCAAAAGUUGCAGCAAAUGUUGAAAAAAAAGGAAUGUGCAUGGAAACUCUUGCUAACAACAGCCGUAUUUUUGGAAGAAAUUUUUGCCAUGCAUUUAAUGCAAGGCAACUUUGUUGAAAAAUUGAUGGACAUGCAUUUAAUGAGGAAGGUGAGAAUUUUACUAUGAAUACGAGGCCAAAGCAGGAGCAAAAGAUAUGAGUGAAAAGAGAAGUGCAAGAAAAGUGUUGAGUGAGCAAAGCACAAAAGUGAGAAGCAGUUAGGCUUCAGUUUGUGCAGAAAUUAACGAGAGAAAAAUUUAUUGUGCAGAAAAUUAACGAGAGAAAAAUUGAGAGAUUGUCUUUACAUAGACAAAUAAAAUACAGAAAGUAUAUUUGUUGUAUUCAUUUUCUUCUCUUGUUGAUAUAGUAAAAGAAUUGGUGUGGGUUUGUGGACGUAGGCACGAUUGCUGAACCACGUAAAUUCUUGUGUCACUUGCACUUAUUAUUUUUUGCUACAUUUAUUUCUUCUCAGUUCAAAUUAUUUUGUGUCCCAUUGAUCCUGGCGGAAUUAGUAACGGUCUAAUUUCCUAACAACUGGUAUCAGAGCUCCAGAAUUUAAGUGGGAGGAAUGACAACAGACGAGAAGAUAUCCAAAAUCGAUAAGUUUGAUAGCACAAACUUUGGAUUUUGGAAGAUGCAAAUGGAGGACUAUUUGUACCAGAAGGACCUGUAUAAACCACUUCACGUAAAGCCGGAGGACAUGAUCGACGAGGAGUGGGAAUUACUUGAUCGAAAGGCCCUCGGCGCAAUAAGGCUGCCAUUAUCAAAAUCAGUCGCUUUCAACAUAAAAAAUGAGAAGACGACGGCAUCUCUCAUGGCGGCCCUGUCUAGCAUGUAUGAACAACCAUCUGCAGCAAACAAAGUCCAUUUAAUCAAAAAGCUAUUUACUAUGAAAAUGGCGGAAGGCGAAAGAUCUGGAGAACAUUUAAAUGUGUUCAAUGAAGUGACGGACCAGUUAAACACAGUCGAAAUCACAUUCAGUGAUGAGGUUCGAGCUUUAUUGAUUCUCGGGCAGCUGCUUGAGAGUUGGAAUGGCACAGUUACAGCAAUUAGUAGCUCUGUCGGAAAUUCCAAAUUGAAAUUUGAAGAUGUCGUGAGCAUAAUCCUAAUCAAGGAAAUACGAAGACAGUCGGAAGGUGUUUUCACUUCUGGAGCAGCUUUGAACGUGGAGAGCAGAGGCAGAAGUUCGAACAGAGGUAAAGGGCAUUACAGGAGCAAGUCAAGGUUUGGUAGAUCAAAAUCCAGAAAUCCAAAGAAUUCCAACAAAUCAAAAGUUGUUGAAUGUUGGAAUUGUGGCAAGAUCGGACACUACAAAAAUCAGUGUCAAGUUUCCAAGAAAGAAAAUGAAAACAAGACCGAGGCCAAUGUUGUAGCAGAAGAAUCAGAUGAUGCUUUGAUAUGCUCUUUGGACAGCAAAGCAGAAUACUGGGUAAUAAAUUCUGGAGCAUCUUUUCACGCUACAUCAAACAAAGAACUCUUUACGAGUUAUGAGCUGGGUAAUCUUGGAAAAGUGUAUCUUGGUGAUGAUCAACCUUGUGACGUAAUCGGCAGAGGUGAAGUACAAAUCAAACUUAAUGGAUCUGUAUGGAAAUUGAAGGAUGUCAGACAUAUUCCAGACUUGAGGAAGAACUUGAUAUCUGUGGGCCAACUAUCAAAUGAGGGUUAUGUCACAACCUUCAACGGUGAUAUUUGGAAGGUUUCCAGGGGUGCAAUGACCAUAGCACGAGGCAAGAAAAGUGGUACUCUUUACACCACGACGAGUGCUUGCAGAAUAAUUGCAGUUGCUGAUUCGAAUGAAGAUCCGAAUCUAUGGCACCAGAGAUUGGGCCAUAUGAGUCAGAAUGGACUCAAGUACAUGCAUGACAAAGGGAAACUACCAGGACUUCAAUCUAUUAAUGCAGACCUAUGUGAGAGUUGCAUUUUCGGGAAGCAGAGGCGAGUGAGUUUCAACAAGUGUGGCAGAACUUCGAAGUAGGAAAAGCUAAAGUUAGUCCGCAUAGAUGUCUGGGGACCAGUUGUAGUUCCGUCUAUUGGCGGAAAGUCUUAUUUUGUGACUUUCAUCGAUGAUCACUCCUGAAAAGUAUGGGUCUACUUCUUGAGACACAAAUCCGAAGUGUUCGAGAUGUUCAAGAAGUGGAAAGCUAUGGUGGAGAAUGAAACAAGUUUGCCAGUAAAGAAAUUGAGAUCAGAUAAUGGCAGUGAAUACGAACAUACUGAUUUCAAAAUGUUUUGUUACCAGAAUGGUAUCAAACUGGAAAGGACGUUGCUAGGAACACCGCAACAAAAUGGUGUGGCCAAACGAAUGAACCGGACGUUGACAGAGAGAGCCAGAAGCAUGCGGUUACAUACUGGCUUGCCUAAACAAUUUUGGGUUGAAGCUAUCAACACAGCAGCAUACUUAAUCAAUCGCGGGCCAUCAGUGCCUUUGGAGUAUAGGAUACCAGAGGAAGUAUGGAGCGGAAAAGAAAUAAAACUUUCUCAUUUGAAAGUUUUUGGUUGUGUCGCAUAUGUACAUAUUAGUGAUCAAACUAGGGGUAAGCUUGACCCCAAAUCACUAAAGUGUACCUUCAUUGGAUAUCGUGGAGAUGAGUUCGGGUAUCGCUUUUAGGAUGAUAAGAACAAAAAGGUCAUCAGAAGUCGGGAUGUCAUAUUCAAUGAAAGGGUGAUGUACAAGGACAGAGAUACAGCGUAGUCAAGUGACAUACAUGAUAAUCCAACAUAUGUUGAGUUGGAUGAUACUCCAAGUAGUAGUAUGUCAAAGCAGACAGAUGGAAGUCUUCAGCCAGAGGAAGCUGUUGCGGAGACUUUAACUCCAACCCCUAUUCCUAGAAGAUCUUCCCGACCACAUGUUCCAAAUAGAAAGUACAUAAAUUAUUUGUUACUUACUGAUGCCGGUGAACCUAAAUGCUAUGAUGAGGCAUGUCGGGGAGAUGAUGCAAUUAAGUGGGAGCUUGCAAUGAAAGAUGAGAUAACGUCUCUUAUCUCUAAUCAAACAUGGGAGCUAGUUGAGUUGCCUGCAGAAAAGAAAGCCAUACAAAAUAAAUGGGUCUAUCGAGUUAAGGAGGAACAUGACGGAUCAAAGCGAUACAAGGCGAGAUUGGUGGUCAAAGGUUUUCAACAGAAAGAAGGAAUUGACUACACAGAGAUUUAUUCUCCAGUAGUAAAGCUGAUAACAAUUCGAUUAGUAUUAAGUAUUGUUGCAGCAGAGGGGUUGCACUUAGAGCAGUUAGAUGUGAAAACUGCCUUUCUCCAUGGUGACUUAGAGGAGGAGAUAUAAAUGCAGCAACCAGAGGGUUUCUCAAUCAAAGAAAAAAAGAAGCUCGUGUGCAAAUUGAAGAAAAGUUUGUAUGGCUUAAAACAAGCUCCGAUACAGUGGUACAAGAAGUUUGACGGAUUUAUGCAGAAAAAUGGCUACUACAAGUGCAAUGCUGACCGUUGUUGCUAUUUUAAAAGGUUGGAGUCCAGCUACAUUAUUUUGCUACUUUAUGUUGAUGACAUGUUAAUAGCGGGACCAGACAUGAACGAAAUCCAAAAAUUAAAGAAGCAACUGUCAGCAGAAUUCGAAAUGAAGGACUUGGGUCCAGCUAAACAAAUUCUAGGGAUGAGAAUUUGUAGGGACAAGCAAAAAAGCACUUUGAAGUUAUCCCAAGCCAAGUACAUUAGUCAAGUUUUGCAGAGGUUCAACAUGAACAAUGCAAAGGCAGUUAGCACGCCAUUGGCUAAUCACUUCCGUCUAUCAAACGACCAAUCUCCGAAAACAGAAGACAAAGAAACUUCAUGGCUAAUAUUCCAUACGCCUCAAUCAUUGGAAGUUUAAUGUAUGCCAUGGUCUGUACAAGACCAGAUAUUGCUCAUGCAGUGGGAGUUGUGAGCAGAUUCAUGACGAAUCCAGGAAAACAGCAUUGGGAAGCAGUGAAGUGGAUAUUGAGAUAUCUACAGGGUACUAUUGAUAAAUGUUUGUGUUUUAAAAGAGGUGAGUUGGCACUACAAGGUUUUGUAGAUGCAGAUUUUGCUGGCGAGGUCGAUCACAGGAAAAGCACCACCGGUUAUGUAUUCACAGUUGGUACUACUGCAGUGAGUUGGGUUUCGCAAAAACAAAAAAUUUUUGCUUUAUCCACUACAUAAGCAGAGUACGUGGCAGUAACCGAAGCUAGCAAAGAAAUGAUUUGGUUACAAGGUCUGUUGACAGAAUUUGGUCUCAAGCAAGAAAAGAAUGUUUUGUACAGUGACAGUCAGAGUGCUAUACAUCUGGCAAAGAAUGUAGCAUUUCAUAUCACUUCAUCAGAUUUCUCUUAGAGGAUGGAGUAUUAACACUGGAAAAGAUCCAGGGCAGUAGAAACCCAGCUGACAUGUUAACCAAGACGGUAACUACGGAAAAACUGGAGUUGUGUUCAGCUUCAGUUGGCCUUCUAAAAUGAAGACGAGGAAGGUGAUCCACACCAAUUUUACUAAAAAGGAACUGCUCGCAGGAUGUCUCAAGGUGAAGCCACAUUAGUCUCCAAGUGGGAGAUUGUUGAAAUUUUGGAGCCUACAUUUUAGGCUUCACAAUUUCUUUCAUGUGUGUCAGACACAUUUUUCAAAAGUUGUAGCAAAUGUUGAAAAAAAAGGAAUGUGCAUGGAAACUCUUGCUAACAACAGCCGUAUUUUUGGAAGAAAUUUUUGCCAUGCAUUUAAUGCAAGGCAACUUUGUUGAAAAAUUGAUGGACAUGCAUUUAAUGAGGAAGGUGAGAAUUUUACUAUAAAUACGAGGUCAAAGCAGAAGCAAAAGAUAUGAGUGAAAAGAGAAGUGCAAGAAAAGUGUUGAGUGAAAACACGAGAGUGAGCAAAGCACAAAAGUGAGAAGCAGUUAGGCUUCAGUUUGUGCAGAAAAUUAACGAGAGAAAAAUUGAGAGAUUGUCUUUGUAUAGGCAAAUAAAAUACAGAGAGUAUAUUUGUUAUAUCCAUUUUCUUCUCUUGUUGAUAUAGUAAAAGAAUUGGUGUGGGUUUGUGGACGUAGGCACGAUUGCCGAACCACAUAAAUUCUUGUGUCAUUUGCACUUAUUAUUUUUUGCUACAUUUAUUUCUUCUCAGUUCAAAUUAUUUUGUGUCCCACUGAUCCUGGCGGAAUUAGUAACGGUCUAAUUUCCUAACAGCCUAAAUGUUCUUGCACUAGAAAAACAUCUCAGUUCUUUGUGACGAUCUCUUGAACUUUAUUGACUUUCUUGCGAAGAAAAAUUCUGGAAGGCAUUCGUUAUUAAAAACCAAUGCCUACCAGUGUGAAACGGUUGUUCUGAUUUUGACUGCAUCCUUCGGCCUUUGACAUUGGCGGCUGAGUAGUGACUACUGACUAAUCUACCAGAGCAUGAAUCUGAAUGGAUUACCGACUAAAACAAGUAUUUAAGGAAUUGAUUUUACUCUUGCUUUUUUGGGUAUCUCCGCAAACUUUGCUUUCUUAUGCCUCUAUCUCUACUUCCUGUCUUAGGAGGCUUUUUUACGAUUUUUUAUUUUUAUUUUUUGCAGCUGAUCAUUGAAAGACAAUGGAAGGAGUUUCUAGAUUAUAAUGACACAAUUGGGGUUCAUAUUUCAUGUAAGGAUUCCCCUUUUUUCACAUGGCCUGAUUUUUUUGCUUUGUUUGAUGAAUCUAUAAAUCAUUUAUAAAGCGGUUGAACUUCAUCUUCAACCACAUUCCAAUGGUCCACAAGUAUCCAUUUAUUCACCACUCAUUCCUAUCUAUUUAUAAAUUAAACUGUUUAUAAAUUCUUUCCAAACGGAGGAAUAGAUUACAAGCUGAUGAAGCGCAUUUGAAGUGUUGUGAAAAUUGCAUGGGUUACCCCUUCCCUUCCUAAGUCCUAACCCAACCCAACCCAGCCCGUCAAUCCCUCACUCCGCAUCUUCCUCCACCAUCCCCAGCCUGUCCUCCCAUCUUUCUCUACUGUCAAUAAAAUUUCUCUGUGUGCACGUAUGAGGAGGAAAGGGAAAAGGGGAAAAAAUAGUCAUUUCUUGGACAUUCCUUUUAAUUAUCACCAGUUUACUUAUAGAGAGCUGAAAUACAUGGUGCUUGUGAACUGGUAUGUUAAGUGUGAGUACAGUUUAAGUGAUUGAAUAAUAGUAUGGUGAAUGAAAUUGGAGGCAAGCAUUCAUGAUUUUCUUUUAAAAGUGGUUGUGCCAAAUAGAAUAUGUAAUUUUGAAUCUCAUAUGUAUGUAGAAAUUCAAAUAUGAAUUAUUCUUCAACAUUAAAAAUGAUAUUUACUCAUAUUUAAUAUCUUUUGGUAAUUUAUUUUAUUUAUAGCUUAUAAGGAUAUAUCUUCAUGUUUAUCAGCAUAUUAAUUCAUAUCCAAAAACUGUUUUUUAGUCAAGAAAGCUCCUACUGCAUGUAAGCACUAAAAUGUGUUCAUUAUCACCUAUUUAAUUUAGCUUAAUCCAAACAAUACCUUACCCUGGGCUUCAGUAGCUGACCGGCUGUUGUAAUGCAGGACGAUGCCAGGAAGCUUGACAAAACUGCCAAAAAUCGCUACUCAGUGUAGCUUCACGAUUAAAGAUAAAAAGAAAUGGUUGAUGCCACCGUAGUGUCACGACCCGCUCGAUCUUGGCACAAGAAGAUCGAGAAAUUUAAAAUGUUGACGAGUUGGGGCUAACCGGAAUAUUCUAGACUCCCACAAGUGCAUGAAGAUUGCUAGAAUAUGGUGGGACAUUCUAGAAGCCUACAAGCCCCUCACUUGGUAGAUUAUUCUAGAUCAUCCUAGUUUAGUCCAUAGAUAUUUUAAUGUAGAUAUUUGUAUAGAUAAUUCUAGAUGUGUAAUCUAGACCGUUGGAUAGAAAAGAUCCUAGCCAUCCAUUUGAGGAGGCUACCACUAUAAAUAGCUUGGUAGGAUUCAUUUGAAGGAUCAAGAGAGUGAAAUUGUAAAGAGUAUUUUUUAUUCAAUACAAAGCCUUCUUUGUAAGCUCUUGUGUUUCUUCAUUGUCCCUUUCUUAAAGUGUUCUACUUAGUGCCUUUCUAAAACAUCAACGCCAAUCGGGAGGCUGACUUAGUGUAAUAACCGCGGGGGCGGAAGUUGAAGACACUAAGGCCGCACGGUUCUUGAAGGAAAUUAGCAAGUCCGUGACAGUUGGUAUCAGAGCCUAGGUUUGCUCACUUACUAUCGUUGGCAUGGCGGAAAAAGAUGUUGUGGGAUCCGGCAUUUCGAAAGUAGGAAAGACGUGACGAUUUUGGGUCGAGGACGGCUUACUCUACACUACGGGGUAGCGUAUCUAUGUUCCUAAGUGGAACAAUUUGCGGCGAGAUAUCAUCAAGGAGUGUCAUGACACAAAGUGGGCUGGUCAUCCAAGGCAGAAACACACAUUGGCACUACUUGAACGAGCUUACUAUUGGCCGCAAAUGAAAGACAUGGUGGAGCUCUAUGUAAAGACUUGUCUUGUGUGCCAACAAGACAAGGUGGAAACAAGGUCACCAGCGGGUUUGUUGGAGCCUCUACCAGUCCCGGAGCGUCCAUGGGACUCUAUCACCAUGGACUUCAUUAGUGCCCUGCCUAAAUUCGAAGGGUUCGGGUCAAUAAUGGUGGUGGUUGAUCGAUUCUCCAAGUAUGGCACCUUCAUUCCUGUCACCAAGGAUUGCACAGCGGAGGAAGCCGCAAGGCUAUUCUUCAAGAAUGUUGUGAAGUAUUGGGGGUUACCGCGGAGCAUAAUAAGUGAUCGUGAUCCCCAAUUCACGGGUCGGCUAUGGACGGAGUUGUUCAAACUCCUAGGCUCGGACCUACACUUCUCUACAAGCUUUCACCCUCAGACGGAUGGACAAACAGAAAGGGUGAAUGCUUUGUUGGAGUGCUAUCUCCGGCACUUUGUAAGUGCCAAUCAAAGAGAUUGGGCCAAGCUCCUGGAUAUUGCACAAUUUUCCUACAAUUUACAAAGGAGUGAAGCCACGGGGCGGAGCCCAUUCGAGUUGGUGACAGGACAACAACCACUAACACCCUACACUUUGUCCACUUCUAUUGAAGGAGGGAAAAACCCCGGAGCAUACAAAAUGGCUAAGUCAUGGGAAGAGCAUGCCGACUUAGCACGAUCUUGUUUAAACAAAGCCCAGAGGCGCAUGAAGAAGUGGGCCGAUAAGAAGAGACGGCCUUUGGAAUUUAAAGUUGGCGAUCAAGUCCUUGUGAAAAUAUUACCUCAACAAUUCAAGGCGUACCGAAGUGUACACAAAGGCUUGGUACGGAGAUAUGAAGGGCCGUUCCCGGUGANNNNNNNNNNNNNNNNNNNNNNNNNNNNNNNNNNNNNNNNNNNNNNNNNNNNNNNNNNNNNNNNNNNNNNNNNNNNNNNNNNNNNNNNNNNNNNNNNNNNNNNNNNNNNNNNNNNNNNNNNNNNNNNNNNNNNNNNNNNNNNNNNNNNNNNNNNNNNNNNNNNNNNNNNNNNNNNNNNNNNNNNNNNNNNNNNNNNNNNNNNNNNNNNNNNNNNNNNNNNNNNNNNNNNNNNNNNNNNNNNNNNNNNNNNNNNNNNNNNNNNNNNNNNNNNNNNNNNNNNNNNNNNNNNNNNNNNNNNNNNNNNNNNNNNNNNNNNNNNNNNNNNNNNNNNNNNNNNNNUAGAUAUUUUAAUGUAGAUAUUUGUAUAGAUAAUUCUAGAUGUGUAAUCUAGACCGUUGGAUAGAAAAGAUCCUAGCCAUCCAUUUGAGGAGGCUACCACUAUAAAUAGCUUGGUAGGAUUCAUUUGAAGGAUCAAGAGAGUGAAAUUGUAAAGAGUAUUCUUUAUUCAAUACAAAGCCUUCUUUGUAAGCUCUUGUGUUCCUUCAUUGUCCCUUUCUUAAAGUGUUCUACUUAGUGCCUUUCUAAAACAUCAACGCCAAUCGGGAGGCUGGCUUAGUGUAAUAACCGCGGGGGCGGAAGUUGAAGACACUAAGGCCGCACGGUUCUUGAAGGAAAUUAGGAAGUCCGUAACAGUAGGCUAUCCUGUCACCAGUGGCUGGCUUUCAUUUUGUCUUAUUUAGUACGGAGAACAUUUCUGAGGAUUCCAUAUAUGGACUUUUUUGCCGAAAUCUGAUACUUACUGUUACUGAUUGAUUACCUCUUUGUAACAGCCAUUCAGUAUGAUCCAGUUCGGAUAUGGCCGUUCAGUAACAUGGUACCAGAUUUUGUGAAAAGUGUUUUUUUUUUUUUGGAGAAUUUGUGGUCCAUGUCUAAAAUUAUUUUAUUGAAAGAGUAUGUGAUUGAAAAAAAAAAAAAAAGAGUACAUGGGCCGAUAUUAUUCAAUGUGGAUAUUAUAUUAUAUUUUCAUUCUUCCUUCUUCAAACCUACAUAAUCUAUAAAAAUAAGAGGGAUGGAAAACAAUAAUGAGUUUGUAAUGACUAUUGUCAUUCAACAAUCAAAGCGUGGAUCUUAUCUAGGAUUAAUGGCUAUUCAACAAGAUAUACGUAUUAAAGGCCAUGUCUAAAAAUUAUAUAUGCACUAGUUUAAGCUUUUCUGGUCCAUUUGAUUGUAAAUGUGGAAAAAGACAAAAUCAAUUCCAUGUAAGUUGAAAAAGAAAAAACUACCAAAACUAUAGGAAUUUGAGUUCCAUUCAAUUGGUCAAAAACAUGUUUUAAGUGUUUGUACCUUGAAAUUUGAACCCCUUUUCUACUUUCAUAUCAAACAAACAAAGUAGAAAACGAAUUCCUCAGAUGCAACAUUUUUCAUGGAAUUCAAUGCUAUCAAACAGACCCUUAGAUUAUUGUCGAAAAGUAUUGAGGGAGAAGCUACACUUUCGUGAUGAAAUAAUUUAUUAUUAGUUUAUUAGUUUAGUACAUUGAUUCACUCUUAGAUAAGCUUGCGCACGAUUUGGUUUGGGUUGGUUUCGACUCCAACUCGAAACCAAAAUCAAAUUAGUCGGUUUUGAUGAAUCUCAAUCAAAUCAAUCCACUCUAACUCUUAAAUCAAAUGGAACCAAACCAAAUCGGCUCAAUUUGAUUCGGUUAGUGGGUUUUAACUUUUAGUCCAAAAUGAUUUUUUUUUUUUUUAAAUUUCAAAAAUGUCUAAGUUUUGUGCCUGCUUAGAUUAAAAGAACUAAUAUAAGUUUAUAUAAUAAAAAUUAUUGACUAAUAAAUAAAAUUAGGUUAAUAGAGAUGGAUCAACUGAAAACUUAAUAAUUUUACUUAUUUAUUUAUUUAUUUAUUUAAUACAUUAUUUAACCUGAUUGCCCCGAGUAGGAAAAAAUGGCUAAGUAUAACAUAAUGAGCAUAUGAAAAGAAAUUCUUAGUGUUUUUAGUUAUCAACAACAUUAUAGAUUGGAAGGAAUUGAAAUAUGUUAAAAGAUUAUGACUUAUCUUUUGAUUUUUAUUUUUCUUUACAUAAAAUGGUAAAUAUUAAAUGGGUUGGGUUGGUUCGAUUAACCAGCGGUUUGAGGCUAAAAAUGAUAACCGAAUUGAUUUACCAUGAUUUGUAAAUCAAAUCAAACCAAAUACCUAUGAGAAACUGACACGAACCAUUGGUUCGAGUCGGUUCGAUUUGAUUGGUUUGAUCGAUUUUUUUUUUUUUUUUUUUUUUUUUUUUUUUUUUUUGGGUGUCCAGGCUAGCUCUUUGACAAGAUAUGUAAUAAAAUUAAGCUAUUUGCUUUUGCUCGUAACUAAUUUGUAAGUAAUCGAAGGCUCUGAUAGCGUAGACAAUAGGGAACUCAAAUUCUUAUGGUUUUCUGAGUGUUUCAUGUCGUUUUCGAAUAUUAGACUAUUCUCCAUUUUGGGAUUUGCUUGUCAAAACCUUUUUUUCAAGAUUGCAACUUUUUUUGUCAAUUAAUUAGAUUAUACUUGUGGAACUCAAAUAGCAUUUUCCUAACACGCUUUCUAUUCUUCGAAAUUGAUAUAAGAUUUACCUUUAUGUUAUUGACAAAAGUUUGAGCAGAAAAUUGUGGGUUUGCUACUAGCCACGUAUUUGUAUAUAAAUUGAACAUUCCUGUUACAUAAAUAAUUAUACGCGGUCGCAUUCAGACGAUUUGGGUAACACACGUGGCUUUGCUGUCAAAUAUUUUAACCUUUGUCGCCAAGGUUCAAAUCAUCGUUACGCAUUGGUUCAUGAUAAUAUUAAUUUUAUUUCUAUUUGAUAUGUGUAGUACUUGUUAAUAAGACAAUCCAACAUUAACCUAAUCUAGUAUUCCUUUUAUUCUCCAACUUGGAAUUUCGUAAAAUGUACACCAAUCUAACUACAAAUAAUCAAACAAGAAAAUAUAAUUUUUUCAUACAAAAUUUAAAUAACAACCCAUUAAAUACUUUUCUUUAUCAAAUUCUAAAUCUUCAUUUCUUUUUCUGAAGAGGGAAAUAAUUUUACAUCUCUGAUAAGAACUAAUGACAAAUGUGGUCGACUUGAAUAAGAUCAAGAGAAUUAAAAUUUAAGUGUCCCCCNNNNNNNNNNNNNNNNNUUUUUUUAACUAUUUGUUUUUUUUUUCCUUCCCCUUAACAUCAUCAAGUCUUAUCUUAUUCAGCUUACCAAAUAAGCCAGAAGUCUAAAGGAAUUUGAAAAGGGCUUUGCAAAUAUUAAUUAAUUUCAUUUCUGGGUUAUGUUUCAAGAAAUCCAGUCAUUUUGAGAAUUGAAUUCCUGACUUCACUCAAAUUUCUGCCCUUAAGAGUCCUUCCAUUUCCGGUGCAGACGGAGAACGCCAUCAUUUUCUCGGCGACCCGCUGGCUAACGAUAACGUGGGGUGGUACCAUUUCUCCACCGUCGUUUUCGUCAUCGAAAAUUUCCGAAUCUACAUACUGAACCGUCCAUAAACUUCCAGUUAUGUUUGCUGGGAUAUUUACCGGAACUGAAUUCUUCUUGGUCUUGAAUUUCUUCCUCUUGGUUUUGAUAUUUCUUCACGGAAAAUUGUACUCCUCGUUGCCAUCUUCAUCUCCGGCAUAGUCUUGAAAAAUAACUUCAGAUUCUUGAAAUACUUCUGCCAUGGAAAAUGAGAGAAAAGUACGAAUUAAAAUGGUAUUUAGGAAUUGGUAAAGGGUGGGAAAUGCAAGGAAAUUUAUAGAGGGCGAAAAUGAUUGAUUAGAGGAAGAGAGUUUGAUUGGGGGUGGUGAAGUGGCGUCAUUGUAAAGGGCGUUGAGUGCGGACCCAACUUUCUGCGUCUAUGUUUUAUGUGUUUUUCUCACUCUUGAAGUAACUCCAAAAUAAGCUUUCCAAAGACUAAGAUGCUGUUACUUGUGCCUCACGGCUCUGUUCUGCCUAUUAUUUUUGCUUGGCCUGUAAUUUGUGCAGUUUAAUGACUCCAUUCGUUGGUCUUUAGUUUCGAUUAGCUUAAGAUUAAAAACAAGGACAACUCUACACGAAUUUUUUUAUCGAAUCUUUUACCUACUACUCAUAACGAGGUGGGGAUCACAUGUCAACAUUUUUUAUUUCACGCAGAGCCUACAUUCGAUACAUAUGGAAUAAUCCCAAAAACAAUAUUCUUUAAAUUUUAAUAGGUCAAUAUUUACUUUUAGUUAGUGAACUUCAUAAUAUUUACUUUGUUAAUCUUUGAAAUCCAAACUAAAUACAUUCAAACUAAAUAUGAAAAUGAUUUAUCAUACUUAUGAUAUGUUUAUGUAUCACCUAAUUAUGUACUGAAAUCGAUUUCAAGGUAAAGCAAUAUAAGCAAACAGUAUGAUAAUUCAGUAACGUUGUUAGUUCUAAGGACAAAAUCAUUUUCAAGAAUUAAUAUUAUAAGCAUUAUAAAGUUUACGAUAGAUAUUUAACAUUAUAAAAUUUAGUUGUCAUUUUGAUGUAUGCUUCUAAAUUCACGUAAAAUUUAUUCUUUAUUAUUAUGCGAAUAUAUAAAAUCUUAUACAUAGAUUAACGAAAUCUCUUUUCUCUAAACAGAAUAAAAAAAAAAAAAAUACAUUCGAUCUCCACAAGAAGAUAAAAUAGAAGACGUUAAUCGAAAAAUGAAAUAAAUAAAAGUAAUAAAAAAAAUAAAAUAAGAAACAUCACAAUGUUCCAUAAAAAAAUGAAUAAAGUUGUUUGUACAAAUAAAAAUUAUGGGAAGCAUUAUUGGUGAUGAGAUUACAACACUGCAGUGAUUGAUUUAACUUUAUUUUGUAUUCAACAUUCAAUAAAUACUUGCUAACUGACAAUAUGUAAAAAACUUUGAACUAUGCUGGACGAAUAGGGUCACGCCAGGGAGUUUAAUUGGCGCCCCCUCCCCCCUCCAAUAAGGGGGCGCCAAUUAGAUGUCCAUAGGCCUUCUCUAAGAAAAUUUAUUGAAGGAUUUUUGUACAUAUAUGAAAAAUUUGUCGCUACCAAUGAGAGGUUUGUUCGCCUUGUCCAAGAAGAUUUAUUGAAAGAUUUUUGUACAUAUAUGAAACGUGGCCUUGACCGUCCAGGGCGUUUAAUUGGCGCCCGAUGUCCAUAGACCUUGUUCAAAAAAAAUUAUUGAAAGAUUUUUGUACAUGCACGAAAUUUUUUUUUCUACCAAUUAGACGUCCGUUUGCCCUGUCCAAGAGAUUUAUUGAAAGAUUUUUGUACGUAUAUGAAAAAAUUGUCGCUAGUCAAAAGAAGGUGAAAAGAAGGAAUAAAGACUACCUUUACCACAAAAGGACAAACUCAUUAUUUUAAAACACUGAAUGGACCCACUUUUAUGAGAAAUUCAGUAUUUUAUACUAAAAAAUGGAGCUCAGCCGAUCCAAAUCCAUUUUUUUUUUUAUAUACAGGUAUCCCAGCUUACAUCAGACUAAAUUCUGGACCUCCAAAACCCUUGCCUCUAAAAUCUUGGAGGGGGUAAAUCGCGGGUUAUGCCUCAACUGGAUUACAGGUUCCCCCCAUUACCUGUACACUUUUGCGCACAAGAAACCCUCCUUCACAGUGAUUGCUCCAUACCAAAUAUUUGGCCACAGGUUCCCACCAGGAAUCGAACUCUCCACCCUGCCGCUGGACACAAGACAAUGUUGAUUGAUCCACCAGUUGAGCUGUGCCCCGAGGGGCAAUCCAAAUCCAUUUUUGAGUGUACCUUAAGUUUCAAAAGCUGUAUUCUGGCAAAUUAGUAGACAUGGGCGGAUCAGUCGUAAGUUAAAAGCGUUCGCGCAGCUCGGCACAUCCGACGGCUCAUAUUUCACCCCAAAGAAUUCAAGGUCCACCGAGUUAUCGAUAUACAGGUAUGCCAAAAAAAAAAGGUUGAAAAAAUGACAAGCCACUUAUAAAUUGACACGUUACAUUUGUGAAAUCAUACGCUCUACAAAGAAAGGCAUCUGGAUUAUUCUCAGCCAGACGGCUUCCUCGCCGUUUUAAGUAGAGAUAAAAGUGUUCAAUUAGGCUGCAAGGAAACAAAAGGAAGUACAUCUUUGGCUAGCUUUAAAAUUUUAGUUUCGAGCAAGUUUAGGGUUGGCAACGGUUCGGUUAUGGGUCGUUCAGCCAAAAUCAUAACCGCACCAUCAAUUUUUUGACCAUACCAUAACCGCACCAUAACCACGUAAAUCGGUUCGGUUCGUAUCUCCGUUCGGCACGGUUCGGUUCGACUAUUAACCACGAAAAUAAAUUAUUUUUUAUAGAUUCAUCCGUCAAAUUGAUAUAAAAUAAUUUAUGAAAAAAGUCAAUGAAAACAAAAACACAGUAUUUCAGAUGAAAAUGCAAACAUUAUCAAACAAUAUUCCAAACGAAAAUACAAAACAUUAUCCCAAUUUUCAAUUGUAAAAUACAAAUUUAACAAACAAUAUUAUAAAUAUAAUAAUACUAAACUUUUCCUUUAUUCUUAAUUGUUGUGCAUUGAAGUUACUUGAUUCAUUCUUCUCCACAAGUCUUACUAGCAUAGAUCAGCACUCAAAGUUGAUUCCUAUAUAGUAAAUAAGAAAUGUAAGUAGAGAAUAUAACGAUACUACCUAUUCAGAAUAUUCUUAACUAAUAUUUAAAAAAAUGUAUAUCUUCAUCAACUUCCUUCUCACUAAACGUUGUACAAACUCUAAAGUAUGAUGAAAAAGUAUAAUUUUCUACACAUAAUAGAAAAAAGUUAAUAAUAAAAUGAGCCGUGCGUGAGUUUAUGGUUUGUGGAGAGUAGUGUUUGCAUUUAUAUACUGUCAUACUAAUACUAAUAUUAUGGGCUAAUGGUAAGUGGACUGGUCGGCUGAGUCAGGUAGAUGUAAUGGAGGGGAUUUUGUUUUGAGCUAAAUAGAAAAGUAGUGUAAAAUCUAAUAAUCAAAUCAAUUCAAUUCAAUUGUGUGUGUGAGUGUAUUUUUUUUUUUUUUUAGUGGGCAAUCGAUUCGGUUUCGGUUCGACGGCAUAAGGACCAUACUCACUCCGCCAUGAACCGGUUUAUUAAAAUCAAAACCAUACUCGAUUGCACCACCAAUUGCACCACCAAUUCGAUUUUUUUCGCUCCAUUCGGUUCGGUUAACCGCAAUUUUCGAUUUUGAUGGAUCAAACUGCCAUCCCUAAGCAAGUUUAGUCAUAAGUAAUUAAAUAGUUAAAGAUAUUUUUUAUUAACCAAAGUUCGAAAUAAUCGAUUACUUAUUUUUAACAUGACUCUUAUAUGUUUUAUGGAGAUAUCAAAAGGUGCUGAAUUGGCCAAAUGACUUAGUAGGGGCUUGGUAUAGUCCAAUACAAAAUAUGCAAAAUAAGAAUACAUACUCGUAGAUUAGGCACAAUCUUAUCCAUUUUAGAUGCGUCAAUCAUAUAUAAUUUAAAAUGAGCAAGGCAAAACAUAGUCGUGUCAGGCCUACGCUAGUCAAACCAUCUCAAAACUAAACCGUAACUUGUUAGUUUAGAAUAUAUAAACGUGCAACACUUGAUUGAGUAUAACUUUACUUAUUUGUCUUUUGAAGAAAAUGACAAACAAAGCUUGGCGGUCAAUUUCUUCCUGAAGCUUACCCAUUUUUGCAUUAAUCUUAGUGGACAUUUAUAUUCUCCACAUUCUAUUUAUAUAGAUUUGUUUUAUUUUUCAUACGAAUUAAGAAAUUUUAUUAAUGUUACUGAAAGGAUAAUUUUUGUCAAAAUUUUUUCUAAUUUACCAUUAUUUAUAUUUGUACAAUUUCAAGAUUAAAUAAAAAAAAAUUGAUUAUAACUUGACAAAUUACAUAUAUUAAUAAACAAAUAAAACAAAAAAUUCUCAAUAAUGAAACAAGACUAUAUAAUUGAGACAAAAAAAUAUGAAAAGUCAGCUUAUAUGAGAUGGAGGGAAUAAAAUAUUCUAUUGAGGAUAAUGACCUUAACCUCAUCCACUUGGUUACUUUCCUUAAUUAACUACACUAUAAUAUUUAGGUAUUUGGUGUUUANNNNNNNNNNNNNNNNNNNNNNNNNNNNNNNNNNNNNNNNNNNNNNNNNNNNNNNNNNNNNNNNNNNNNNNNNNNNNNNNNNNNNNNNNNNNNNNNNNNNNNNNNNNNNNNNNNNNNNNNNNNNNNNNNNNNNNNNNNNNNNNNNNNNNNNNNNNNNNNNNNNNAAUUUUAUUUUCAAUCAUAAAUUUCAAUAGACCUGUAAGUAUUAUCUACUUAUCCACAACUCAUACUAAAUAUAUAAUAAGUAAAAUUGAAGAUACGACGAAUGACUACUCUAAUUAUUAAGCAAAAUUAUUUUUGAGGCGAACAAGAAAUUACGUUCCAAGUAAAUCAAUUACUAACUACAAGUAUGAACGUGAAAAUUUAUGGUGGCAAUAUGAUAUCAGAUAUUCAAAAGAAAUUUUAGCACUUCUUUGGUAGAGUAUUCAGUACUCUCUUUGUCAUCGUUAAACUUACUUUCAUAUUAAGCCCUUGUUUAGGCCCAUUUUAAUACAAAUUUGGGGAAAAAUGAGUUUUGAAUAAUGAUUUUUUUGGAGAAUGUGUGGUUAAAAAAAUAAAGAAAAGCUUUUGAUUUAUAUGUAAUAUUGCUUUAUAAAAGAAUGUGUGGUUGCAAAAUGAAUUUUGAAAAAAACGAAUUUUUGAAAAAAAGGUCGAACAUAGGUUAAUUAACUUGAAUACACUAUUUAAUUAGGAUUCAAUCAUGCACAUAUCCAUUAAAUAGUGACAUGAAUUACUGAAUUUCACACUCUAGAAUAUUAAAUUUUUUCUCCAAUAUACUGAGUUGGAAGAGGAAGAGUAGGACUUGGGACUAACCUAGGUAUGGGCUUGGGCCUCCUCUCAAGUCUUGGUUUAAUAAGAAUAUUAUUUUUGGAGAGAACAAUUAAUCAACUUUGAGUAAUGUUAUUUAUAAGUUGUACUCAGAGCCAACCGUUUGUGUGACAGUUUUGUCAUUGUCAAAUUAUUCAAUAAAAAUAUAUUGAAACUUUAUUAGAAAAUGUGACAGUGAUGUAUAAACAACUUACAAAUAAUAUUUUCUAAUGAGGAUUUGACUUGGAAACAUAAUCUUCCAAUAAUGUGUCAAUUGCCAGCAUGUGGCACAAUAACGUAACACAUGGUUAAGUAAAUUCGUCCGGUGUUAAACUACAAGAUAUGUACAUAUUCCUUUUCGAAAGUACGUCUUUAAAUAAAUAUUUUUUUUUGUUAAUAAUCACGGUCUCUCGAAUAGGGCAUGCCCCUUUCAACUAGCAUGUUUCUGUUGAAUAGUGAUGGUCACUGUUCAUGAAUAGUGGAUACUAAUCGGUAGAAAGUUUUCCAUUCGCAUUUAAUGCAGAGGUUAUCAUGCAUGGUUUUCUUCUCAAAUUUCAAAUGCAAUUGGGAAUGGCAUUAAAGUCACUGAAUGGAUAUACGUGAAUAGCAUUGUGCAGCGAGUUAAGCGGGACAAAAUUGAGAGAUUAUCUCUGCGUGGCAAAUAAAAUACACAGAAUGUAUUUUUGUAUUGCUCUUCUUCUCUUGUUGAUAUAGUGAAAAAUUUGUGUGAGUUUGUGGACGUAGGCACGAUUGUCGAACCAUGUAAAUUAUUGUGUCAUACUUGCAUUUAUUUUUGUUAUCUUCAUUUGCUCUUAUUUUAAAUUAUUUUGCGUCCCACUGAUCUUGACAGAGUUAGUAGCUUUACACUUUCCACCACUAUAAUAGAAUCCUCUUUGCAAAAUUUUUAAUCGAGUUGUUCGGCUAACUUUUGAGUUCUAGAAAUGAUUGUACUAAUACGUGAGAUUAUCGCUUAAAGUCUAAAAGCACAUUUUCUCAGUUCCAUACUCGUUGGAAGGUGCAGGACAAGUACAUAAUACAUAAUUAACAACUUUAUUAUUGGCAUGAAGCAAAACACAAUGGAGAAAAAAAAACAUUGAACUCCAACCUUGAGAGUCUCCACCGCCCCGCCCCUAGAGUUUUAUGAGGGAGGUAAAUUACGGGAUGUGCCCAAGCAGGCAAGGGAACAAGAGCUGCCUGUACACUGCGUCUACAGAGAGUUUAAUUCCAUGUCUCAAGAAUCGAACCCUUACACUGCGACUGCUAACAAGGCGUGAGAUAAUCUCACUCCUAUCCUUUGCACGAUUGAGCUAUGCCCCGGGGGGCAAAAAGAAAAGAAAAGAAAAAACACAACAGAGAAUUCACACUUAAUAUUGAUUGAGUAAGGUCUAUGUCUAAUUCUUUUAGGACACGUUUGCGCCUAAUAUUGGACAAGCCAGUACAAUGAAUAAGAUUUUAUUUAUUUUUUCUUAAUAUUUUACAGUAUUUUCUUGUUCACCCAAUACCGUGAGGUAUUUACUCUAAGGAUAAUGCAAUUGGACUUCUUUAUGAAUCAAUUCGCUCCAACUAUAACAACCAAAUGCAAACUUAUUUUCCCGCAUAGGCUUCUUCCCUACAACCGUUAUGUUGAAGCCUCUACUUUUCCGCUUUAGCGUUGAAGUGUAACGUGGGUGGAGAUAUUUCUAUGGAGUAACCAGGAUGUUUUUUAAUUGUAACCAAGUAUGAAGACUUACUACCAACAUUUGUAACAGUUCGAGUGACAAUCAUGGAUACUUUAAGCUUAGGCACUUCGCAAUUGCUAGUGAUAGAUAGUUGAGAUUACUCGGCGAAGGAAUAACAUUGGGACAUUUGAAAGAUGGAACGAGCAAAUUACAGCUAUUAGGACAGAGGAAGAGAUGAUAGUCAGUAUAAGAAGCAUUAUAAACAAUUCCUGAAUCAACUGCCUUUGAAGGCUGAAUGUGGCCCACGUUAUUAUGUAAAAGAAUAAAAUCUCAUAUCGAAUAAAAAUAAAAAUUUAGACUAACUUAUAAGAAUUUGGGAUAAAGUGUUUUUUUUUUCUUUUUCCAAAUAAAAUUUUCGUUUAAUGGCCCCUGAAUAUUUUGAGUAUUCUUAAAGAAAUUUUUUCUUGCUACUUAGGUAACAGGCAUCUCUGCUAUAAGCCGGCCCGCAGUCGAAGCGAAAAUAUUCCAAACGAACGACAUUUAUUGAAAUCUAAUUCGGGUGACAAUAGAUGAUUUUCUUCUCCUUGACCAUAUAAACAUUUCAUAUUUGAUGGUUCUUUGUGUUGUGAAUCGAUGGUGAUAUACGCUGAUGUGUUGUUUUGGAUGAAACUUGUGUUAGUUUUUGCUAGGAUUUUAUUUCAUUUCUCUUGAAUAUUUACGAAAAUGCAAGAAGACAUUUUCAAGGCCGGAAAGAAAGAACGCCACUUUAUGGAAUAAAUAAAAGAGAUUCUGCUGGGAGGAUGAUUGAAUUUUUAUAAUUGCAUUCUUUGCAUCAUGACGCCUAAAUAAAGAUAUACGUAAUUGCUCGCUUCACAAAGCAAAUUGAAACGGGUAGAUAUCUGGACUUCCAAAUGAAAAAGAGACAGUUUAUGGUUCACUGGAUAAAUUGAUGGCUUGUGAUACUACAUGACUGCCGGCAAGCACAAAUGGCAAGAUAAACGCAUGAUGUGAUCUGGAUAGAAAGCGAGUGAUUGAAGUAUGAGUUUUGCUCGAAUUCUCGUCCAGACAUUUUUGUUGAAAGUGGACCGACAACAAGAAGCUGAAACAUUAAAAAUUCUAAAUUUUUUUUUCUCCAACUAUGUGGGCUAGUAAUGAAAUCCACAGUGUUCAUAUCUGUAGAAGCAUAUCACUUUUUUAUGACUUGUCCAAAAGGUCCCAUUAAGAAAUUUACAAGUCAAUUUCCUUCUUACUACUGCUACUACUAUUACUACGUGCCUUUGUAAUACAUUUUAAUUAUUUAAUUAGUAAUGAUUGAAGAAAUGAAUUAAAAUAAAAGCACUUAAAAAGUUUUAAAAUAUAACAAAAACGAUUAUUUAAAGUUAAAACGAAAAUGUCACAACAACCAUAUACACACAUCAUUCUACAAUUAUUUAAGGAAAACAUUACAUAAAACAAGUGAAUACAAUGUUUUCAUUAAUUUAAUGUAAUUUAUGCAGUUGUAAAAUAAAUGAAUAAAUAAUUUUUCAGGUAAAUAAAUUGUUGAGAAUUAAAAAAAAAUGAAGAAAAUAGUUAAAUACUUUUUAUUUGGUGUAAGAUUUGAUGUAAUGGAUUGGAGAUGAAUUUUAUUUUGGUACAAGAUUUUGGGCAAAAUAGUGCAAAACUCACCUUAAAUUUUGAUUUAGGGUUGGAGAUGGCUUAAGAACUUCAACAAUUAGAACAAAAAUAGAGGGCCUCAAGAAGAAAAAUAAGCACUUUAUACCUCGUAUGCAUUGACUGUGGUGUUUAGUAUAGAUAGUUGGUGAUUGACCAGAAUAAGAUAAAAUGACAAUCGGUGAUUGAAAAUGAGAUAUUUAAUAUUUAUUAGAAAGUUGUGAGAUAAUUUAAUGAAAACUUGAACAUGUUUUUAAAUUUAAAGGUUUGAGAAUUCAUUUAUUCUUUUUUGAAAGUUAAAGACUGACCAAGGAACUUCAACAAUUAGAACAAUAAUAGCAUACCCCCACAAAGAAAAAUAAGUACUUUAUACCUCAUAUACGUUAAAUUUGGUGUUCAGCAUGAACAAUUGGUGAUUGAACAAAAUAACAUAAAAUGACAAUUGACGAUUGAACAAAAUAGCAAAAAAUGAGAAUUGGUAAUUGGAAAUCAAACAUAUUUCUAAGAAAGUUGUGGAAUAACUUAACGAAAACUUGAAUUUAUAUUGAACGUCAAGAGUUCAUUUAUUCUUUUUUGAAAGUUAAAGACACACUAAGAACUUCAAAAAUUACUGAAAAACAAUAAUAGCGGACCCAGGAAGAAAAACUAGCACUGUAUACUUCGUAUACAUUGAUUUUGGUGUUCGGUAUGGACAAUUGAUGAUUGAAUAGAAUAUGAUAAAAUGACAAAUGGUCAAAGGGAAGAAAAAGGCCAUUUGAAAGCGGGCAGUGCUACAUGAACAGGGCCACAUAGCCCUAUUUUUUCAGGGUUUGUGGCCUUUUUUGAGAAGAUUUAUCCUUUGAAAGGCCUGUUAGAGAAGAUUUAUUCUUUGAACGCAAAUAGUUUGAAAAGGGGUCAAAUCUUCAACUUUUUCCUUUAUGUUUAGUAAUUUUUGACUAGUUCAAAUAUAAAAACAACACAAACAAAUUGGUUUGUUUGUCCGUUACACAAAAGUUAGCCCUUGUUUGGUAGAGAUUAAAAUCGAAUUUUUAGUAAAUUUUGAUAAAAGUUGAUGAAAUAUGUAGUUGAAAAAUUGUAGGUUCCAUGAAAUAUGCGGUUAAAAUUAAUUGUUUAUUUUGACCUAGAUUUUAUUCCUACCAAACAGGGGCUUAUUUGGCUAUACAUGGAUAAAUUAAUAGAACUAGUGCAUAAUUAGUACAUAGGGUGUAGCCUUGUACAACCUGUAAAACACGAUUUCAUGUAGCAUGUUCACUAAUCAUCUAAAUUCCUAUAUUCUAUUACAAUGUUAAGUCCCUAUUUGAUUUAGCUAAAAAUCAGAUUGAUAAAAAUUGAUGGAAUGCAUGUUUGAAAAUUGAUUAAAAUUGUGAGUAUCAUAAAAUGUGUGAUUAAAAUUAAGUAUUGAUUUCAACUUAAAUUUUUAUCAACUUUUUAAUUAAAUGUGAAAGCGUAUGUGGCAUAUGAUCAUAAAAAGAAUAAAAAAGUACCUAAGUUAAAUAAAGCUGGAGUAGUUUUGGGCAAAGGAAAAGAAUAUUAAGUGCAUGUUUAUAUAUAGAACUCGAAAAAUUUGUUCUUUAAAUUCUGUCGGUUAUUUUACAUAUAACCUUACUAAACAAGCCAUAAAAAUAUGCAUUUUUUUCGUAUAUUUAUUUAGGGUAUAUACUGUAUGACACAAAGAUAUAUUUUCUGACAACUUUCAAGAGUACGACAAUUUGUUGAGAGAAUAAUUUUGCAAUCCUGUGUGCCCAUUAAUAUCGUCACAUAGAUAUAAGGUUGGGUGGAUAGAGAUCUCUGGAAGAGGUAAAUGACGAGCCGAUUUCUCGUGCAUCAGAAGGAUUAGAAAAGGUCUGAGUUUCACUUGAACUAGGUUUCAAGUCUUCAAGCUUCUCUCUGAGUGAUUGAAGCUUCAAUUCAUCUUCAUAGAUGCUUGGAUCUAUCUUAAAUUCCUGAACAUUUAUAUAUCCUUCAAGCAUGCCACAAACCGUGGACAUUGGAGGCCUUAGGGACGGAGAUGGAUUGGUGCACAAUAGAGCAACUUUGAUCAUUCGUUAUGCCUUGUCCAUAUUGAAAUUUGAACCCAACCU